CUGGGCCGUAGGUGGUCUGGGCUGGGCUGAGAAACAUGUGCUGCCAGUUUCCUUUUGUUUAGGAAAAAGUCUAAUUUUCCUUCACCAACUUUUACGAAAGUUCGUUUUUCCUCCCUAACUCCAAAACCAAGCAAAUCAUCUCCUUCAACUUUUUAAACUAUGCAUUUUAUCUCCCUGAAACAGUUUCAAAUGUGAUUUUGCUAAUAGUGGUUUUGCUACCGUGAUGGUUGUUUUAUCUUUUUCUUUUUUUAAUUAUUUUGGCUGAAUCAUGGAAAACAUAGUAACUAGAAAAAAUAUAAAAUGGAAAAUCUAAUUUUUUUGGACUCCACAUAAGUAUAUUUACAUAGUAAACAUAUAAUAUGGUAUGCUUUAGUAUAAAGUUUUUCCUAUAAAGGUUUUGUAUUUUUCUUUUCUUUAUUUAUUUAUUUGGCCGAAUCUUUGAAAAAUCAUAGUAAAUCAUAGAGAAAUAAUAAAAUAGAAAUUUUAAUUUUCUUAGACUCUACAUGAGUAUAUAUACACAAUGGACAUAUAAUAUAUGUAUGUUUUUAGUCUGAUAAAAUAGUUAUAGGAACUGCAACUAUAAAUUUUUUUAAUUAAUUAGAGAAAAGCAUAGAUCUAAAGGUACAACAAAAAAUUAUACUAAAGCAUAUAUAUUUAAUGUGCAGAUAUACUCAUGUGGAGUAUAACAAAAAUUAUAUUUUAUAUUUUUAUGAUUUUUCUAUAAAUUACUAUGAUUUUUCAAAUAUUUAGCCAAAAUAAAUAGAAAAGGAAAAAGACAAAACCUUUAUAGGAAAAACUCUAUACUAAAGAUACCAUAUUAUAUAUUCAUUGUGUAGAUAUACUUAUGUGAAGUCCAACAAAAUUGGAUUUUUAUUUUAUUAUUUUUCUGUGAUUUACUAUGAUUUUUUAAAGAUUCAGACGAAAUAAUUUAGAAAGAAAAAGACAAAACCAUGUCAUUGUAGCAAAACCACUAUUUACUAUAGCAAAACCGCCUUUAAAACCGCUCUAGUGAGGUAAAAUGCACGGUUUGAAAAGCUAAGGGAGGUGGUUUUGCCGAUUUUGGAGUUGAGGGAGGAAAAGUGGAUUUUCGUAAAAAUUGGUGGAGGAAAAGUAGUCUUUUUCCUUUUGUUUACAGGUCUCCAAGAGUUCCAAAACAUUCUCCCAAUCUGAUUUUUGAGCAUAUUACCUAUGCAAAAUAAUAGACCAAAACCUAAAUUUUUAAAAAUAGAAGGGGAACUAAACACCCUCUGAAUAACUCUCCACUCCAUCUUCCAAUCUUUUUUUAGAACUUGGAAAAACCCUCGUUCUCCUUCGUCCCUCCCUUGAUUACAACCACGGAUCCUCUGAUUUUUCAUCUAAGCAUAAGCACUUUGCUUUUGCAUAUUUUUUUAUGUUUAUUUAACCUUUAUUUGGGGCUUGUUUCAAUAAGCUAGGACUAAUUGCAAGUUAGGCUAAAAAUUAUCUUGAAUUAGCUAAGAUUGGCUAGCUAAUUAGCUAACCAAUAGUUGAAGGCUUAUGUAAACAAUUAUCACAUCUAUUUGUUCUCCUAUUUGGAUGCACUAUGGCUAAUUAUUAGCUCGCUAACAAUUACUCAAUUAGCUCUUAUAUGCAAACAGACCCUUGAUCCGGGCUCCUUCGAUUUUUGCAGAAAACUGAAAUGGACCAGUACCAUCACUCCUUGUCCGCAAACCAAAGACACAAUGUAGUUAUGUAGUAGCCAAUGGAGCACAUGUUUCCAUCGCAGAAAAGAAAACGCAAUACUAAUUUUGCUGAUUAUUCAGUCAAAUUCAAGUUUUGGAGAAGUGCUCUCCCACACUUGACGUCUCUGUUAUACAUCCUUGUUUCGGACGUAAUGAGAACUAGGGCAUGUUUGGUUGGAGGUAUUAAAAUUUAACAGGUAAUGUAGCUUUAUUUGGUAAUCAGUGUACAAUCAUUACUAUUUAGGCGCAAAAGAUCCGUCUCGCAACUCAUUAACUGUGUUUUAGUUUUGUAAAUAGUCUAUAUUAUAUAAACAUUCGAUGUGACAAAAAUUAAAUUACCAUUGUAAACCAAACAGGGCUUAGUCGUCUCCAGCUUCGCACCAGCAAACGCCAACUAGCAAAGCUCGUGCCAUGAUGACGCAGACACCUAACGAACCAAAGCAGCAACAAACAAUCUCAACAACACAAGGGAUUUGCGCUGCAUUGUGGACUGUGCGCGUACUGGCGUGGCCUAACCUGAAAAUGACCCAACUAAUAACUAACGUUCAUCUGAUCAUGGUCCAAUGCCCCCAAGAACACACGGCUACUAUUCAUCAUAUCAUAAGAGCAAAGAUUAAGGUAUUUGCAGAGACUCACACAGUCGUUUUAAAAUAUCAGUCAUAUUCGGCUCUUUACUUCUAAGAUAAAUAAUCAAUCCAACAAUAUCAGUCACACUCUUAAUAUUCUCGCACAUUAUGAAAUUUACUCCACAAAAAUAUGAAAUAUAUGUAUCCAUCUCUCCCUCAAAUAUACACUUCGGAUCAUCUCUCUUUCUAUAUAUUUUGUUACUACACCUUAAACCACCACCAAUUCAUCGCUUGUCGUCAACGGAGCAGCCGCCGUCGUCCAUGCUGCACAGCUCAGUCGCAGAGCUCCUCCAACGCGUCGGCGAAGCAGGAGCUGAAGCGGGCCAUUUCGGCCUCCGGCAGCACGACGCCGAUCUCCACCCCGGCGGCCUGCGCGCCGUCGGCGUCGCGGCCCUCCGCCAGGGACACCGUGCCGGGCGUCUUGUCGAUGGACACCAGCUCCACCUUGGCCGGCCGACCCAGCCCGAAGUCGGUCUCGUACACGCCGUACCUCGGGGACCCGCCCACCGACAUCGGCCGCUCCGGGACCAGCGACAGGAUCUUGUGGAACCACCCGCCGGCGCCGUCCAGCACGCCGCCGUCGAGCCCCGCGACGGCCGCGCCGAUCGCGGCGGCUGCUGCUGCCACGCCGUCGCCCCCAAGCAGCUCGGUCGCGCCCACCUCCACGAAGCACGGCCGGAGGCAGUUGCCCAGGUACUCCUGCGGGAUCGGCGGCGCCAGGCGGCGCCGGCACUCCACCGAGAACAGCAGGUGCGCGCGGGGCCGCUCGUCACCGCCGCUGCCCGUGCGCGCCAGGCAGGCCCACGCCAGUGCGCACGCCACCGUGAACGCCGAGCAGUGGACGCGCUCCGUGCCGCCGCCGUCCGCGAACUUGGAGGUCACGCGCUGCUUCAGUCCGUCGAUGCGGUCGCGGGUGAGCGCGAACGACGCGAUGACCAGCUUCGGCGGCGGGCCUGCUGGCGCCGCCGGCGGAGGCGGAGGCGGGCCGUUGGCCGCCAGCUGGCGCAUUUCGUCGAGCGUCCUGGCCGCGAGGCCCUCGGGGUCGGCGACCACGCCACGGUCGAAGAAAGGGACCGGCACCGCGUCCGCGUCCGCGUCCGCGCCGGUGACGGCCACCCGGCACCGGGCGGCCCAGGUCUUGACGAAGUGCAUGUAGCUGGAGUCAUCGCAGGCCACGUGGUGGAUGGAAACGCCGACGGCGACCCCGCAGGCGGGGAACACGGUGACCUGCGCCGCCGCGAGGGCGAAGGACCCGUCGACCUCCGGCGGCGGGAGCCGCGGCACCAGGGCGUACAGCCGGGCGACGUCCCUCGGGCCGCCGCCGGCGAGCUCGUCGAAGUCGUCGGAGCUCUCGGCGACGGUGAGCUCGACGGCCUCGCCGCCCUCCCCGCCCGCGGAGCAGAAGAACUCGUACCCGCCGCUGCUCCCGUCCGGGCACGGCCGGACGCGGCCGAGCAGCGGGUAGAACGCGUGCAGCGUGGCGGAGAGGGAGGAGACCAGGGACGGCAGGAGGUGGGCGGCGAAGUGUUCCGCCGUGUGCGCGUAGUGGUAGAAGAAGACCCGCUCCACGGGGCCCGUGAAGAGCCAGGGCACGUCGAAGAAGGUGAGCGGGAGCGCGCCGCCGGGCGCCGGAGGUGAAGCCCCCACCUUGAGCCUGUCAAGAACCUUGGUGGCGGCGGCCAUGGGGAACUGGAGAUGCGGCCCCCUCUCCCGCGCUUGGAGCUGGAGCCGCACAGCAGCAGGGAGAGAGGAUCUCGUUCCGGGGAGGAGAGGCCGGGAGGUGGUGAGCAGAUCGGAAUGGUGAUUCAGAUCCACCAAACACAAGCAAGCACUAGAAAGAAGACGACCUGCUGGUGCUGGUGGUGGGAUGGAAAUGUCACCGAACAAAACAUGUCUGCCUGUCUGCUGCUUCGCUUCUCUUGAGGAAGGAAGGAAUGGUACAGGCAGAAAGACAGUGGCAGACUGACAAUUUCUGCUGCAGUAAACAGUAGCCAAUCUCCUGCACAGCACAGGCAAAAGGCUUCUGAUGACAGCAGGGAAAUCUGUGUUCAGACUUCAAAGAAAUUAACCUGAUGACAGCCCAGUGAAUGGGAUUGAAAAAAAAAGUAAUUUUGAAGAAUUUAGUGCAGUCACACCACAAUGAGAUCAGUCAUAAUUCCUAAAGAGAAGUACUACCAAAUCCGGUAUUUGCGCACUCAUCAGGUAACGAGGCAUCUGCAGUGUUGAUCUGAACAGAUGGGGUGGGUGUCGCCGGCCCUUGUGUCUCUGUCAAACAGCCAAACAGGCAUCCAAUGACAGCAUUGUCAAAAUUUCUGUUAAGCAUCUCUGUUCUCUGGCUUAUGAUUUGGAAGCUACAUGUCCUUUCAGCCACCCACUUGAUUACACGAAGGGCUGCAGGUACUGUGCGCAUCCGUGCUCCAAUAAGGCCCGGAAUCUACAGAACAAAAGAGCAGGGAAAUUUUGGGAAGAAUCAGCUCUCUGAUUGAAAAAAAAGGCUUUGUCAAUAUGCGUCGGCGCCAUGUGCUUACCAUCACAGAAGAUGUCUUUGGCUUUGGAGGCCGACACUUUGAUUCUCUCAAGGCUCAUCUGGAUCAUGUACGUGAACCCAAUUUUUUUAUAUAUAAAAGAAGGAGACAGAUGCAGAGUUUUAUCCUGCUAAUCGUAUAGUUAACUGAAGGUUAGACCUUGGAAAUACAUCCCCAACCUGACUGCACGCAGAAAUCGUGUAAGUAAAGACCGCUCCAAACUUAAUGUAUUCAGUACCAGCGUUGUGGUUGGAGCAAUCCGAAAGGGAAAACUUUGCACCAAAUGUAGCAGUUGGCUGCUAUGGCCUUCAGAAAUGAUGAACACUUGACAGUACCAGAAUGUGUUCGUAGACAGCAUGAAAUGAAGUUGCUGUGAUGAGAAGGCAUGAACAACCAGACAGACGCUCACCAACCCAACUGAAUGGAGGGUAUCAACUGAAAGGUCACAAAAGUAUCUAAAGUGUCUGCCAGGAAAUUGUGUGCUUUCAGCAGGUUCACAGAGAGCCAAGGACUGAUCUUAAGCAAAAGGUUGGUGAGCCGAGGUGAUUGGGAAGAAACACUUGGAAGUGCUACUGAAAUCAAAUGGUGUACCUCAAAAGGAAAAGAUGCAGGCAGUGAUUGAUCAUGAUCAUUUAAUAGAAAAUUAUUCAGACAUUCCUAGUUAUAAAGAAUUAGUAUAAGCAUCUUUAUAUAAAAAAGUUAGUAGCAUCAGAAUGGCAAAAACAAAUGGCAGUAGUUGACACAAUAAAAGCAGAUAACCAUCAAAAUACUACAGUAUUUUUUCAUGAGCAAUUUGCUGGACAUACAAAAGGCAGAGCGCAUGAGCUGUAUUUGCGGCAUAAGAUCCGAAAUUAACAAGAUACAAAUGGCAGUAGUGGAGAUAUGACUGGCAAUGACAUUAUCUCUUACAUUGCCCAGGGACAAAAUCACAGAACCCAUGUGAUCCAAGCUCACUGAAAAAUAGAAAUAUGAGCAGCACAAAAGCAGUUCGUUAACACCACAAAGCAGAUUCGAAUUCUUUUGGCAUAUUAUCUCAUUCUACUAACCAGAUUUUUAACCCAAAAAAUAGAAAUAACAAAAAAAUACCUAUUAUAUACUCCGUAUUAAAAUCUUGAUCCAUGAAAGAAAUGGACACCUUUAGAUUGACGACGAAAAGGUUCUGUUUUUAGUGUUUUUCCAUAUGAUAUAACUGGAAAUGGACCACAACUAGAAGCACAAAAAGAGUUGAAAGGUUAGCUCGUAGUCUCAAACUAAGGUGGCAUAUGUCUAAAUUUCUACAAUCACUAUUAGAUGAGUGGAGCCAAACAACAAGCACAAAAAUUAUGAAAGGUUUGCUCCCAGAAAGACUGAAACUGAUCUGACACAAGUUCAUAUUCCUCCCAGCACUACAAAAUAAGAAGCAUUUAUGCAGUGGCAUCUAAUUCAGAUCAAAAUAUUCAAAACCUCGAGUACGUAUAUUUGCUCUUGUGACACUUAGUUUCCUGCACUGCAGUGACUAACUACUUUUCUUGGCAAAUUGUGGGCCUCAAACUGAUCGAGAAUUCCUUUUCCUGUGCCUACUACAGUAGUAAUUUAGGCCCAGGCCCAUGCUUUUGGGCCUACAUACAUAUACAAACUACACAAGCCUUCAUCAUCAUCAAUCAAGUACUAAUAAGGAUUCCCUAAGAAAAAGUAUAAUAAGGAGCAUCUCUUCAUCAAAGGAAACUACAAUUCCACUAAAAAAUAAAUAAAGAUACCAUCAGUAGAAUUGCAAACAGUAUAAAGUUAUCAGCAGCUCUGACUUCCCUUUUAUUUGUUUUAUUGAAAAAUACUAGAGAGGAACAUUUGUGAACGCACAUCCAACAAGAACUUCAUUUCUAGAAAGAGACACAAAUCAAUAAAAAGCUCUUCAACUGAAAUGAUGGGGGAGGCGCCACAAGCACAAUUCCCGAGGCACUUGUUCAUCACCAGAUAAUAAUACUAGUACUACUGUAUAGUGCACUGCCACUGCAUCCCCUGCCCGGCCUAAUGGCCUAUAGCUUCUGCUCUCUUUGCUUUCUUCCUAGCUUUUCAAGCUAUAUCCUGUUCGGAACAAGGGUUAUUAUGGUGAUCGAUCGCACUUGCAUUGGUUUUGGUCUUUUUGGAGGGCCAAAGUUGGUGCAUAUUUUGACUCCUCCAUUACGAGCUCUAGCUAAUGCUAAUGCUAAUGCAUGCUGCAAAGAGCCAAAGACCUCGAUCACCUUCAAUUCUUCUUUUGCCCCUCCUCCACAAAGCAGCUGCAUGCACAAAAACAAAGACACCAGUCUUGCUUUCCAUUACGUGCUUUUACGUCUUGGGAUCAGUGCUAAAUAAGUCGGUUGAUUAGUGGGGUCUAAUCACUAUCAAGUGUCAUAAUAAGCCCUUGCCUUUAAUUUAUCCGUGCUUAGCUUUAUUUGUUUGUUUGACUGAUGACCAGCCAGCAGCCCCUUGACCAGGAUGCUAGCUGAUGAAUGCCUGCCUGAAGAAUCCAAAUAAAUACUCCUGCUACCCCAUGCUAAUACUAAAACUUGGUACAAGACACAAAGUGCCAAAGCAAACAAAACUAAAUCAGUCUGCAUUCGACUUUAUGAGACAUCCAUCUAAACUUCAGGGGUUGUUUCUCAUGGUCAUGGUGGCAUGGCAUGCAUUUUCAGGGACUGUAACAAAUACUCAAAUUCGAUGGCUUGUCAUCUUCCCUGUGGUCUGCAUAAUUGACCAAGCUAGCUUGUGAUCUUGAGACAGUGAUAAGAACAAGCUUGAUGACACGUUGUUAGGGCCGGCUGGCCGGCCGGCCACCUAAUGACGGGCUAUUAGCAUCCUAGGCUACCUAACCAUGUGUGUAGAUCUUGUUAUUCUAAGCCACAUUAAUCACGCGUUAAAUCUACGGCUUUGCAUGGAUCGAUAAAGCAAGAGGGUACGGUGGAUUCAUCGCAAAAGUCACUGACCUAUCCUUGUUGUUAAAUCAGCUAUAACAUUCAUCGUCGUCUUCAAGUAGAUUGCACUAUUGCUCAAGAUUUGUUUGUUGUUGAGGUCAAUUCGUCUUGUUGUGUACGUAGCUUGCUUGCUUACUCUGCAGGCAGCAGCUAGCUUUACAACAUCUGAACAGUUAGCUGUUCUUCGGCGUCGAUCAAGAGCCUUAAUUACUCCCUCCGGUCCAUUUUAUCUGGCGCAGGUUAGAAUGACACGGUCUCCUAGAUUACAUUUUGACCAUUCAUUUACUUUAUAUUAUAUUAUUUAUGCUUAUAAACUUAUAAUCAUUGGAUAGUAUAAUUCUUUACAAAUCUAAUUAUAUAAAAUUUAUGUUAUAAUAGUUAAUAAUUAUUAGUCUAAUUAAUGGUCAAAGUUUUAAAAGUUUGAAUCUUGAUAUACGUGUGCGCCAGAUAAAAUGGACCGGAGGAAGUAGCUGCUAGUUGCGGUAAUUUUUAUUUUUUUUAAAGAUUUACUAGGUACUAGAUAUCAGUAGCACAUUAGCCUUCCCUUUUGUAAUGGAUUCAGUAAGAACACGCAUGUCUGCAUGAAAAAUUUAGAGUUCCAAGAUACUAACCCUACAAAUAAACCUACUGAUAUGAUUGUUGUCCUUAUCUGAUGUCUGAAAUAAAGAAGCACUUCAUUAUUUGGCAUGUCUAUCUCAAAUAGUACUACAAUGUGAUUAACGUUGGAUAGUCAAGCACUCCCAUCCCCAUGGCUACCAUACCAUGCUCAUCAGGUUUUUUGAGUGUGCCAACAGAGUCAUUUUUUCUUUCUCUGCUGCAAUACCACGAGCUUGUAUUGCAGGAAUAAUUUACUGCUCUACACACUACUACCAGUAGGAGUAAGUUGGUCAAUUCUCCGAUCACAGCCAAUUAUUCUACCAAGAAAUCAGCCAUUGGGAUCAGUGGCCUAGCUAUGUAGCCUCACCGUGUUUCUGUUUCUGUGCAAUGCGCGUAGUAGUACGUGCUUAGGAUUAAAAGGUCAACAACUAUGUACAGUAAUGUAGUAAAACACACUCCUCUCUCCUGUUGUGGUUGCAGUUGUAGGACGCAAAAGUAAACGUUGCUGCGGCUGAGGAGUUCAUACCCUGUCCUUUGUCAAGGGGACAGUCACUCUGCAUGGCAUGGAAAACUAGAAUUAGCAGCAACAGCAGCCUACGAAUGCAUACAAGUCGUUUUAGGGUCUCUAGAGAGCAAGAUAUUGGUGCCAAGUCAAAAUCUUGCUUCAGCUUUUGGUACUGCUACUGAAGCUUCUAGUACUCUCCACUCUAAACCUGUGAGCUGUGAGCCUGUGACAGUGUUUACUAGUAUCUUAUAUUGUUGUCAUCACAUUUGUACAUAAAUCAGCUAGGGGGUUCUAGGGGUGGGAAAAUAGAAUCCCAUCGACUCAUGGUGACAUGAAUGAAUGAAUGUUUGCACAAAACUUGGAGCACAACACUACACCAGAUGCAGUUUUUCAGGGCCAGAGAAACAUAUGGGGGCACAGAAGUUCAGAGUGCAGUUUGACUGCAUCAUCUGCUGACCAGUGUGAUGGCAUAGGAGUAUAUACUGAAUGAACUUUCUUUCAAACAAUUCUUGUUGUUGGAGAAGCCUUGUACUGUAUCAAUCAAUCAUGUCCAGAUAGCAAGACUGGACUUCCACAUUGCCAGUCACAGUCAGUGUCAACUGCCAAUGAGAUGUGACGGCCUUGUUUAGUUUCCAAAAAAUUUUGCAAAUUUUUUCAGAUUCUCCGUCACAUCGAAUCUUUAGACACAUGCAUGAAGUACUAAAUAUAGACAAAAAUAAAAACUAAUUGCACAGUUUGGUCGGAAUUGACGAGACAAAUCUUUUGAGCCUAGUUAGUCCAUGAUUGGACAAUAUUUAUCAAAUACAAACGAAAGAGCUACAGUGUCCAUUUUGCAAAAUAUUUUGGAACUAAACAAGACCGUCAUGCUCAUGCAUGAGAAGAUGAAUUUAUCUACUCAUAUACUCCUAGUAUCAAUAGCAGUAAGUUCUUAUUUAACCAAACACACUUGUUAAAAGUAAUUAACAAAAAAAGGGAAAAAGAUGCAUACUUGCUACCAACCACUAUAUAUGAUUUAUACUAGUACUACUCGUCACCAUUAUAUAAGAUCAGAACACUGAUGAUAUAUAGUAGUAAUAACAAAAGAGAGAGAAAAAAGAGAGAGUACUUCAUCACUACUAGCUGGUACAAGUUGUUAAUUUCCUUUUGUAGGUAGGAAUUUCUAGCUCAUCUCGCACUUGCAUUAGCGGAGUGGAGAGAUGAGAUGGCACAGCAUGGCUCCAAAACGCAUGGUCUCUCUUAUCAUUCUAGCAGGCAGCUACAGGGAGUAGUUGGGGCUCCUCAUCAUGGCCUGGGCCAGGUACUGGAGCUCGCCGGCAUCCACCUUGCCGGCACAAUGCUGCGCGGCCGCGGCGACGUCGUCCCUGAACCCGGCCAUGAGCUCCGGCAUGAAGCAGUCGUCGAGGGGACCGGGUCUCCUGGCGCUGCACGCCGUGUCCUGGCGGAGCAGGGCGCUGAUGCUGGCGCUGUCGGGCCACUGGUGGCUCGCCGGCGAGUGCGCGGCGCCUUGGACGCCGCACGCGAGCUGCGCCUUGGCCUGCAUCAGCUGCGCUUGCAGGAUGGCGACCUGGAGGGCGAAGCGCCAAACAAAUUUGAUGUUAGCUCCAAUUAAACAACUAGCUAGAUCGAUGAUGAUUGAUUGAUUAGGAUUAGGAUCAGGAUCAUGCAUGUGAUGAUCUGAUCUGAUCGAGAAUGUGAAUGUGAUCACCGGCCUGCUGCUGGAGGGCGAAGAUCUGGGCGACGCAGCCGUAGACAGGGUCGCGUAGCCUGGCCUGCGCCUCGUAGGUGAUGGUGACGACGGCCUCGCAGCGGUCGGCGACGGGGAGGUGCGACAGCAGCUUGGAUGCGUUGCUGGCGCCGAACACCUUGUGGAUGGCGGCGAAGCGCGCGGCGCCCUGGUCGCUGCUGAAGUAGGGCGCGAAUACGCACUCCGGCACGCACCGCCGGCGCAGGAACUUGCACGCGCCGCACGGGGACCCCGCGCCCGUCGCGGCGGCAGCAGCCGCGGUCGUCCCUCCGUUGGCAGCAGCGGCGGCGGCGGCUCCGGCCAUGUCGGUCACACUAGUACGCCGGCUAGCAAAGGAAGAUGUCUAAGUAUAUAGCUAGCUAGCUAGUCGAUCGUCGUCUUCCUACUGGCCGGUGUGCUAGCUAGCUAUGGCUAUGGUAGGACACGCAUGCAAGCUGCACCCACCCUGCUGAGCUUGUGGACUACCGGCCGGUGCAACUCGAGAUGGAUUUAUAGGAGCGAGGGAGAAGGCGAGGAUGGGGAUGGAGCGCCGGAGCCCGGCCGGAGGACAGGUAGGGCAGGGUGUCUGGUUUGAAGGGAGCAAACGUGUUAAUGCUGUGUUGAAGAAAAGGAGCCCCGGCCCGGAGCUUGGCUUAAGCUGCCACCACACAGCCUGCAGCUAGCUUAAUAAAAUAUCUUAGCUAUAACACUCCCCACUCCGCUAUAUUUGCUUCAUGCAUGUGCCGCAAAAUUUGAUGUGACGAGAAAUUUUGAACUAAACAAGGUCUUAUAGGUAAACUGUACAAUUAAUUAAAUUUUAUCUAUAUUUAAUGCUUAAUGCAUGUGCCACAAGUUUUGAUAUAACGAAAAAUCUUGAAAAGUUUUGUAAAUUUUUUAGAAAAUAAACAGGGCCUUAGAUGGGCUAGAAAUAAAUUUGAGUCCUACUACUAUCAGAAGAGACCCUUGUUGGAGCAUGUCGUUGCAGAGUCAAGAAAGGAGCUAGCUAGUAGCACGGCAGGCUUCAGGAGAUGGGCGAUGAGGUGUACUGGUGUCAAAUCGAACCAAGUCGAAUCAAUGGAUGGACAGGUUGAAUCGAAGGAAGGAUUUGAGGUACUGUAGCCAGUACAAUAGCACCAGUAUAUUAUGGCCAGCUUCCAAAUAUUUUUGCAAAAAAAUUCAGAUUCAUCGUCAUAUCAAAUCAUAUGGUGAAUGUAUAAAGCAUUAAAUAUAAAUAAAAAUAAUAAGUAAUUGUACAGUUUGACUAUAAUAUACGAGAUGAAUCCAACAAUAUUUGUCAAAUACAAAUGAAAGUACUGUGAUAUUGAUUUUGCAAAUUUUAAGUCUAUAUAUAAAAAAAUGGAGGUGAUUGUGCACGUACUGUACGUACGUGCUGGCGGCAUAAACAAAGCAUUUCGCGCCGAACGGCCGCACUCUGCGCAGCUGCACGCCACUCGCCAUUUCACUCGUCGUCGUCCUCCUCCCAACCUGCCCGCCGUUGCCGCUGGAUGUAUCUAUCUGCUCCUUUCCUGCUCACAUUAAUUAGUCUAUCUAAUCGUAUGACGACGCCCAUGCAUGCAUGCAUGACUUCAUCCAUCCAUCCAUCCAUCGAUCGCCUUUGACUGCUCAUUCAUCCUUUUCACAAAAACAUUUGGCUUCUAGCUUCCUCCUUAUCAAAAAAGAAGAAAAAACCAGCAAAACAAAAACAUUUGGCCUCUUCCUCUUACUUCAUCAGUUACUAGUAGAGUGCCUGCGUGUGUUUCAGUUUGAGUGUGCUUGCAAUGCAAAGGUUUGGCCUCGAGUCCUCGUCUCGUUUUCUGCCAAGCCGCAGUCACUGCUGCUUCCGGGGCACCGCACUGCAUACAACAAUGCUGACCAAGGCAGACACUCACUGGGGCUGGAAAGCUGCAGGUGCCCAUGCCAAAAAAAAAACCGAGGGCUCUGUGUUCUUCUGUGUUCGCCGACACUGCACUGCCGUCUCAACCGUCGCUGCUGCUCACAAAGGGAACCCAGACAGUCACAGGGGAAGUGGUACCAUGGGAGACAUUCAUCAGAAAACAACCACAAGCAGCAGCGGCAGCAGAAAGCCACCAUCGCCAUACAUACUCUGUCCUCCUAGGGAACAAGCACAUGCUACCAAACCAACCAUACCGAUACCGUGCUAACACCUUGCUAGCAUGAUAUCACACGUUUAUAAUACAGGCGCAUGCCUGUCAACAAUCAAACUUAUUGCAGUUACGAGGAGAGGAGACGACGCAGCGAAUCAAACUUCCCGGUGCACGCACGAGGCCAGGGCACUUGCCCACACGUGCACACGGUUGUUGGCCCGUCUCCUGGGUGUGCAGUGCAGCUACGUUACGUACACCAAGAGCCUUCACAUUCAGUCAGUCAUUCACAAGGUUACAUUACACCAUGCUACGGAGCUGACAGAUGAGAUCACGGGGAUGGAGAUGUCAACUCUCCUCUCCGAAAAACCAAGCACAAACAACUCCCACGCCGUGUCGCUGAAGCAAAGGAGGCAUCAUCCGCAUUGAUCACACACUCUGCACCGAAAUCCAUGGGGGGGCAUCAGGCCAACGCCGUCCUUGUUGAACUCAACCAGAUCAUCAUGUUACGCCAGGGAGAAGAAGCAACGGCUCUGCCGACCCGGCCGUCCUAGCCGAGCCACGCAGUUGCCCGGCGCUCGCCGCCACCGCCGACGCUAUGCCGGAUGCUGAUCUUCUCAUGGGAGUACUUCUCCUGGAGGUACUCGAAGGCGUUCACAUCGAGCUUCCCGCUCACCGACUUGCCCUGCUUCCGCCGGAUCUGCUGCUCCUUGAUCGAGUUCCACAGCUUCACAAUCGCGUCCCGCUGCUGCCGUGUGAACCGGGUCACGUUGUCGUACGCGUGCUUCGCAAAGAUGUCAAUGGCGGUUUGCGUCCUGACAAGCAAGAUAUCAUUCAAUAUGAAAUACGAAAUAGAAUACUGAGCAUAUGGAUGGAUGAUGCUCUAUCACCAUGGGAUUCUGUAGCGCCGAGCAGCUAUUUCCAGGCAUUUCAGAAGGGCCUCCCGCUGCGACUUGAGGAAUCUUUUUGCUUCCUCCUCGUCUGCUUUUCUGUUCAGAGCUGCAAUUGCCUUUUCUCUAGCUCUCUCAGACUUCUUCAGCUUGUGCUCAAGGAGACCAUCUAAACCAAAAGGAUCAGAAGAUUCUUCUCCUGGCUCUGAGGCUGCAGCAUGUGUGCUAUCAUCUGCCACAGAGUUAGAAGCUGCAGCUGGGGCGCUAUGAUCAGUUUUAUUGUCCGUCACUGAGUCAGUUUUGCUUGCGGCAGCAAGAGCUGCAGCUUCAUCAUUGUCAUCAUCCACUGUUGCCACUGGCAGGGCUGAGAUGGCAUCUUUGAUCUUUCCUACAGCCUUUGAGAACUACAAAAGUAAAACAUGGUUCAAGCAUCAGUAUCCCCAGGGUGAUAUGUAUUGGGUUAUGGCAGCAUGUCUGAUGAUCACAUAUCUACAGCAGCUGCUAAGUACAUCUAGUAAACUAUUUCAUACUUAGGUUGCCAAGAUAAGCAACGUGUCGUGUUCAGAGAAAAAUAAAAAUACUCACCACAAAACUGUCAUCAGUGAAAAGAUCAUUAGCCACCACAGCAUGCAGCACCCAUAUGUCGAAUUGAUUUUUCUGCUGUUGGUUGAAUAACUGCACAUUAAUUGCAAGUUGUUAGUGAAAGUAGUGAAACACAUAGUGACCCGACACAACUGAGCAACUAUUUGUUUCAGCUGCAUUGGAAACUUCACCUCUGUGACACCCUGAGCAGCAUCAAACAAUUUGUGGUAGUCUGCUCGUACAGAAGGCUCAUUGCAUGCUCCCGGUGAAGACAUCGCAGCCUCUAGUAUAGCAAAGAAAUGACUGAUUGUUCCAGGCUUGACGCUUCCAGCUUCAAUAAGUUGCAAAGCUAGUUUUGAUGCCUUGCUGAAUUUUGAAGUAUUCCCUAUGUGUGAAGCUAUCUUUUGCAUAGCCUCAAUCACUUGUGUUUCUGAUGCAUCAACGGUUGUUCUGAACCGAAGACGUUUCUCAGGAACUGCAAGAGAAUAUGAAAGUUAGGACAUAUAACUGCCUGCUAAGUUAAGGAGUUUGCUUAUUUGUUCUUAUUAUGACAAGAAAUUGGUCAGGGGAGGCCACUACAUAUACCAAAGAUUGAAAAUAACAAGUACGGAUUUGAGCAGUCAAGAUUGUCAAUAUGUCUUUUUUUUUUCUUGCAGCUGGUGCAAUGCACUAGGUGCUACCCCAGUUAAUGCAACAGUAAUGAAAACAGAACACAGAGACACUUACAAACCCAUGAGAGAGAGUUAAAGGAAACCAAUGGCAGACAUCACCUAAUGGUGUAAUCAAGCAAAUAUGUCCAGCACAGCACCAAAUGGAAACUCCUACUACGUGGGAACACAUCACUCAUAGGUGUGCCUUCUUGCAAGUAACACUACAAAAACUCAGUGAGCAGAGAUUGGUAUUGGUAGCGACAAAAUCCACACAGAGACUAUCAUUGCCAUGAACAGUUGGGACAGGUUAAGCGCGUCAGUAACUAGGUGCAGUGCCCAGUUAACAGAACAGUAAUGAAAACAGAAGGCAGAAACAAUUACAGUUACCAAUGACUCCAUGAGAGAGUUAAAGGAAACCAAUGGCCAGACAUCAUCUAAUGGUGCAAUCAGGAAAAUAUGUCCAGCACAGCACCAAAUGGAAACUGCGAAGCUUACUACGCGGGAACGCAUCACUCAUAGGUGUGCCUUCUUGCAAGUAACACUACAAAAACUCAGUGAGCAGAGGUUGGUGUUGGUGGCGAGAAAAUCCACACAGAGAUCUGUUCAUAUAAAUUAAAAAACCACUUAACAUUGUGGACGGGUUAAGUGCAUCCGUAACUCUAGCUCUAGCAUACACCUACACUGUUUCUAUAUUCUAAAGAAUGAGAGGAAGCUAUUAUCCUCCUGGUGCAAAAGCAAAACAAAGAGGAGGUUUUCACUACUUGGGUCUUACAUAGGCCCCUAGGGUAGUAGCAGUACGCUUUGAAUCACAUCGAUCCUACUAGUGUGCCACAUAAUCCAGGUAAUUUGCUCAGAAAAACCAUUCUGGUUGCUUCAUCAGUAAAAAUCUCAAGCCACCCAUCCAAUCCAAAUCUCCUGAAUUGAAACAACCUCUGUUUCGCCCUCGUUGAGCUUGUCCUGGGAUAUGAUCAUAUGGGAAUGGGGUAGUCAAAUCCCGACCAGAAAUCCCCUCCCCUGUCAGCCUCGACCUGGGAAGUCGCAACUCGACCUCAAUUUAGGCUCCUAAACGGCCGGUUGCUGCUCAAUCUCCACUUAAAGUCAAAGGGGGCCCAAUUAAACGAUUACGGGUUCCAGUUCAAAGCGGCGAUGGCAGCAGCAGAAGCCGCGGAUGAUUCGGUUUGGAAAGUACAUGAGGAUAUGGGGCAGAGAUCUCACCAUGGGAUUCGGGCGCGGCAGCCGAUGGGGAAGAGGUAGUAGCGUCGGCGGAGGGGGAGGGCUUGGUCCGCUUGAGGGAGCUCUUAAGCGCGGGCUUCGGUGCCGGUGCCGGCGCUGGCGCCGGAGGAGGAGGAGGAGGAGGAGAGAGGGAGGCCGCGCCAGUUCCGCCGCCGGCCGGGGCGGCGGCGGGCGGAGGCAGGCCGUCGAAGAGGUCGUCGGAGGCCAUGGACGUGUGGGUUCUGUUUGGUUUGGCAGGGUCAGAGACUAGAGAGAAGAGGAGAGUAAACUACGGGCCUUGGAUUUGGAUAGCAGCAGCAGCAGCAGGAAUUAAACAAGGCCCGGCCCAGAUCCGGCUGCGCAUGGGCCUUCUGCCAUCAAUAAUUCCUCCCAUACGCUCGCCUUGCUUAUUGAAAAGAGCGACUUUUUUAUGCGUUCCAACGGGAAUCGUGGAUUCCAUUUAAAAAAAAAACCGGGUAAACCCCCUCCCUCCCCCGAAAUUUCUAUUGAAAAAAUCAUGAGAUCUUACACGUUUUGAGGGAACAUCCGAAAAAAAAAUGCUUUUGCAAAAAUACAAAUUAGUGGUUCCCUUCAUGCAUAGAUCUGGAUUCGCAUUGGUGAUGAUAAUCCUGUUUUCUUUGGGCCUGUUUAGUUCCUCAUGGAAUGCAAAACGUGAAAUGGUAACUACUUUAGAAUAACAAAAAAAUGCUAAAAAUUUUCAAGGUUAUGUUUAGUCUCAUCCAAAAUACAAAAUUUAUUGUUCUUAUUAUGGUCUCUUGAGACUCUUUUGGGCUUUUUUCUAGCCUCCUGAUGCCAAAAUCCAAAAUGGAGAAUGACUACAUUUUUGCCCAAAAAAAUUGUAUGGUGUUUAAUUUUAUUAUGAAAAAUAAUAGACCAAAACCUAAGAUUUUUUAGAUGAAAGAGGAACUAAACAUCCCCUUUGUUGCGAAUGCAUAAAUAUCCAUUGGCGGAAAAUGCAAGCUGCUGAACUUUAUAAGUUUUCAUUCAUAGUUUACAUGGUUUCGUUUCCAUCUCUCUUCAUGUUGCUCCUUGUUUCAGCCUCCAUAUCACGAUUAACAACAAAAAAAGAUCCUACCAGGACAAGAGUAUCAUUAAAGCCAGUGGAUAUAUGGCUGGUGCAGUCACAUUUUAGCCAAGAAGCUUUCAGUCAGUUCAGCAUUGAGUAAUCAUCGAUGCAGAGGAACCUAGGACUGCACAUGAGGAGUCUGAAGGAAGAGAAACUGCAUGGAAAGCAAACCCUGGUUUAAGUAAAUUCACACCAAACAAGAUCUUAUGAGGGACAGAUAGUUCUACGUGGCGAUAUAGGCAUGUACCUCAAAGGACUUCCCCGAUCUCUCAUACUCAAGCAUACUGAGAGCUACUUCACAGCUCUGCGAGACAAUGGGCUCAGGAUCCUUUGCAAACUCCUCCAAAAGCGCAAUGCUUUCUUGGUCUACAACGCAGCACGAUCACAGUCUUAGGUAACUAGUGAAUGUGUAUGCAUGGACUGGAGUUGGUAAAUGACAUUCUGUCAAAGCUUGCAGUUUUAGUUACCUGCAAUUGAGCCAAGGGCUUCAGCAGCUUCAUGCCUGACCAUUGGAUGCUCACAGACAUCCUUCAGGACUGUAGAAAGUGCAUCUGAAGCGGCUUUGUUUUGCAGCUGACCUAACACAUAAGCAACCUGCAGAAUGAUACCAAGAAAAUGGUAUUAUAUUCGAUAAAACCAAAGACAUUGGAAUGCAAAAAAAAAAUUAAAAAAAUUCUUGAGAGGAAUAUGAUGUUAUGACCUAGGUGAAUCAGGCAAUGUGCACACUAGGUCUGAAGCAGUUUCACACCACCAACCUAUUACCCUACCCUGAUUUGUUACUAUGUUUCUUCUUUUCAGAAAGGGAAACACCAAACUUCCACUCCAUCACUAAAUAAAUAUAACAGACAAUUUUCUUGAGGAUCCUACUGACCAUAACUAAGAGGUUGUGACUGGAUGUUGUCCAAUCUAAAAAAUAGCUGCAAGACUGCUCAGGUAUUCAGGUUUGUGCUCAACUGUCAACUCUAUUUUAAUUUAUUAUGCCAGUUCAAAUUUUCAAGUGUAAAUGUUAAAUAAUAAUCUAGACUGCCAGAAAGAAGAAGAAGAAGAAGAAGAAGAACUCAAAGGAUACAUUGCUGGUUGCUUUGAUUUAUGAUUGUAUAAAAAAAUGACAACAUGGAUUGCCAAGUUUUGAGGAAACCUCGUGACGUAGAAGAGCACUUUUGACGCUCAGAGCUGCAACAAUAGCAGAAACAGCAGCAUCUCCACCAUCAUUCCUAAGUGCAAAAAGAGCUGCAUAACGUUCGUACAUGCUCUCUUGUUCAUUGAGGAGUAGAUCCCUGAAAAACAUCCACCAUGUUGACAAUGGAAAGACUGUGGGCAUAGGAUACAAUCAACAAAUGUAAGAAUCCUUUGAAAGUUGGAAAUGAUACCUUAAUUGAUCUACUGAAAGUCCAUGCUUUGCAGGCAGCGCUGGAUCAACUGAGAGAAAGGGUGAAGCGACUGUACUCUCAGCACCAUUAGCUUUCUUCUGCUCUUCUAUUCGUCUUAGCGCCAGCUCGCAAGUUUCUUGUACCUCCACAGCAGGAUCAGUUGUUAAACUUUCCUCCAACAGGGGGAUGCUCUUUUCCAGGCCAAUAGCUCCAAGAGCUUCUGCUGCCUAACCAAUACACAUACACAAUACACAAUUAUUUAAUAUGGAUACCCAAGUACUAGAAGCAGCAUAUUAUAUUGAAUUCACUGAAUACCUCAUGGCGGACAAUUGGAUGUAGAGAAAGAUCUUUGAGCACUGCCACCAGUGCAGGAAUAGCCUCAGCAUCCUGCAUUUGUCCAAGUGCAAAUGCAGCCUCAUGGGCAAGCAAGUUAGAAGGAUCCCUUGCAGCUGAACAAUUUUAUAAACUAUGUCAGGUUUUCUUAAUCACAACCCUUUGAUCUCUCAAACACUAAGUUGAAGAAAUCUGAAGACGCACAGCUAGCAGUGCAAAAGUGGGUGGUUGUAAAUCAGGCCCUUGAUGUGUUUUUCACUUCUUCCAUAACUAUUCUAGUGCAGUUUUGUUUUUCAGUAGGACUAAAAAGACAUUGAUCGACAUUAAGAGGUAGCAGUUUUGUCUGUAACGGUCACUGUUGACAGCAGAGUACAAACUAAAGCUAAUAACAUAAUCUCACAACUAUACAUAUCAGCAAGGGAACAAAAAAGCAGCAGGCAACAGAACUUUCAGGAAAUUAACAUGUACGUACUACAUAGCAAUAAAUAUCAAACAGCCUCAACCAAUGAAACAAUGCCGAUAUUUGAUAUAACACUCUAAAUAGUAAAUAACAAAUAUAUUGGUCAUAUGUUCAGCAAGUCCUACGAAGGGCCUGUCGAGAACUGAAAUCAAUUUGAUAAAUAAUGCAAAGAAUCAAACAAUGUUAAAUUUCCUAGUAUCAUCAGUUCAUCAGCUCACUAGCUCAGCACUAGUUUGGACUGUAAGGCCACAAGAAUUUGGAACUAAACUGAAGUACAAAGGAAGCUUCAAUCAAAGCACCCAAUUAGUGAACCGCAGCACGGCAUCUACUCGAUUAGUUCGGGAAAGCAACAGGGACCAGAAAUCUGUUGCACCGGUUGCUAAAACCAAUCCACAAGCUGCUAGUCAUCAACCAAGCUUUGAAGAAUAGCAAAGCCGAGUCAGUGAAGCGAGGCGAUACCUUGGAGGAGGGCGCGGCGCGGCGCAUCCCCGCGGAGGUUGCGGAGGGAGAAGAGCGCCCGGAAGCGCUCUGCGAUGGGCUGCUCCGCGUCCAACAGCCGCUCGCAGAGGAACCGCUCCAUCUCCGGGGAUGACUCGAACGCGGAGGUGGCCGCCAUCUCACGCCGACGAUUCCGUACGGUUCACACGCUCCGGCAAAGGUGAUCAGUGGUCACUGGCGGCGGCGGCGGCGGCGGCGAAGGAAAUCCCGCGUCGGAAAGAAAAGGAGAAGAAGAGGACGAGCUCGCGUCGAGUCGACGCGGACCGUCCGAUCAGAACGCGCCACGUCACCUCUCCGAAUGGACGGACCACAGCGACCUAUCCUUGCAGGUCCUCUCGCUGCCGGCCGGUCCCACACCCCUUUGACCCAGAUCCUGGCCCACUUGGCAGUUCCACGCUACUUGUGUCGGCGAAGCGCGUAGCAGCAUUCCUUCUCGACUCGUUCCCUUUUGCGGCUUCUCGCAGCGCCGCGAAUCCCAAAUCAGAGCCGAUCCGACGCGAAUCGAUCGAGAGGUGAGCUCGCUCGAUUCCCCCGCAGAUCGCCGCACUCACCCAUCCCUCUCCGGAAUUUUUCCCUCUGCUUUUUCGUGCUCUUGGCGCCCUCUUCGGCGAUUUGUUUGUCUCUGAUGGGUUUGGGGUUUUGUUCCUGCAGGCAGGAGGCAGCACGAUUCGGAUUGAGCCGAGCGCCAUGAACCCGAGAGGGUAAGAUUCUGCGCCUUUUUGUUGCUUUGAGCUUGGGAUUUCGUGAGAUGGUGUUCGGAUUUAGGGUUGAUGAGCGCGUGCGAUUUGUUAGUAGGACCCAAUGUGGCUGCCUCACUGGAUGGAUUGCAUGCGAUUAGUGCGAUCGGUACGCUGCAUUUGUUAGGGGUUAAGAUGAGUGAUUAGUGGUGCUUCUAUCAGUUCUUCUUCUUGUUGUCCUGUAGUUAUGGUUGAGGAAUUCCCUCCAAAAGACAAAUCGUUUGUUGUAUAGGACAGUUUCGUUUCCCCAGCUCUAAGUUGGUUUAGGAUCAUGAAUAUAGGUUUAUCAGACAUGGAAGUUGGUUUCACAUGAUUAUUGACUGGGCUUAUUUUGCUUAUCUGUCCCAAAAAGAACUUGGGACUCUACGAGCUAUCAUUCUAAAGCUAAUGAUAUCUAUGUUUAUGCGUGCUGAUAUUUCUCUGCUUCAACACAUUGAUACUUUGCUCACUAUCAGCCUUAUGGUCAAAAUUCUUUCUGUUAGGUCUUCUCUCUGUCCCUCUCUAUCUCUGUCCCAACCUCUGUAGUCUGUAGUCAUGCAUAGCAAUGCAUCUUUACAAAUAAUCCAAUAAUGGAAGGGGAUGAAAAGGAUCUGCUGGAGCAAUUAUAGCUAAAAUUAGAAAAAUAUAGGACACGGUGAUCCUUGGCCAGCAUAACAGCAGUACAUGAAUUUCACCCAGACGAAAUGGGCAGACUCUCUAUGGCAACUAUGGAUCUCAAUUGUAUUGUUAAUUGGGCCUAAUAUGUACCACCUAUGUCAUUGGAUUUUGCCUAAUUAUUGCACUUCCUUUUUUUUGUCACCUUAUAGUAGUUUUCUGUUGUACCGGCAUUUUAGCAGACAAUGUUUUGACUUAUUUCGUGAUAUGGGUCCAGAUAACUGUGUUUGUCAGUCCAUGACAGCAAGUUCCCUGUUUCCAAUUCGUGGGCAAUAUAUUUUUUUAUAAUUCUAUUGUUAUAGGUUAUAUCGAAUAUUGAUUAUUGUGGAGCCGACCUUUGUUAAAGUUAGAAUUAGAAAACAUAAUUCAGAAGUAUGCACCCUUUAGGGGUACAUAUAUGUUUUUCUCAGUUUAAAUGCAAUUUAUAGUUUGGAUACCAUAUUUGUUCAGCUACUUUAUCAAAUGAAUAAGGCUGUUUGUUCUUAUUCAUCACUGUGAUACACGUGCCUAGGUCAUCAUGUACUUAUAAUCUUUGAAUUUGUGAACUUGAACACAUAGAAAUGUUAGUCCUGGUAUAUUUGUGAAUUCCUUCAUACUUCUAAUAAUGUGGAAUCCUAUUUUUAUCUGAACAUCCUAUGUUAACUGUUCCUUUGUGAAAAAUUCAUGAGCAUGUGCUGAUGUGGAUAUUCUGAACCCCUUUCACUUUGCAAUUAUUCUGUAUGCAUCCUUCGUCUAUUGAUUAUAUGCCCAACUCUUAUAUUGGUUAUUUUAUGCACUUUGUGCAGCUACCGUAGCAACAGAACUUCUCUCUUCGAUGGCAUUGAGGAGGGUGGAAUCAGAGCAACAUCCUAUUCUUCCCAUGAGAUAGAUGAGCAAGAAAAUGAUCGAGCUAUUGAUGGACUGCAGGAUCGUGUCAGCAUUCUCAAGCGGGUAUUGUGCCACUUAAACUUCUUAAUAUUCUAAUUCUAUUGAUUCUAUUAUGCAAAUAAUUGUAGAUAUUACUAUUAUCAUUAGUAGUAUAUUUACUAGAUCAAGCUGUGUUGCAUAGAUAAGAGAUAAAAUAGGUUUGUUAAAACAAUAGUGUGUUCCUUUAAAAAUAGUUCUUCCCUGCUGCAGCUUUAGUGCAUAGUAAUAGUAGUAGUUGUGUAGAUAGGGGAUUCUUGAUUUCUUGUCAACCGUGUCCUUUCCUGGACCAGUUUAGUUUUAAAUAUUUGGAAGUAGUUCAGCACAGUUUUUUGGUUAAAUUUUACCAAAAAGGAAUCUGAUUAUCUGAUGGGCUUACAACUAAGAAUUGGUGGCUGCAUUAAUGCUAUCUGAAUAUUUCAUUGGCCUAACUUUUUUUUUUGAGUGUGGUAUGCAUAUGGUAGCUAACAACUAGAAUGUCUACAUUAAUAAGGUAUGACUUUCUUUAAAAGUUAACAACUAGAUGAGAUAUAGAAGGAUUCUUAUGUAAUUUGGUACGCUUGAAAAGCACUGGGAGUAACCAGCAAAUAGGAAGUCCUGGAGAAUAUCUGGACAUGGGUCAUGCCAUGAUUGUCAAUCUGAUUCUUUCUAUCUGACAUCAGUGUAGACAUUCUCCAAAGUCCAAAUUAAUAAAUAUAUGACGAGCAGAUUAAGGUUUAGGGUGCUUUGCUCAUUUUAUUAAUGGUAUGCUAGAAAAUAAAUAAACAUUCAAACAUCCCAUCCAUUGACUAGUUUAAGUUUGUUGGAAUUGUUCUAACUUUAGGAUUCUUUCCCCAUUUAUCAACCUGGAUAAGCUUCUAGACAACUAUAUAUUUGUUAUUAGGUACUGAAACCUCUUUUACUUUCCUGUAGUUGUCAGGUGAUAUCCAUGAAGAGGUGGAGACUCAUAACAGAAUGCUAGACCGAAUGGUAUUUGCAAUUACCCUGUUUUGGCCCCCACCCCUUUUUUUUGUAAGUUCUGAAUCUGCUAUCCUGCUCCCUUACCAUCAUGCCUGAUUCAGGGGAAUGAUAUGGAUGCAUCAAGGGGUUUUCUCUCUGGAACCGUGGACAAAUUCAAGAUGGUAAGUGACAAGAGAAACAAUUACUAGCACGUAGUUCAUCUGCCCCUUGGUGCCCUUCCGAUAUGUUUCAUGUGUGAAUGAACAUGAUACAGGUGUUUGAGACCAAAUCAAGUCGGAGGAUGGGAACCCUCGUCGCAUCAUUUGUUGCUCUUUUUCUGCUGGUUUACUACUUGACCAGGUAGAAGCAUCCGCUGUGAAAGCUCUGUGGGCUGGCGUGCUCAAGAACAUGCUGAGAAUGGAUGUGCUGAUCUAGGCAGAUGCCGUAUAUACCUUGAAAACUCACUGUCCUGAGUGCAAAGCAUGUUGAUGUGGGUUUCGUGAACUCUGCACUGUAUAACACGACUACAGCGUGUUGGGUCGAUCCUCUGCUCUGUUGCUGGAGCUACAGAAAAUGGAUUCAAGUUUGUUGUCCGUUCCUUUGGCAUGUUAUGUUUAUGGAUAUAUGGUAUUAGUAAUAGUAGUAUGUGGAAUCUCUACCGUGAUGUAUCUAGUUGGUUGCCUUGUGGCUGGACUUGUUUAAUUGUAGAAGCUUUGUUUGAGCACUAUGUGAGGUCGACACGUGUCCCGUGGCAUCUGGCCAAACAAAUCCAGAUGGAAGGAAUGAUAAUGUGGUUGCACCAUGAACAACUGGUAUAAUAACAAUUAUAAGGAGUAUUAUAUGGUUGCAAGACUUAAGGUCAGCGUGUGAUUAAACGCAGGAAUCACAACAAACGCAAUGAUCAAGGAUGCAAUUAUUGAGGCAGCAAGAUGCUCUCUACUCGUGCGGGGAAAGGGUACAAGCACCAAACACCUGUAACUAGCUUAGAUAAUUGCACCAGCCGGUCCUAAUCACAUGCAUGUAUGCCCUAUACAUACCUAUGCCUCAUAUUUCUAUACUAAUCUCGCUAAAUGCACUACCUCUGACAGGUCGAUUUUGGUUUGAAAUAUUUGUCAUUCUUGUCCUCACAGCCAACAAACUUGAUUGUGGUUACAUUAUUUGAACGAACUGGGAUGGAGAAAUAAUUGAAACCGAAGCUGUAGAUAUCGUGAGAUAUAUUACUUUUUUAAAAAAAUGACAGCUUACAAUAGAAACCUAAUGCACAAAACAAUUAAAUACACUCCUCAUCUGGUGGACUAACGCAGAUUGAGCACACAAUGCAACCUGUGUGUUAGUUGCUGCAACGUCGAGUUCAGUUUGUAUUAGGUGUAGUAUUCUUCUGUCUAAUAAUUUAGUGUGUGUGUACCACCUUGGUUGGGCGAGGUUAGAUAUGUCAUGCAGCAGACCACCCCAUCAGUGUUUGACAAAGCUUAGGUUAUCCAUCUCCGGGAGAUGUGCCAACUAUUUUAGUCAUGAUAGUGGGCAAUGCUUUGUUAAAACAGCUUAUUAGUUUAGUUGGUUGCAGUUAGCUUUUGUUUUGUUCCUUUAAUUUGCUUCUUUAGAUUAGCUGGAAGUGGAGGCAUGAGCAUGACAGUAUCUUUAUUUGCUUGGGUUUGCCUUUGUUGUACUUUGCAAGAGUGCCAUGCCGUGUUAUUUGUCAUGGACCACAAGAUCGCGAAGUCACGCAUGCAGGGAUUAGUUUUUUUUUCUAUUUCCUCUAAACUUCAUGUUUAUAUAUGCAUGCUUUCUGAGGAUUAUAUUCGUACACAGCACCGUACACCGUAGCAGGUGUAAGUGUAAGUCUCAGUGAUAUAUUAAGAUGCAGCAUUAUUCAAUAGCACAGAAGCGGUUUACAUUUAGUAAACUAAAGUUAUGACCUUGACAUAAUAUAUUGCGUUGUGAAAAUGAAGGAUAUGUGGCAUAUGUGUAUCUUCAAUAAGAUGAGUACUAGUAAUCUUAUUAGUAAAUAUUUGUCUAGUUAAGGCUACCAAAUGUAGGGACUACUGUCAAGGCUUUAUUAUUUAAUCUGCUGAAAGAUGCUGUGUAGUGGAAUCUUGUGCCACAAAGUUUCUUAAUCUUAUAACACAUAAACAACAAACGUAUGCUUCAGGUCACAAGACAUGCAUCAUCCUUUUGUUUUUGUGCAGAGAUCUAACAUAAAAAGCAUACAUGUAGUUUAUACGUACUUUGCCUAGAAUUAUUAAAACAGAGAGCCUACUUCUAGCCCCAAAAAUCUUAUUGUUCUCCUUUGGCAGUGUAGGCCUUGCUAAGUACUACUAACUGCCUAGCUUGUAUGGCUGCGCUCCUCCAUGCCUCCAUGUUUGACAUACUGAGAGCAAGUAAACUACAUACCAUAGGUCAUCAUAUAGAACAAAUAAACCCCUUGCCAUUUUUAAUUUAUUGCCACUAGUUUGGGCAUCCCGAGGAUAAGUGAGUGAUUGAAGGCCUUUGAAAAUUAUUUAUGGAUAUAUAAUUUGACAAGAGAAAAAGGUACAUAUAUUAGAUCUCUACAUACAUAUAUAGAUGUAUUUGAUAGCUGCAUCAUACAUCUCAGUUCAUUAAUUUAUUGUUUGUCUCAAAUUUUGAAUAUAUAUAUAUAUAUAUAUAUAUAUAUAUAUAUAUAACAUAUACCAACUUAAUAAGCACAACAGGAGGGAAAAUGAAAUCUUAGUUUAAUUAUUCAACCAGCACACAGCAGCAGCAACAUGUGCAAGCAUGGUAUGGUACAUCGCACAAGAUAUACCGAUAAAUUAUGUUUCAUAACUCUCGUGGAUAAAUAGAGUAUUAAUUUUUUUAAUAAAAAACUCAAUCUGCAGGGUAAGAUAGUCUCCAACCAUUGUGUGAUAGGAAAGAUUUACAUAGCUGCACCAUAGCUCUUGUGAGAGCGACCAAUGGCCUAGGUUAGGCCUUAGACGUGUGUUUUGGUAUGGGACAUUAUCAAUGCUCUAUUUGGAGCAGGGAAGUUAACUUAUGCUCUUCUGUCACAAAUGUAAGCAUUCCUGAGUUUGUGAUAUGUCAAGCUAUUUUAAAUUUGACCAAAUUAAGUUAUUAUGUGCAUGCUUGCCUGCUCUUUCUUGGAGAUUAAGAUGGUUUUUUCUGUAGAAGGAGGGGGUCAUGACUCAUGAUCAAUACAUGGAGGGCGCCUACGAUUUAUACCACCAAACCAGUCUACAUUCAUUAAUAUAGUCUGAUAUGGUGGUAUAGCUGCUGAUAAGGCCAGUCUCAAUGCAAUGUUUCAUCUCCCGGUUCCAAAACAAUGAAACUGCACAUGAAAUGGGUAUCUCUCUCAAUGUACUAUUUCGUUGCACGGUUUUACUUAUUAGUUUAUCAUUCAUGGGUCCCACCUUCUCUCUCCCCUUCACUCCUCCUCGCAAGAAACACGAUGGAACGAGCAUGGCGGGGCGGAGGAGUGAGCGCCUGCCAUGGGGGAGCUGUGCGUCCGCGGCGGAGGAGCUCGCGGCCCAACGGAGUCGCUCGCGCUCGCGUCCGGCGGAGGAACUCGUGGCCCGGUGAAGAGGCACGCGUGGCGGAGUCACUCGCGGCUCGUCGGAGUCGCUCGGCUGCGGAGGAGCUCGCCCGGUAGACCCGCUCGCGCUGCAGAGUCGCUCGCAUCGCGGCCUCGCCCAGCAGCGGACGCAACAGAGCCCACGCGCGGCACGGCGAGCGGCCGACCGGCGACGGAACUCGCGUCCACAGAGCCUACACGCCGGCGGAGUUCUAGAUGCAAUGAUAUGAUGAAACGAAUCGAUGCUCUCAGUGCGAGUUUCGUACUAUUUCCAAUGUCUAGGAAACAACGCGGAUACGUUUCAUGGGGAUGAAACGUUUCCCUUCUCUCUCCUACUCGUUUCAUGCAAUCUGCUGAUGUGGCACCUCAUUUAAUGUGCAUGAAACCCCCCAUGAAACCUCAUUGAGACUGGCCUAAGUGUACCUCAAAUUAAUGAUGGUCAAGAUAAAACAUAAGAGCAACAAAGAAAAUUAGGAAAUAACUAAAGACAAUAUUAAAGGUGAACGUAGUAUGUAUAAAUUAUAUUGUAGCUAAUCAUUAUUAAUUAGCAAAUCCAUAAGAAGCUAACUAGUUAAGAAAGAGACCAUGUCCGCAUGUGUCCCUUGUUUGGAUUGUGGUCAUAUGACAACCUUGCAUAUAUCAUGCAAGUGACAAGCAAACGAAACAACAAUAUUCGUUGUACGGAUAGCAUCACUGCAAUCAACUUGUCAAGUAGGACGACCACUUCUAUCUAGUCUCAUAUGUGUUGUUCUUUUUUUUUUGUUCAUUAAAAGUUGCAUUGUGGCGUGACAUCAUUACUAAUUCAAAAAAGCGUACAUACUUGGAAAAGAAACAACAAAUAUAACACAUUGGAUUUUAUUCUAGCUACUUUUGAGAAACAAACAUUCCCUGUCAGAUGAUUAGACAAUUAAAAUUUUAAACGAUGAAUAGCAAAAUCCACUUGCCUGCAGACCAAAUCUUUCUCUCCUUUUUUUUUCUAGAAAAUAACUAAAUGCAACACUCCAUAAAAGAUGGAGACACACAAUUAUUCAUGUGAAGAACAAUACAGGUGUCAACACACAUUUGUUCAAUUAUUAUUGGGCAGGAAAGUUGCAAACGGAAUAGUUUGUGAUUGGCCGAAGAAUAGCAACAAGAAUUGAAGGCAAAGGGCAGAGUAGUUUUGUUUAAUUGUGACGUCGGAGUUUUGUGAAAAAAAAAAGACAUGCACCCUAGCAGCCUUCCGCACACAUCUCGACACAAAAAAACCCUAAUCAAUUUGGCCCAGUCCUAAUUACCGUCCACAACAAAGCUAAGGCCACCCAACCUUAUCACCUUUCUAAUUGAGGACCAACAUCACACCAGCAAUUUUAAAGGAUGGUGGAUCAGAACGGCAAGACAUCAUAUCAAAAAUGUUUUAGUGCUAAUGCUUCUGCUGGUAGCUAGAUGAAAAGAGCCGUGUGGGUAUAAUGGUCAUUUCAAAUAUGAAUGACGCUGCAUAUCGACACGCUAGAUUCUUUCUUGUUGUCUGUUUAAACAAUGCCCGAAUACCAAUUCUCAGCCACGACCGUAGAGAUAGAACUUUUAAUGUUGUUUUUUUUAUGUAACAGUCCUUAGCACACCAAACAACGCACCACCAGCUCGACUGGGGACAGCCUAAAAUAUGCACGACCUCAAAGAAAAAGAAAUUUCUUUGAAAGUAAACAUCUAGCCUGUAACUUGCAUAUAAUACACAAUCUCUUUUGAAUUCACAUGGCAUAUUGGGGACCAGUAGGCAGUCAAAAUCAAAAAUAAAACCAAAUAAGCCGGUGGAGGAACAUGGAUGGGAAAUGGGGGUGAGAAGAGGGGAGUGCUCCUUGCAGAGAGGCCAAGUAGAUUACAUAUUAUAUAGAGGCACCAAAGUCUCUCUCUCUCCCCCCUCCAUCUAUCAAGUCUUCCUGCUUACAUGUCCACCUUUCUUAUACCCACUUGUCCCUUGCUGCCCUCCUCAAAGUUCAGACCAAGCUCUGUGCUCUUCUCCUCCUCCUUGAUCUCUCCAAGCUCUCUCCCUCUCUCAACACAAUACCAAACUCCCACUUAGACAAAGGGGGAGAGGAACCCAUGUAAUUAAAGAGAGAGACUUAUAUAUGUUGUGAUGGGCUAUAGCAUAUGAUGCUUCUCUAGCUCCACACAAAUUAUUACUCCACAGCAAGUGAAGAAAAGUUCUCUCAUAUCAAAGGUAAUUAUCUCUGCAUCUAGAUCUGCUUGCUCAGAUAUACACAUAGAUAUACAUCAAAUCUUUUCUUAUGCUUGGUAGUAGUUUAUUUCAUUCCUGCUGUAUUUCUUAUCUUGUCGAUCGAUCGUGCUACAGAUGAUUAAGCUGAUUGAUCUCUUCUGUGUUUUGCUUUGUUGGUUCAGGCGUCAAGCUGGCGAACCGGUGGUGGAGCGUGCCCGGUCACUUGGGCCUGCCGGAGCAGCCGUCCGGCUCGUCGGGCCCCAAGACGGAGUCCCCGGCCGUCAAAGACCCGGAGCCCAGCCCGGCAGGGGGCGCGCCGGGGGACCACGCCGAUGAGACCAACGAGUCCGGCGGCGGGGAGCCACGCGAGGGUGCCGUGGUGGCGGCGCCCAACCGGCGGCCCCGGGGGCGCCCACCGGGGUCCAAGAACAAGCCGAAGCCGCCCAUCUUCGUGACGCGCGACAGCCCCAACGCGCUGCGCAGCCACGUGAUGGAGGUCGCUGGCGGCGCCGACGUGGCGGACGCCAUCGCGCAGUUCUCGCGCCGCCGCCAGCGCGGCGUCUGCGUGCUCAGCGGCGCCGGGACCGUCGCCAACGUGGCGCUGCGCCAGCCGUCCGCGCCCACGGCCGUGGUCGCGCUCCACGGCCGCUUCGAGAUCCUCUCGCUCACGGGAACUUUCCUGCCGGGACCCGCGCCGCCAGGGUCCACGGGGCUCACCGUGUACCUGGCCGGUGGCCAGGGCCAGGUGGUUGGCGGCAGCGUCGUCGGCACCCUCAUCGCCGCCGGGCCGGUCAUGGUGAUCGCGUCCACGUUCGCCAACGCCACUUACGAGCGCCUUCCGCUCGAAGAGGAAGAGGAAGGUCCAGCUCCACCGAUGGCGCCCGGCGGCGCCGACCCGCUCAUGGGCCCCGGCCACGGUAUCGCCGACCCGUCAGCGCUGCCGAUGUUCAACUUGCCGCCGGGCAACGGGCAGCUUGGAGGGGGAGACGGCUUCCCAACAUGGGCGCACCCGCGGCCACCGUACUGAUGCCAAGUUCGAGCGCAAGUUGCUAAAUAUAAUGGAGAAUGGUGGCGCUGGCGCGCGGCAUGAUCGAUCGUUACUGUUCCAUUGGAGACGAAGACGACGGAGUGGCGCCAUUAGUAGGUUAGUACAUAUGAUGAAGUGGCCAUUAGAGUACUGUGGUUCCUAGUACUACUUUGUUGUCGUCGUGAAAUAAUCAAAUAUAAUGUUGGAGUGUUUAUUUGUACUUAAUUCAGCUAUAUUUAUUUCUCAUCAGCUCGGAUGUGCUGUUGUUGUUGCAUCAUACAAAUGUUUGGCUUUCAGAUAAGUUUAGAGACUGUCUCUCUGCAACUUGUGUGUUCUUAAAUCUCUCUUGUUUAAUCACUUUGAAUUCGAUCAUUUGUGUUUUGCAACUUGUUGUAUGCAUGCAUGUGUUCCUAGAUCUUAGCGCAGUGGUCUUUGCAUUUUGAUCUCUUUUAAGUUCUUUAGUAACAUAUAAAAAGUGACAGGGGUCCCAAAUCAAGUAUCAUCUCUAGCAAAUGCUCUUCUUGGUUGUCUCUCACCUCCUCCCUCUAAUAACAUAAUUGUCUCUUUGGAGUUUGGGUAGGAAUUCAGGAUUUAGUUCAAAAUCCUACAAGUUUGUAUACUUUCUUAUUUUGAAAUGAACAAGUUAUCCCCUCUGUUUCAAAUUGUAAAGUCUUUUCUAGAUACAUAAGUUUUACUAUGUAUCUAUAUAUAUAUACAUAGUUUUCUAGACAUAGUAUAUAUACAUCUAGUCGUAUAACAAAAGCUAUAUAUCUAAAAAAAAUUAAAGCGACUUACAAUUUGAGACAUAUAAAGAGUACUUAUUGUAGAGAUAUCCAGUCCUCCCUAUCCAAGCAGGCUGUAGCUAAAUCUGGUAGGGAAAAAGAGCACACAGUGUAAUCUCAAGCUUGUUUGAAUAUAACAGAACUCUCGGCAUGGUGAGAUCAAGAGCUGAUGCAGCUAGCUAGGACGGUCUGAUAUACUGUUAAAAAUGUUAAUUACAUUGCACUCGUCUUCACAAUGUUUCGAUGUAUUGCAUUGCAACAACUUUCACACAACUGCACUCUGCAGUAGUGUUAUUGUAAAUAGCGAGCCAUUUUCUUAACCUUCUUUUAUAUAAAAAAACAGAAAAUAAAAUAUGCAUGAUUAGGAUAUACUAGGUUAGGAUCGGAGACACACACAUGCAUGCAUGCAUGUGCAGUAGAUAUUUCAUGUUCUGUCGUUAUUGAUACCUGCUCGAUCUCUGAAGAAAAAUGUUCUUGUGCAUGAUAUAUGCGCUAUAGCUAUAUAUUUGCAUGCAAUAUGCAUGCUCAGAUAUAUGUUGAGGCAUGAAGUUCAGAUUUAAAACUUGAUUUGUGUGAGCAAACCUUAGCUACUGAUGCUGCAUGCGCGUGCGCAUAUAUAGUUACUACUGUGUGCAAUGGAAGUGUAGUAAUUACUGAAUUGUAAAACUAAACUUGUGUGUAUUAUCUCAAAUGAAGGCAACAAGGCAUAUAGGAUAUAGCUACUAUAUAUAUACGUGCGCCUUAUUUCACUUUUAAUUUGGGAGCAAGUGCAUAUAUAUCUUGCUCUAGUGUACUGUUGUCGAUCAAAAGUGUGUAUGGGGUGCAGUGUGCAACAUUCGCAUGUCUUGAUAUUUAUCAUUAUUGUUUCAGACUCACCCACCUGGCAUUUUUUUUCCAAACAACGUAAACGAUUUUUAGGCCUUUUUUUGGCUGCAAAGUAUUUCUGAAGUUUUGGAGAAAUACUAUGGUUCCCAAAAGCUAGAUCGAUGUUUCAUGUUUGGAUAUAACAAAUCUUAUAGCCUUUAGAAGACUAAAACUGUGAUUUUAUCAAAACUGUAGUCUUUUUGGAGUUUCAAAACUCAACUGAUGACCUCUUUUUUUUUCUAAACCAAAAUUUUGUAUUUCUUUGAUCUAUAAAACCACAGUGUGAUACUAUAAUUUUUGAAAACCACGUCAUCCAAACAAGCCUAUGUUAGCAUGUGCUAUUUUCAUGGAUACAUUAAUACUAGUUAUGUAGUAGCGUUUCCACAAAUGAAAAUAUAUAUUAUUAUAUUUGUUAUACAAGAGCCUAAUAUACUCCCUUGAAUGUAAAUUAUAAUUUAUUUUAGAUUUUAUACACAUAUAGUUUUUGUUAUAUAUAUAUCUAGACAUAGCGAGGUGCAUAGCAACAGCUAAGUAUUUAUAAAAAAUCAAAACAACUUAUAAUUUGGAAUUUGGAAUGGAGGGAGAGUAUGUUUGUUUUAACUUAUCGGCCCCUUGAAGUUUCGAGUCCCCCCUCCCAUCAUCCUAAUUUGGAAUUCGCUUAGUUGAGGAAGCAGUACAUGUUAUUGCCAACUGUUUUGCAGUAUAUGUAAACAUGUAACUCUUUUCCUAUAUAAGAACUGGCCCCUGAACUUUUGUUCAAGCUAGGGUGCAAGCUCCGGCACUAUUUUCCUCUCUCUCACUGCUGUGAUCAGCGAUGGGAUUACAUAUCCUACUUCAGCGUCAUAGCUUCUUUUUCACUGAGAUUAAUUUAUAUACUACUAGACACAUCACAUCUAUAUACAUGCAUCCAGACCGUGUUAAGAAAUAAUAAUAAAAUGUAAUUUAGCAAGCGCAGUAUGCCAUAUUUUCCGACAACAGAAGCUUCUAUUAUUUUCUCAAGUACAAUACGUAGAGUUUGAUAAAGUUCUGAAAAAACCUACUACUUGUGGUUUCUACUUGACAUGAAACAGUGCAAACGGCCACCGAAAGAGAAGAACCCUGUCCUAAAGCUGAUAUAUAUUAAAUAGAAAUGUCCAUGUACAUUAUAUAUAUAUAUAUAUAUAUAUAUAUAUAUAUAUAUAUAUAUAUAUAUAUAUAUAUAUAUAUAUAUAUAUAAUGCAUGUCUAGCAUGUGUUUGAGCUUAUCUGCCGAAUUUGUCAGCUACUGAAUAGUGUUUUUACUUACAAUAAAUUAACGAACAUUAGUUUCAGCUAUGACUUUUCAACCAAACGAACAAUACUUUCAGCUAUGUGUAAAAGGAACUGAACUAAUAAAAAUUGCAAGCAUAGCUUCGUCAUUUAGUUUUAGCUAGCUAGUGUCUAUCACUGGAGAUUAGCCUUUGACCUUGCCACAUACGACGGGAUUGGACGUGUCUCUAGCUGUAUACGUGGCUCUCUUAUCUUAGUUUUAACCUAAAUUUCUUCAAUCCAAACUCGAUUGCGAGAUGUGUUCGCAAUCGUAAGCGAUUGAUAUAUACUAGUAGCAAUAAGAAAGGUAAAGUGAAUAAUAAGAGGCCGGCCGGUGAGCAGAGCUUAUCAUAAGUGCAUGCACAUCAAAUAGCUCAUAUAAGGGGACAGUAAUGCAAUGAAUUAAAAUGAAGUAUCUACAUACUAGCUAGUUCUGGGUUCAAUGAAGAAGAGUAAACUGUUAAUUGCACUCACUAUUUUUCUUGCUCAUAUAUAGUACUACUAUAUAUAUAUGCAUAAACUGAAGUGUUUAAGAUCUCAAUUGCUCCUGAUGGAUGUGUUUAAGAGAUCUCGAAGAGAUUCAAGUGGCCUAGCUUCUGUUGCAUUAGUUAACCUAAUUGUCUUUAAUAUGUAGAUCGAGCUAACUUGAUGAAGACACGCACGUAUAUAGCAAAGUGGUGUCAGCUAAAGCUAAUGGAAGAUCGAGGCCCUAUAGCUUAGUUGGCUGAGACUGGAAGAGUGAAGAGUGAAGAGCGAAGACACGACGACACGACGACGAUGCUGCUGCUGCUGAGGGACCGCAUGCGCAGGGGGACCAGAUAUGCAUAUUAUUAGUCUGUAUAGAAUUGUUGCACCCCAUUAUAGCUAGUUGCAUGCAUGCGUGCCAAUGUGGCAAAUUAAAGUGUGUAAUUAAGCGCGCUUGUGUAUAUAUAUAUAUAUAUAUAUAUAUAUAUAUAUAUAUAUAUAUAUAUAUAUAUAUGAUGCAUGUAAUCUAAUCGUCCUUUUAUUUUGCGUGGAAAGUUGCUACAGCAUCUCCAAGAGUUUUCAAAACACUCUCUCAAACCUUUGAUUUUUGGCAAGAUUAAAAAAAUACGUCACCAACAACUCACCUCCCAAUCUUUUGGCGGUUGGGAAAAACGAGCAUCUCCAACAAGUUUGCAUAAUUCACUUGGCAAAUUUCUGGAUUUGCCAAGUCUAAACCCCAAAUGCCAAGUGAACAAAAAGGUAUACUCCAACAAGUUGGCAUUUGGGCUUGGCAAAUUGAAAACUAAAGGCCCACAUGUCUUAAUUUUUUUGGUGGGUCCGGUUCCAGACAUCAGAAAGCCGCCGUACUCCUUCGUCUUCCGAUCCAGAGCCGCGCGCGUCCUUGCAUCGCUUCGCAUGCAUGCCGUCGCACCUUCCUCAGCCGCGUGAUCUGUUUCCUUGUAGGACCGCGGGAAAAAAAGGAAAGGCCGAGAGGUUUUCGCUCGCGCGGGACAACAGGAAACACCCGAAAAAACAUCGAUGCCAAGCGCUCGAGUGCGCGCAAAUAUGCGCUGGGAAGGGCUGGUUUUGCCAACCUUGGCAAUUUGCCAAGUCCAUUUGCCAACUUGUUGGAGGAUGGUUUUGUGGUUUUGCCAAAAAUCAAGAUUUGCCAAGUGCAUUUACCAACCUGUAUCAAAAUUACGCGCAUGCGCUCUCGUGUAUCCUCCAUCCUUCUUCGCCUUCGCACACGACUUACUCCAAGGAGAGGCGGCGGCAUCAUGUUGGGCAGGACUGCUGGAGCAGUGCAAGACGAGCGACUUGUUAUGAUGCACAGAGGGAGCACCUAGUGACGCAGAUUGGGGAGCUCUGAAGAAGAUGAAGUUUUGGAAUCCAAUUUUGCGGAACUAUUGCAGUUGCAACUUUUCUUUCUCUCCAAAAUAUUUUGGGAAGGUUGAAAACCAGUUUUUUUGAAAGUAUUUUUUUUUUAAUCUCCAGAGUAACCAAUAAGCCUUCCCAAUCAAUGAUUUUGGGAAGAAUGAAAAAAAAUCCAUCAACAACAACUCUCAAACUCACCUCCCAAUCUUUUAACACUUGGAAAAAAUGUAUCCUUGUGUGUUAAGAUAGAAAAAGUAUUCCUGAUGCAAAUAUAUAAGAGAGGAUAUAUAAAAGUAGUUAAGAUAAUUUUGAUAUAGUUUAGGAUUUCUGAUGUAAAAUUGUUUUUUAUAUUUUAAUAGUGAAUUAUUAGAAACUAUUGGGAUUAUCUUAUUUAUUCCUUCCAAUACUUUUUAGCGAGUUGGAAAACUAGAUGGUUUUGGAAAUAAUUUUUUGGAAACUCUCGGAAUGUUCCAUAUAUGAUUUAAUAUAUACCACCUCCGGUCCUGGUCCUGAAAUAUGUAUAAUAGGAUUAGAGGGUGGCAAGUUAAAUUAUCUUAAGUUUUAUCAAGUUUUCUAAAGAAUAAUUUUUCGAUGUGAAAUGAGGACCAUAUAUAUUCUGUGGCCUGAUCUGCUAGCAUGGUAUCACAGUGAUGCCCGACUCUCUACAAGUCUCUCUUGGGUAAAGUUUAUUUUACUCUUAAGGGCAUGUGCUCUCACUCUUCUAUUCAUUGGAUUCGUUUUGAAAAAUGUGCAAACAUAUAUCUCUCUUGGUUAAUCACAAGGCUUUUCCCACUCCUCGCGAAUCAGACGAGACCCUGCAUGCCAUGCCAAGACCUCCCCCGCAAAGCAGUUUGUUCAGUCCAUCUCCGGUUCCUCCAAAAUUUGUUGAAUUGGCGCAGCAAGCAUGCAGGGGCUCUGAAACGAAUUGGAGGAGAAAGAGCUCCGUGCCCCUCAAAAUUAAAGAAGAGCUAGGUAGGUACUGCAUCUGUUUUCCUGUCAAAACCAUUUCUAUAUCAACUAGCUGCAAACAAUAAUAAUAAUAACUCUAGCUGAUAGAUCUAUAUAUACGACGACUUAGCUUUAGUUUCUUUUUGAACUAUUCAACCAUCCAACUUAUAAAAAACUAUCAACUUAAUUAUAAAAACAUUAGCUGAUCCAAAUGGGCCAUCAAUGACUCCUUUUCCACGUAUGUGCCUAGCGGGCUGGGCCAAAUACCUUGCCAUGUUUGUGCAGGAAGUUGAGAGCAUUAAUUUGUUACAGGUAAAAACCAUACUAGAAUAUAUCGCUGUUUUGCACACUUUAAUUUGAUCUUACCCCGGCCUUGAUGUUUUUGUAAUGGUUGUUGUGUGCAUCGGGUUCAUCAAAGUGACUACGUAUGUACUUCAUACACCUUGAAUGUGUUUCACUUUUCAUUGCUAAAUUAAAUCUUAGCAUCCAAGCCAAAGAAUUAAUCAACUUCCAACCUUUCUUCUCCAUAUACGUAGAACACUUGAAGGUUUUAUCAUCCUUUUGCAUCAUAAUCAACUUGCUACACAUGCAUAUAAAAGGAUAUAUAUACUGUGCAAAUUGCUAUUCUUGCUUGCACCUGUUUUGUGUGACAACACUCGUACGGGGGCACCAGUCAGUUUCACAAAACUUUGAACACACAAGUAUUGGCAAGCGUACGUUGCUAGUUAGGCGAAUCAUGCAUUGUUUACAUAUAAGUUCUUUUGGCCGGCGUGUUCUUGAUGAGUAUUAUUUGAUUAUUUUUUUUUUCCAUUUGUUUGGAGAUAUAAAUACUUCAGACACCAACACCACGAGAUAUAUAGAUACGUGGACUUGUUGUUCUGCUGCUAGCUCUGCCUGAUGAUAUGUCGUCUCUCUCGGCGCCGGCAGCUUCCUCCAUCCUCCUCCAUGCCUAUGCCUUGCUGGUCCUCACGACGAGGACCCUGCUUCUCGUCGCCGCCACAGCAUCAUCGUCUGUCCCGGUGGACGACGUGAACACGACGACGACGAUGCUGACCACCAACGGUUCGGUGACGACGACGACGACGUCUCCCAUCAUGAGUGCCGCUGCCGCUGCCGCUGCCGCUGCCUCCGAGAAGUGGGAGAUGUACUACUGCUUCCUGUGCACGGGGCGCCACCCGCUGCUGAUCCACCGCUGCCCCAUCUACUGGGACGAGUGCCAUAUCAACUGUUGGGAUGCCAUUCCCGACGAUCCAUCAUCAUCAGCACCCCCGGCGCCACCAGUGGGCUCAUCGUCGUCGGCGCCGGCGCCGGGCAAGGAUUGCUACGUCAUGAAGCUGUACAAUUCCGGCCGCUACGUCAUCGUCCAACACCUGAACUGCGAUUACGUCGCCACGUACGCGUGCUUCCUCACCUGCGGCGGCGGGGAACUAGUAGCCGAUCAUCAGAAAGCUGCAGGCGCAAUGGCCACCACCACCACGGUCCAGCAGGGGAGCCUUUUGCCUUUCGAGCUCUGCAACACGCAGCUGCUGGUCAAUGCUCUGCGGGCUCCACCAUCAGCAGGCGUCGACGUCGUCACGGCGGCUCAUGGUGGUGCACAUUGAUCGACGUACGAUCGACGGUCCUAGCUAUAGCUAGCUCUAGCUCCGCUGAUAUUUAUGUUAGGUUUUGUCAGGAGUUGUUCAGUUUCCAACCUGUUCUUUCUCUCUAGCUCGUGAGAAUGAAGGUUUUAUCAUCCUUUUAUUUACAUCUUACUUAUUAAUCAACUAUAUAUGGGAGGACACAUGCAUGGCAAUGCGGGGCUACUUUUCAUGUUCACAAAAUUUGAACUGACAUGCGUGCGUUGCUAGUUAGGCGAAGAAUCAUGCAUACAUUGUUGUGUACAUGCAUGUUCUUUAUUAGAUCAACGGCGUGUGCGUGUUCUUGAUGAGUAUUCAAAUUUUACUGAAUUUCACAAAAUUUGGAACACACAAGUAUCGGUAUGUGUACGUUGGUAACGUUGCUAGUUAGGAGAAUCAUGUACGUACUGGCGUGAUGUUCGUGGUCCGUACACACUCCGAUCCGCCCGUCGUCUAUUUCUGAAGAUUGUUUUGCCAUAUAUGUAAAUAAAUUUGUAAAACAAUGCAUGUUUGGCAAACAGAUCGACAUGCCCAAUAGUUUUGGAAAUAUAAAUAAUAAGUACUUGAGCAUGCGUGCCAACAACACCAAAUUAGCUAGCCUAGCCAUCGUCCUCGAUCUGCUCCUCUGCCUGGCAUGCAUGUCUUCCACACUCCUCCAUGCAACCGGCCUGCUGGCUGCAUGCUCCUCGCCGCCAUGCAAUGCAAUGCAUGGUCGUCUCGUCUCCGCCGCGACAUCCAUUAAUUUCCAACAGCUCGGCAAUAUAAUAAUGUUGUCGUCCCCUGAUGACAAGGAGCUAGCUAGAGAAGUUUGAGAUGUACUUGUGCUUCGUCUGCUCGAUCGGGGCGCGACCCGCUAGCUGCGCGCUGAUAUGAUGAUUCACCACUGCCCCAUCUAGCUACUGGGACGAGCUAGCUAGUGCCACCUCAUCUGCGACGAUCGAUGACAUGUCCAGCAGCAGGCAGGGGAGCUUUCUGCCUGUCGAGCUAUGCGGCCACGCAGACGCCACCAUCAGCAUCAGAGGCGUGUCUGCAUACGCGAGAUCAUUUCAGACUGACAAACUUGCUAUUCAGUUUUACGCCUGUUAUGUCCCUUCGACUCAUCAAAGUGACUACACUUGAGUGUCUCACUGGCGAUGUUUUUUUGUCAUUGUGUGAAACUUUAGGUUUUUACCAGAAAAUGUUCAAUUUUCAACAUUUCUUCUCUAUAUGGUCAAAACAAAUUUAUCUUAAAGGGUGUAUCAUCCUUUUGCAUCUUAGUAACAAACUAUAUAUGGUACACAUGCAUGAUGGAAUGAGAUCAUAUACUAUUACUGCAAAUUUCUAAUCUUGCUUGCGCCGUGGCAACACGCGGGUACCACCUAGUUUCACAAAACUUUUGCAUUGAACACACAAGUACUACUAGCAUGCGUACUAUGUUGCUGGUUAGGAGAAUCAUGCAUGUGUUGUUUGCAUGAUCAUUAAUUAGCUCGGUGUGAUCUUGAUGAGUAUUUAAAGUUUUUUUUACUGAGUUUCACAAAAAAACUUGAACACACAAGUUGCGGCAUGUGUAUGUUCCUACUUCCUAGUUAGGGCACUCACAAUGCAAGACUCUAUCACAGAGUCUAAGACAAUUAACUACAUAUUAUUUAUGAUAUUUUACUUAUGUGGCAGCAUAUUUAUUGAAGAAAGAGGUAAAAAAAUAAGACUCUAACUCUUAUUUAGACUCUAAGUCCACAUUGUUCGAGGUAAUAAAUAACUUUAGACUCUAUGAUAGAGUCUGCAUUGUGAGUGCCCACUCAUGUAUUGUUUACUGGCGUGUUUGGUUCCCACUCGCCUGACCUCACCUCGCCCUGCCACCGCAGAAACCAAGAAGCUCACCCAGGGCCUUGCUUAGUCCUGGGUGAAAAGUUUUUUUUCUAUUGUAUUACUUUUAUUUAUAUUUAGUAAUUAUUGUUUAACUAUGGACUAACUAGGUUCAAAAAAUUCGUCUCUCAAGUUAUAGACAAAACUAUACAGUUCGUUUUUUUAUCUUUACUAGUUAAGUACUCGUGCGUUGCAACGGGAACACUAAGUACUACAAUAACACAUAUAUAUGAGAGUGUUUUACAAUGUUGAUACCAAUCAUAUUACAUAAAUCUUCAAGAAAGGUAGAUAACUAAAAUAUAACUCUAAAUUUAAUUGCGAAACAGAAACAUCAAUAGCACGUCAGUAAGACAUAGCUAUUUGUCUCUCAUUUCUUUCCGACUUCCUCUAUUACUACCUAAAAUUCAGAUGUAUACAAUACGUCAGUACCUAAGGACGCAAAUAUAAAAAUACUUGAUGAUAAUAUUGCUCGUGAUGUGAUGUAGUUCUUGUCUACUUAUUAGCACUGAGGGCAGGAAAUAUGGAGUCAAUUAGCGUAUCCAUAUCACUGCCUUCCCCAGUCUGUGGUAUGCAUAUAUGAAGCCGGAUUUCACCAUCACUAUUAGCUCCCCAAUGCGUAGCAAGUAUUUUGCAUACCAUGGGCCAUUCUUUGCCCUUAUGUUGUGCAUCAGUUUGAGAUGUCGCAUGGAAUUCCAAAGGUAUGACAUCCGCAGUGAGGCAAUAACUAUUUGAGCCCUUGACCAUUUUCGUACAACUGGGAGAACCUGCAUGAAAUCUCCACUAAAUACAAUAGUCUUCCCACCAAACGGCAAGUCACGACGGUCCAUGAUACCACGGAGGCUGUAGUCUAGCGUUUGAAUUUGAAAGAGAGAAUAUGUGAGGAAGAGAAUCCGUGGACCCAGUAAAGUUUAACUUCCGUCAUAUCAAAUAUUUGGAUAUAUGUAUAGAGUACUAAAUAUAAACUACUUACGAAACUAAAAACACAAAUAAAAAGUAAUUUGAGAGACAAAUCUUUUAAGUUUAAUUAGUCUAUGGUUAGACAUUAAUUAUCAAAUAAGACAAAAAUGUUACACUACCUGAUAACUUUAACAUCCCUAAUCAAAUAAUGAAGGUGAGUUUAUUUGGCCUAACACAGAAAAACAAUAACGAAAAGAAGUAGAACCACAUUAAUUUAAAACUCAUAUACAAAAGCCGGUGGAUCUCUCAUCUAUCUACUCAACUGCUCUCCCGUUGCGCUGUCUAGGCGUUGGGCUUCCCGCUUCCUUCACUUCCCAGUGACGCUGCUCUGCUUCCUCUCCCAAGCUAUGCCGAUCCAUGAGAGACAAAUUGCAAAGCGGUGGCAGUGCCUCUGCACCCAAACACUAAAUCAUAUGUGCGGUGCUCAAAUCCUACGUUCAGGAGAUAUAGCAAAUGAUGCUUCUACAUUUAAACACUCAAACUCAAAAAUUUAAAAGAUUCUCUAUUACAUCGAAUCUCGCAGCCAAUGGAUGGAGCACUAAAUAUAGAUAAAAAAAUUAACUAAUUACACAGUUUACCUAUAAAUCGCAAGACAAAAUUUUAAACCUAAUUAAUUUAUGAUUAGAUAAUGUUUAUCAAAUAUAAACAAAAAUAAUACAGUAUCAAAAUUCAAAAAAUGGAUCUAAACACACCCUAGGUUAACACAAGCCAAUACCUAGUUGUUUGGUUGAAGUGAUUGUUGAAGCCUGGCUAAGUUUUGGUUUGUUUGGUUGCUGGCUUUGACUUGUAUAAAAUCACCUUAUCCUAAUACUGGUAAGUUUACCCCGUUGACACAUUUUGUCAAACAUAUUACCUUGGCCAUGGCCACUGCAACAUCUCCAGCAUGGAUCAAGGCACCACCGUGCACACGCGCAUCAAUCAGCGAGGCACUACCCACCACCGCUCUCACCUGCUUCGUCCCAGGCUCCACCUCCACUGGCGACGUGAGAUCGACGAGGCAACGGCGAGGCGUCCUUCCCCCGUGCACACCGACGACGAGGAAAGCCAAGGACCCUGCUGUCCACCCGCGGCGGCGAGCCGUAUUUGAGCGCGGACGCCGAGGAUGCUCGGACUCGGGCACGGACACCAUCCCCACUGACCUUCCUACAUGGGCGGAGGAGAUGCAGCAUGGUGGUGUGGAGGAGAUGCGCGGGCGGGCGGACGAGGAGGGAUAGGGCGAGUACGGAGGGGCCGAGGGAGGGGGGAAGACCUCCUACCGUGGCGGACUCGGAACGCCAGGACCUUGCCGCCGGGCGAGCACAGCUUCCAUGGCAGACUCAGUCGCGACCCACCCGCCGGAUGUGGAGAAGGAGGAGCCCUGCCUGCGGCGUGGGGGAGCGGCGCGCUCUCUCCACGACGUUGGGGAGUGGCCGGAUCCAGCAGCGGAUUCGUCGGAGGCCGCAGAUUCGUGUUGUUCGCAUCGGUCGGAUCCAGCAGCACCGUUGCGGUGCCCUCAGCCAUGGGCGGCGACGGCAGCAACACGGGCUCCGCGCGCGGGGGAGCAACGCAUGGGGGAGGAGGAGGUGAGCGCGUCGGGGAGCAGCGUGUGGGGGAGCAGCGCGUGGAGGAGGAGGAGAGCAGCACAGGCUCGAGGCAAGGGAGAAGGAGGUGACCGGAUACGACUGUGGAGGCUGGCCAAGCCAGGCUUGCCGAGAACGGCCGAAUCGGCUGUUUCCAGCAAGCCCCCCAAAUCCUCUGAUUUUGGGCUUGCUGGAGCAUGGCUAGCAGGCCAUCCAGCCAACCAAACAGGCUCAGGUUGCAUUCCACAAGCCUAGCUAGAUCCUUAAGCAGGUAACCAAACACAUUCAUAGUUACUUCAGGAUAAAAUUUGAAUGCUAUGAAAAUUAAAAUUUUAAGAUAUAGAAAGUAUAUUACUGCUUAAGACAUGUAUAUAGAGGUUAAUAGUACCUUAUAUUCUUCGAAUACCUGUCUUAGUGGAAGUUUUUUAUGAAUUUUAUGAAUAUCAAAUAAGUUGAUGUGAUAUAAUAUUGAUGAACAAUGAUAUGAUAACAAUUUUAUAGGAUAAAAUAAGAUUCACCGAGAUAAAAAUUUGUCUGCACCGUUUUAAACCCAUAUAUAAGAGUUAAAUCUCCACUGAGAUCGGUCUAGCAACGAUACAAGUGUUGUCAUCGAUCGUCAAUACCGAUGAGACUGCACUUUACUAUUGGUCACGGUGUUUCCACAUUUCAAUAACUUUAUAAAAAUGGAUAAUUUUAGUUGUCAAAACUUUUUAGCGAGGAUAAAAGUGCCAAGAAAUUGCUUCUUUUGCGCGCGUGAUCGUCCUACACGGCUACGACAACGAUAUGGAACCAUAUAUGGAUAACAACGACGACCAGGGCGCGUGGAACGUUACCGUACAUUUCGGUAGCCGUAUAUAUAUACACGCGUGGAGGUGGGGCUAGCACGUACGUACGUUCAUGAAUCUUGCCAAGUGGAUGGGAGUGGAAUACGUACUGUGGACUGUCGUACGUGCUAGUCACGGUUUAUUAGCAAUUAAUAAGUAGCAUUGUGGCAAUUAAUAUGUCAGGUUCCACAAGCGCUAAUAUACAAAUAAAUAUAGAUACGGGUAUGCAUAUAGAUACUCACUCCGUCCCUAAAUACUGUUAUUUCUAGAAAAAAAAAUUUGUCUACAAAUACUGCUAUUUCUACUAGCAUACUCAGUCCACCAGCUCAUUUAAUUAUCCUCAGAACUUGCGUGGUUCACCAACUCAUUUAAUUUCUUCUAGGGAGUAGUACUUUGGCGCAUGGUAAUUGGUUGAGUCUAUUCAGUUGACAUUAAAUGCAGCUCGUUGGAACUAGAGAAUCAUGGCUUAACGUGCAUGAUUAAAUGGUGGAACCUAAAUUAAUUAAGGGUAGAAUGGUCUUUUGUUUGUCACACUAAUCUGUCUGAAAUCUGCUAGAAAUAGCAGUAUUUGGGGACGGAGGGAGUAUAAGAAAGGCUCGUUCCUCCAUUCUACCCACUCCGCCUAAAAAAAUCAAAUUUUAAUAGUGGUUCUAAAUCAAUUUUUUUAACUUUGACCAUUUUUUUUAAAAAAAUACUAAAAUAUAUGGUAUCAAGUUAGUAUUGUUAGAUUUAUUAUAGAAUAUAUUUUCAUAUGAUACGUAUUUUAUGUCAUAGAUGUUGUUACUCUUUUUGAUAAAGUUAAUCUAACUUAAAAAAAUGAUUGACACAGAUUUUAGGAAUUAAUUCUUUAAAAGGAGUACAUUGUAAGUCGUCCUAUCCGGAUAAUUUACAGUUUAGAACAAAUAGAGUAUUAUCACCCGGCUAGUUAUUAAUAGAAAACAUUUGGAUAUGCCAGCUAAUAGAUGGUCGAUAGUUAGUUGGAGGUGCAUAUAAAGUAUUAGCGCCUCCACCAACUAAUAAGCUAAUGUCUUCAUUUCAAAUUUAAAAUCAUUUAUUUAUGUACCUAGACAAAGCGUGCAUAUAUUCGUAUACAACAAAAUCUAACUGUCUAAAAAUACCAAAAUGACUUAAUUCAGAGCUAUGUACUAAUGGUUAGGAACUUUUUUUGCCAAUACUAGUUAAAAAUUCUAUUAUCAAGUCUGUUUGAUAUCCAUGUACUAAUUUCAGCUGCUAACUGUUAAUGUAAGUGGAUUCAACAAACCUGGAUAAGGAAAAAAAAAAGAGAGAGAGACAACAACUACCUUCGUCCAAGAAAGCAUUAAUUCUAGCAUAAUAUCACGUUUUAGUAUCUUAAGUCUAACGAAUUAUAGAUAAAAUAUAUUAGUUUUUAUGAUAUUAAAUAAAAAUUACUAUAUUAGUUAUGAAAUGUAUUUUCAUAAUAAGUUGAUUUGGAGCUAUAAAUAUCAAUAUCAUCUAGGGCCUUGUUUACUUCCCAAAAAAUUUUGUAAAAUUUUUCAGAUUCCCCGUCACAUUGAAUAUUGCGGCACAUGCAUGAAGCAUUAAAUAUAGAUUAAAAAAUAACUAAUUAUACAGUUUGCUUGUAAUUUGUGAGAUGAAUCUUUUGAGCUUCGUUAGUCCAUAAUUGGAUAAUAUUUGUUAAAUACAAACGAAAGUAUUGCAGAGUCAAUUACCAAAAAUUUUGGAACUAAACAAGGCCUAGGGCCUAUUUAUUUCUCCCCUUUUUGCCAAAACUUUUAUUAUUUUACCUUAUCUUUUGGCAAAAUGGAUUUAAACAGCAUAUGCAAAAAAGAGCAAAACCUGAGCUGCUAAAUUUUCAGCAUUUACGACUCUAGAGGUCCUUACUAGGUAAAAAAACGUCAUGGGAGCAUGUGAUGUGUCUCCAUGACUAAAUUUUUACCAUAGAUCUAAAGUUUUUGGAUUCUGACAGUGUAGUAUUUUCGUUUGUAUUUGAUAAUUAUUGUCUAAUUAUGGGUUAAGUAGGCUUAAAAGAUUCCUCUCGUAAAUUAUAGAUAAAUUAUGUAAUUAGUUUUUAUUUUCGUCUAUAUUUAGUGCUCCAUGCGCCAUAAGAUUUGAUGUGAUUGGAGAAUUUUAAAAAGUUUUUAGAUUUUAGAGUAAACUACAUAAGGGCCCUGUUUGGAUACUCUAACCAAGUUAGAGGUUAGAGUUAUUUUGUAGCUUAUGACUAACCCUCAACUAACUUUAGCCGAAGAGGUGUUUGGAUGCAAUGGUUAAAUUAACAAUAAAUAUAAUUUCCUAAUCAUUUGGCUCCUUUGCAGUUAGAUUUGGUGUAGCCCACUGUUGUGUGGCCACCUCCCACUCAUAAAUGUCAAAAACAAAUCAUCUUUAGAAAUCAAGUAUCCAUCACACGAUAAAUUUUAUUUUAUUUAUACAAAUGAGAUGUCUCAUUCAAACAUACAAGUUAUGAAUGAAGCAAAAAAAAUUACAGUGGGCUAGAAGGAGCGGAUGCCGUGCGGAGCCGGCGGGCUAGGAGGCGAGUGGGGAAUAAGAUCCCGUGCGGACAGGAUGAGAGGCCAAUGUCUUUUCUCUGUGGGUCCCACCUCAAAUAUCUCCAAAUAGUCCAAAUACGCACCUCUUUGGGGAUAGUUGUUUUGGGUUGGUUAGAUGCAAAUAACCCUAAUAUAACCCUCAUGUUUGGAUACUUUAGGGCUAUUUAAGCUCUAAAUAACUAAAUCUAACUCUAACCCAUGGAUCCAAACAAACAGGGCCAAGGUCUAAAUACCAAGAUAUAAAGUUUGAAUGGCCUAAAGUUUUGUAGCAAAAAUUUUAUCAUUUCAAAAGUAUCUAAACACCGUACUAGAAACUUGGUCAGACGUUCCUGGGCGGGGGAGAAGUACUAGCUUUAUACGGUACUAUUGUGUACAUACAGCUUCGACACAUGGACGUACCUACUACGCGCAGCAUUUACGGAGUACUAUUACGUUUCCCCUUGGUCGCAGAAGAUCCAACGGGGAACCCCCAAGAAGUAGAAGGAUGAGAAAAGGACAGGUACGGUGGACCGGGCCGGACUGGAUGCAAUGCAUGCAUCAUGUCCAUGUCCAGGUUCUCCUCCCCCUGCCUCAGCCUCACACUUGUAGUCGCUUUGCUUGCUUUCGGGGUUUGGACGGCAAAUUUGAUGCCCCUGCCUGCCUGCUGCUAAUUGCAGGUUCAGAGUAUUGGCAUCGCCAUUGCCGCCUGAGACAUUUUCCAUUUGCAGCGUGGCAAACGGAAUCCUCUCUUCUCUCCUCUAUGGAUCUAUUUGGUUCACGUUUGGUUCCAGUGAAUAUAAGAGACUUUUGUCUGGUUUAUUUAUGCUAGCAAAGUCUAGCUUGUCUUGAUCAUGUUUGGUAAAUCACUUGUCAUCCCACAAAUUUUGACAAAUCAAUAGAAAAAUCUCUCUUCAACAGUUUGCUAAAUAUGUUUAUCAAAAAUCUCCGGUUGCCAAAACCAGGUGUCGCCGCACGUAUUUCUACACGCGCGUACUCCUUCGCGCAUCUCCUCCUGCGCCGCGACUCGAGCCGCCACGGCGUGCGCAUCUGGGCGUACGACCGCUCCGCCUACUCCAUGCGCGGUGUCAACGUCGUGCUCAACUUCCCGGAGGACGCGGCCGUCUACGCCGUGGCCUCCCGCGGCGGCUCCGGAGGAUCCUCCUUGUCGUACAGGCGGCAGCAGCAGCAGGGCGGCAGGGGCCGCGGAACAAAGAUAAGACGACGGUGGGUGGGCCGGUCAGUCGGAAGGGGCGACGGCGGCGCAAGCCUAGGACGCCACCUUGGCCAUGGCGUCCUCCCUCGACGUUGGCGUUGCAGAUGUUGGCCAAGGACUGCAUGUGCUUCAUCCCGUACUGCGCGAGCGGCCCGUAGCGGCACUCGUACGCGCGCACCGCGCUCGUACGCACGCACCAUGGACUUGAGGCAGUCCCAGUCAUCGGCAAGGGCCUGCCCUGCCGGCCGCACGACGCCGAGUACCCUGGGGCUCUCCUCCUAGCCGAACAGGAGGCCGCCGAUGAGCUCCAUGGUGAUGUCCACGCGGGACCGGCAAGACAUGACCUGCAGCGGCUGCCUAUUGGAGAUGUAUGGGUAGUUAGGGUGUGGGCUUUUUUAAAAAAAUUUGGCAAGUCCAAAUAGCAAACUAUUAGAGAUAGUCAUUUUUUCACUUAUAAAAUCUUUUAGCAAGUUGCCAAACCUUAAAACAUGGUAAAUAAUUUUUAGUUAGAGAUGGAUCUAAUUCCUUAUGAAGGUGGCCAAGGGAUUGAUUCAGGGUGGCGGUCGACGAGGUGGAGGGUGGUGGGCAGUGAGGCACAAUGCGGAGAACAAACGUCUCGGGCGGAUAUAUAUAAAUGUUUGUUUUUUUUCAUUUUUUACUUUAUAUAUAGAGCUUGUUUGUUUAAAUUUAUCUAUUGUUUUUUCUCUUAUAAUAAAUUAAUAAACAGUGUUUUCGGCUAUGAUUUUUCUGCCAAGCGAACAAGCUCUAUAUUUUUCACUUCUCCUGUAUUUUCAACACUCUUUCACAAUUGACUAGGCCUUGUUUACUUCCAAAUUUUUUUGCAAAAUAUGAAUAGUGACACUUUCGUUUGUAUUUGAUAAAUAUUAUUCAAUCAUGGACUAACUAGAGUCAAAAGAUUCGUCUCGUCAAUUUCGACCAAACUGUGCAAUUAGUUUUUAUUUUUGUCUAUAUUUAAUACUUCAUGCAUGCGUCUAAAGAUUCGAUUUGACGGAGAAUCUGAAAAAUUUUGCAAAAUUUUGUGGGAACUAAACAAGGCCCUAGUAUAAGUAAAUUGUUACUUUUAUGAUUUGUUAUUAUUUGUCUUUAUAUCAUAAUAUUUUUAUUUUUUUAUCCUUGUCUUACUACAAACAUGCUUGUAAAUUGUUGACGUUAAUUGUCUUUGUGUCAACACAGCUCAAAUUUUAUCGAGUUUGUGGUUUUGUCUAACAGUUUUUUUUGUUAUUCUCGAGAAGACAAAAAUGUGUAGAUUAUGCCUGCAUAAAUUACAAGAAACUAAAGCUAGCAAUUUUUUUUUUUGAGGAGAUGUGUAAACACGGUUUAGCCGCUAUGAUUAGUGGUGCGCGUGUGCCGUAGAGACAAGCAGGAAGAUAUUUUGGCCGCAGCUGUUCCAUCCUCCCAUCCCGAAGACCAAAGGAGGAGACGCAAAGGAAAGGAAAAAGGGAAAAGUGGCAAGGGAAAGAAGGGUGGGCAGCAGAAGCAAAGCAACACCCCCCCCCGUGACCAGGUGAUCUUUCCUCACUGACAGCGGGGAGGAGACGGAGGAGGAGCCUCUCUUCACUCGUCCAGUCAUCAGUCAGGUCAGGUCCCCAAUGCCUCCUCUCGCCCUCUCAAGCAUCUCCCUACCUCCGUGUCCUGCUCCAUCCAUCCCCAUCCCCAGGUUGGUUGCUGCUCGAUUGGAUUGGAUCGCUCCACCAAUCCAUCCAUCCAUCCAUCCAUCUGUUUCCACCUGAUUCUUCUCCUCGAUCGGCCGCCUGCAGAUCUGGGUCGCAACCAUCCCUCCCCUGCUCCCGGGCGUCGCAACAACAAGCGCCGAUUCAUUCAGUUACUGCUGCUGAUACAGCUUCCAGUAGGCAACAAUUCCAUCCGUUUCUGAUUGCUGCAGAGGGACGCACGGCAAACAGAGUUCUCAACUUUUCCAGGCAAGUUCGUUCAAUCAGAGGAGGGAGGAUUCAGAAAUGCAUGGUUUCCAUCCAUCUUUCCACGGAAUGGGAAUCCAAACUCUCGUCGAUUUGGUAUCUGAUCCUUCUCCUUUCUUUGCUUUGCUCUGCUGCAGUGCGGGAGAGGUCCCCAAGCCGUCGUCUUUUUCUUGGCCGGCCCGGAGGAGCUCCUCUGCCGGAUCGCUUUCCUUCCCCUUCGACGCUGCCGCAAUGCCGCCAGCGUCAUUAUAAAUCGGCAGCGCUGACCACAUGGUACGCUCCCCCAAAUGCUAGACUACUGUAUGCGAAAGUUGCAAUCUUUUUCUCGUUUCUCCUCGGCAACUUGCCAAUUUGGUCGUCCUUGUUUACAUCAGCAGCGGCGGCGGCGCAGCUGAACUGGACCCACCGGACGAUGCUUUGCCCGAGAUCCGGAUGCUCAUCCAGACAUUCAUCCCCCAUCGCCAUGCGGAUGCGCUGGCUCCUCCUCUGGGCGCUCGCCGCUUUCGCCCCCGCCCCCGCCCCCGCCCUCGCCGCCGGCGAGAUGGGGUACACGCAUUGCGGCUGCGACGGCGGAGGAGGCGCCGGCGGGUUCUGGAGCCUGGACAACAUCUUCAAGUGGCAGAAGGUGAGCGACCUGCUCAUCGCGGCGGCCUACUUCUCCAUCCCGCUCGAGAUCCUCUACUUCGUCGCGGGGCUCCGCCACCUGCUCCCGUUCCGGUGGGUGCUGGUCCAGUUCGGCGCCUUCAUCGUGCUCUGCGGCCUCACCCACCUGCUGGCGGCCUUCACCUACGAGCCCCACCCGUUCAUGGUCGUGCUGCUCCUCACCGCCGCCAAGUUCCUCACCGCGCUCGUCUCCUUCCUCACCGCCAUCACGCUGCUCACGCUCAUCCCGCAGCUGCUGCGCGUCAAGGUCCGCGAGAGCCUGCUCUGGAUCAAGGCCCGCGAGCUCGACCGCGAGGUGGUGCUCAUGAAGCGCCAGGAGGAGGCCAGCUGGCACGUCCGCAUGCUCACCCAGGAGAUCCGCCGCUCGCUCGAUCGCCACACCGUGCUCUACACCACGCUCAUCGAGCUCUCCAGGGUGCUCGCGCUCAACAACUGCGCCGUCUGGAUGCCCUCCGAGGACAAGUCCGGAAUGUGCCUCACCCACGAGCUCCGCCGGGACAGCGACGAUGAUGGCGAGGCCGUCGUCGCCGCAGACGACGCGGACGUCCUCGAGGUCAAGGCCACCGACGGGGUCAAGCUGCUGCCGCCGGACUCGGUCCUUGGGUCCGCCAGCGGGGGUGGCAAGGAGGGGACCGGCACCGUGGCCGCGAUUCGGAUGCCGAUGCUCAAGGUCGCCGACUUCAAGGGUGGAACGCCCGAGGUGAUCAAGACGAGCUACGCCGUUCUGGUUCUGGUGCCGCCCAGUGACAGGAACUGGGCGCCGCACGAGCUGGAGAUUGUCGAGGUGGUUGCCGAUCAGGUGGCUGUCGCGCUCUCGCACGCCUCGCUGCUCGAGGAGUCACAGGCGAUGCGCGACAGGCUGGCCGAGCAGAACCGCGAGCUGCUGCAGGCGAGGCGGGACGCGCUCAUGGCGAACGAGGCCAGGGACGCAUUCCAGCGCGUCAUGAGCCAGGGAAUGCGGAGGCCCAUCCACUCCAUCCAGGGACUGGUGUCCGUGGUGCAGGAGGAGGGCCUGACGUCUGAGCAGAAGCUCGUCGUCGAUACUAUGGCACGGACCGCAACCGUCGUCUCAACGCUCAUCAACGAUGUCAUGGAGAUGUCCGCCGCCAACCAGGAGCGCUUUCCGUUGGAGACGAGGCCAUUCCACCUGCACUCCAUGAUCAGGGAUGCCGCCUGCGUUGCACGGUGUCUCUGUGACUUCAGGGGGUUUGGAUUCGCGGUGCAUGUCGAGAAUGUGCUGCCGGACCUUGUCAUUGGCGACGAGCGGAGGAUUUUCCAUGUCUUGUUGCACAUGGUUGGCAAUCUGAUUGGUCGAAUCGAUGUGGGAAAUGUCACGUUCCGGGUUCGUGCUGAUGAUGAGGCGAUGGAGGACCAGAGGUGGAAUCCGUGGAGGCCAAGCUACUCCGGUGGGCACUCAUCGGUCAAGUUUGUGAUUGGGGUGAAGAGGCAGCAGAAUGCUGACUCGCCAAGCUCGCUUGCACAGUUCUUGCGGAGGCCAAGGACCGAGGGGUUUGAUCUCAGGCUCAGCUUCAGCAUGUGCAGGAAGCUUGUGCAGGUAUGUUAAAACCUUUAUGCAUGCCCUUUGCAUUUUGUGCAGGCAGGAAUGCUUAGAGACAUUUGUGUUCAGUCGCUAAUAUUUUGCCUUGUGAUGCUCUCUCUCAACAGAUGAUGCAAGGGAACAUCUGGGCAAUUCUCGACGGCCAAGGACUCCCUGAGAGCAUGACCCUGGUCCUGAGAUUCCAGCUUCAACCAUCAUUGGCGAGCUCCAGCCUCGGAGGGUCAUUUGAUCUGCAAUACCCAUCACCAACUAACCAAAUAGCCGGGCUGAAGGUUCUGCUCAUCGACGACGAUGAAAUCAACCUAGUCGUGGCUCGGAAGCUCCUGGAGAGGCUAGGCUGUACCGUUUCCUCGCUCCCCUCAGGCUCAGGAUUCAUGAACUCCGUCGGCCCUUCCUCUACCUCGUCCCAGCUCGUCAUGGUUAACCUGGAGAUGUCAACGAUUAAUCCCCUGGAUGCUGCCUCGAGGAUCAGGCAGUACAGGAGCUCGCACUGGCCCCUGGUGAUGGCCAUGACAUCGGAGCAGAACGUGUGGGAGAAGUGCGCACAGUCGGGGAUCAACGGCGUCCUGAAGAAGCCGCUUGUUCUGCAGGAAGUGAAAGAAGAGCUCACGCGGAUUCUUCAGAACACAUGAUACUUACAAAUUAUUGGUGGGUUCCUUUGCUGCCUGCCAAGAGCUCUGAACUCUGAAGUAGCCAAACAUGGCGCCACCCUGACUGACGAUGAAUACGACCCCACUGUCUAGCAUAGCAGAAGAAAAAAUUUACAGGCUCUCGGAAUACAUAGGCUGUCGAGGGUUUCUGGUGUCUUGCAGCACAAUUGCUGGAAUAUGGCAAAUGGUAGUGAAAUGGCAAAUGCCGAUGUGCCUUGGUGAGUCUAUUCAGAUGGGAAUUGCGGUGGCCUGAGAAUGAAGGAGAGUCUGAUACUUAGUCCUUCAUAGAAACCUGGGUGGUGGUAUAUGUAAUGGCCAGUAGUGGCAAUAAGGCUGAAGUUUUGUAAGUUAGCUAACCUGGUUGUAAGGAUCUAAUGUAGGGAGUUCCACAAUUGUAUUUAUCACCACCUUUUAGGAAUGGAAGAAUGACCCAUUCACUGCCCUUAUGAGCAGAUUAUUACUGAUCUCCAGCCAUUGCUGCUGGUAACCUGCUGGCGGAACAAGGGUUUCUAUGGAAUCGUAGAAUAUCUAAAAACACGGAAAUAGAAAAACACAAGGUUGGAUUUUUCCCCCGGGGGGGGGGGGGGGGGGGGGGGGGCGGGAUUGGAAAUGUAGGAAAGUUUCUAUAGAUCAUUUGGAUGCAUAGGAAAGUUUCUAGGGAGCAUUUGGAUAUAACAUAGGAGAAACACAUAAAUUAGAAGAGAAAAAUGUACACAGAGGAAAGUUUCUAAGAUGUUAAACCUCAUGUCAGAUUUUCUCGAAACUUCCUAUGAACGAAACCAUUUCGUAAGAAUUUUGUAGGAUUUAAUUAAGGAUGGACAACCCUUUAAUUUUACAAUUCUAUAAAAUUCUACUUCUGUAGCGCAAACUCAUCGUUGACUUGAGAGGUGUAGCAUCAGCAUGAGCAUGAGAUGAGACGCGAGCAGUGAGCAGAGGAGACGUGAAUGGAUCUCGAGUUGAGAUUGAGAAGUGGGCAUGGAAUGGAUCGAGGUGGUGACGAUGACGGAUUUAGCAGGUACAGUAAGCACGAGGGCCGCGUUAUCCGAUCGAUGAUAUUCAUGCACACCUCGCAAUCCAUCACAUGACAUUGAUGCACGACGGAGUAUCUUCCUUCCCAUCCAUAAUCCAAUUGCUUGAGCUUUCAGGUAGACCUCACCUCGCGAUUCACAUCACAUGGAGAUUAAUUACGAUAGAUACAGAGACGGGAUGCAUGCGUCACCAACCCAGCCCAUAAUCCCGUUGCCUGAGGGGAAGGUUGACUAUCUGGUCAGUCCAGACACGAUGCACUUAAAUCGGGCACAUGGGACCCACCACUCACCUGAAGAUGAUCUGUUUUUCACAAGAAGAAGGUGCAGAAGCAUCUGUUGGUGCGCUGUUCCUGAAUUCAUAUAUACCUUUUGCUACUAUGUUCUUGUUUACCGUAGCACUUUCGUUUGUUUAUGACAAAUAUUAUUUAAUUAUGGACUAACUAAGAUCAAAAGAUUCGUCUCGUGAUUUACAGCUAAACUGUGUAAUUAGUUUUUGUUUUUAUUUAUAUUUAAUGUUUCAUGCAUGUGCCAUAAGAUUCGAUGUGACAGAAAAUCUUGAAAACUUUUUGGUUUUCAGGGUGAACUAAACAAGGCCUAUAUACACAGGACUUGUUUGCAACCAGACUUUUUUUUUCUUGUUCCUACAGGGUUUUUUUUAUGAAACAGAACUUUUUUUUUUGUAAAAUUGAACCUAUUCCUGUGAAAUUCCUGUGCAAAUAAGACUACAGUACAGGCCAUACAUUCAGUUAGGAAGCUCAAGUGGCAUAAUAAUCCAUUUAGUCCACAACUAAUAUAAUUAUUAGAAACGGCAGAUACUUAGCUUGUUGGUAAUAUAAAAAAUCUACAAUUUUUAGUCUGAUAAAUCUGAAGCGCAGCUCAUAGUACCAUUGUACUAUGUCACUGAAGCCGGCUGCAAGCUAAAUAAAUCUAUACGUACAUUGUACUCUUAGGAACGAAAUAUAUUCUUCAUCACUCUGGCCACAAACAAACAACAACUUUUCAACUACAAGGACAAAUCAGUAGGUUCAACAACCUUUUCCAGAGAACUAGUACAACAUCUUUGAAUGUUUGAAACUAACAUACAAACUCUGCUAUUUUAUAAAUCCACUUGAAUGGCCAAAAAAGGUCCCCAGAUCCUCUGAAAUCGGACGUUUGUCAGCAUGUAAGGAUAUGAUAUAAAUCUUGGCUGAACUACUGAUGAGCUCAUGUCAUAUAUAUAGUAUAUGUGGAUGUCUGUCCCUUCCUGAAUUUGAAUGGUUUGAGGUGAUGUAGAACUUUUUGUCAGGGACAAUAUUUGAUCAGUUGGUUAAAAGAUCGAACAUGUCAUCAACUCAUCAUCGGGGAAAAGAAAUCUUGGCUACUGUGACACUAUAUUUGUGAUCAGAAUUGCAGCUUCAGAUGGAUCAUCAUAAUUAACUGGAUGCAUGGGGGGUAUAUUGUCUGCUUCAUGGCUAAAUUAUAAAAAAUAAUACAUAUAAUAUAUGAAUUGUGAAUAAAAUUCUUAUAGAUGAAGCAGUUCCUCUAUGCUCUGAAUCUCUGAACCAGAUUGUUCAGAGUCAGUUUAAAUACUCUAAACUAUCCUAGAUUAAAAAUGUGUGACACCAUACUGCUAGUAGAUUUCAUAAACAAUCCCCUCAUAAUACAUGCUUGUCAUCGAUCAGUUAAUGCAUAAGUAGCAAGAACAUGCUUAUGAACAUUGAGCACUGAAAAUGAGCCUUUAAUUUGCUUUCCCUUUAAUUUACAGGAAGAAAAACAAUGAAAAUAGUUGUUUUAAACUUAUUUUUUCUUAGGGUGUAUGGGUGGAGAUCUAGCCUUUGUAUCAAUAAUAAAUAGAAUGUGCAUGGUUUUGUGCUUUAUGUCAAGUUCUUUUUUAAAACUCGGUAUCAUCUCAAUGUGAUAUCUUGAAAAGUUAAUAAAAGAACUUCCUUUAUGAAAAAAAAGGUUUUAGAAUAUAACUAUCGCUAAUUUUCAGGAACUUGUGUAUUCCCUAAUGUAUUCCAGUUAGUCAUGAAAACUAGCAGAAAAUUUCAGAUAUGCAGGUCGAUCAUUUUUCACUGAAACACAAGAAUAUCAUUUAUUUCUGCGGUCAUGAAACAUGAGAAAUAAAUCCAAACAAACAACGGCCUGAAGAAUUAGCAGGAAAGAGCUUAUUAGUUCAGAAGCGCCGACUAAUUAAUCUUCAGUAUUGAUACGUAUCGUGAAUGCAUGUAUUAGCAAAACUAAUAAAAAUUUCCUAUGGAUCAAUGCAAAUUGCUCAUUUUAAAGCAUGCAUUCACAAAUCCUGCCAAGAAAUCGUCUGUGGUUCUUUCUAUAAUUAUUAAUCCCUUAACUGAUGGAUCAAAAAUCACUCCAAGUAAUCACUAAGCACCGAGAGGAAGUUAGAUAUAUAGCUUAAUUAGCGAGAAAGAAAUGGCUGUAAUAUAAGAGAACCACGCGCACAUAUAUAUAUAUAUACAUACACUGAAAGCACAUGGAGCUGAAUACUCGAUCUCGUGAGGUCAUGAUCCUGCACUUCCAAGCCUGAGCUCCAAGUCCAGCUCCUCCCCUCCAUCCCCUUCCUCGGCGAUGGCGAAGUAGCCAUCUUCUCGUACAUCUCCGGCGGCCGCGCCACUGCCACGGCCGGCAGAACAGCAGUCACCGCGGCCGAACAGAGGCAGCAGCUCGUGCGGCUUCCGUUGGGCGUGCAACGCGCCGGCCGCCGGCCGAGUCGUCGUCGUAGCCUGUUGGGCGAACGCCAGAACGGGCGUCGUCGACGUCGUCAUCGUCGAGCAUGGCUGCUGGUCGUAGUCGUAGACACUGGCGGCGCCGGCGGACACUGCUGCUGGUCUGCCCCUGUGCCGACGGUGGACGUUCAUGUGGCCGCCGAGCGCCUGCGCCGUCGGGAACCCCCUCCUGCAGAAGGUGCACUUGUACGGCUGCCUUGUUCCCUCGUCGUCAUCGCCGCCACCGCCGCCGAUGGCGCGCUGCUGCUGCUUCGGCAGAUCCUUGUUGUCGUCGGCCUCGCAGCUCGGGGACGACGCCGAUGGCGACGCCCGUGCACCUGCACCCUCGUCGUCCUUCCUCUCUGGCCCCAACUCCAUGUGCUUUAUUAAUUUGUGAUGAUCAGUUGUCAGAGUAGAGUCCGGAGAGCAAGGUAUAGGGUUUAGCUAGCUAGGCUUGGUAAUAAUCUCUGAGGCUGCUACCUCGCUCGCUCUGCCGUCGUACGUGGAGACGACGACAUGAGCAAGCAGAACGAAGCUACUUGUUGCUGCUAAUUGGGGCCGGCCGGCCGAGGAUCUAGUCUAUCUGGUUCUCUGGUCAUCAGAUGCGAAUGCGAUGCAAAUAGCUUAGCGCAUAUGAUAUGAUAUGGUCAAACACGACAAAGAAACGCAAGACGGUGAGUAUGAUAAUGGGGAGCUUAGUGUACAUUGAUGUGUGUGUUACUCUUGUUAAAUGCUUCUUCUCGUCGUUCUGCCGGCCUCAAGCCCUAAACUGUUGUUGUUCAUUUUUUUUUCUUUUGCAGUGAAUUCAAGGUUUUUUUUUUAUUUUGCAAAGAAAAAAAAUGGACUUGUUUAUAUUAUAGUGAAAUCAAGUUGUUCGGCUUGGCCUGCAGCUGGACUUGUUCUGAAACCAGCUCUUUGGUAAGAUUGCGCUUGGAUUUUAUGGCUUGGGCGUUGUUUAGUUCCCUAAAUAUUUUGUAAAAUUUUUCAGAUUUCUCGUCACAUCGAAUCUUUAGACGUAUGCAUGAAGUAUUAAAUAUAGAUGAAAAUAAAAACUAAUUGCACAGUUUGGUCGGAAUUGACGAGACGAAUCUUUUGAGCCUAGUUAGUCCAUAAUUGGACAAUAUUUAUCAAAUACAAACAAAAGUGGUACUAUUCUUAUUUUGCAAAAAAAAAUUUAAGUAAACAAGGCCUCGGAGAAAAGUGCUUCGCCUUAUGGCUUGACUUGUCUGCCCAUGCAUACGGCCCACUCUUAAUACAGGCCUGCUACAGCCCGACCCGUUUAUAGCUCAGUUGUGGGCUGGUGGCAUGCCCAUUAUAUAUACUGGCACUCAUCCUAUUUGCAAUAACAAUUAUUGAUGUGGAAUUUUAAGAUAAGAAGAAAGCAAACUUUAGCAUACCACAACUACAGAUUGAUUUUAUCACUGUCGCUACUUUCACUGUCGUAACGAUAGACUUGUACCACCGACGGUGGUAUCGAGGAUGCAUUUGCUCUGCCACCUCGUGCAACAUCAUUGACUCGCCCAAGGUCAAGUAAAUACUUGGUAGAUGAACGCUGUGGGUGCUAUAUAUGGAAGCCACUGCCGCCGGCCACCUUUGGCCCCGGCCUCUAGCCCUCCGUUUUUGGAUAAAUUCUCAGUCUAACGAUGUGAUCUAGCCAAUUACACGUUUUAUAAAAAAAACCACGAAUUGGCCAAUUACGCAUUAUAUAUUCUAGUGUGCUAGGGCAAAAUUUGUCUAUUUAUUUCUGCCGUUUCAAAAAAGGGGGGGGGGGGGGGGGGGGGGGCUAAAACCUGCUCGAGAAAAAAAAAAUCGGCUGUUUCCAUCUGCGUCCUGAUCGAAGAUUACUUUUGGCAUUCACAAAUGUUGGAACGAUGAGCCAGAUAGAAAUUCUAGUGGUUCUCUGAGGCUUGAUUUGAAGAGAUAGAGAGAGAUACCGAGAGGACAGAACAGUUUCAGUUUCCUGCUAUGCUGCUGGGGAUGCUAAAGCCAUGCUAUUCUUUUCUCAGAGGCGCCAGUUGGGAAAAAUUCUGCAACUCUGCAAGGGCCUUGUUUAGUUCCGAAAUUAUUUCGGAUUUUGGUACUGUAGCACUUUCGUUUUUAUUUGACAAAUAUUAUCUAAUUAUGGACUAACUAGACUCAAAAGAUUCAUCUCGUGAUUUACAGUCAAACUGUGUGAUUAGUUUUUGUUUUUGUGUAUAUUUAAUGCUUCAUGCAUGUGCCGCAAGAUUCGAUGUGACAGGGAAUAUUGAAAACUUUUUGAAUUUCGGGGUGAACUAAACAAGGCCAAGGUGCUUGGAUGUUCAUCAUCUGCAUCUGUUCUACUAUUGUUGAAUGCAAAUUUUGAGGUACAGGUGUUGAAUGCAAAUUGUUGCUCAAUCUGUUUGUUUGGCUGAUAAGCCAGGCUGAAAAGCAUUGUGUACCAUACUGUACCAAACAUGUUAUGUGUGCAUUUUCUGAACUGAUGCCUGAAGAGCAGAGCGUCCAAGCACACAAGAACUGUUCUAAGAUUGACAGCAGUGACAAUCAUAUGGAAUCCAACGCUUAGCAUCAGAUGAACACAAUCGUCGAGAAGGUAAAAUGUGGCAAAAAAAAAAAUGUUCCAGUGUAGGUACGUAUAUAUUUACAUCAAACUUAAGUGUCAGUCAAAGCAAAUGAGUUAGUAGCAGGAUUGGAACGAUCAGAUCCUCCAGAGGUCGCCGCUGCUGUCGGCGCUGCUGGCGGUGGUUGCCCGGUCGGAGAAGUGCGGCGUGGCGUCGGCGGCGAGCAUGUCCCGGUACGUCUUCCUGAUGGCCCAGAGCGCCCUGCAGCAGUCGCUCAUGGCGGGCCUGUCCUGUCGGACGGGUCCCAUGCACCGGAACGCGAGCUCGAGCACCAUCUCCAGCGCGCGUUCGGCCGCGGGCGUGCGGGCGAGGUGCGGGUCCAGCACGUCGGCGGAGGCGCCGCCGAUGAACCUUCCCAUGGCCCAGCGCGCGGUGAGGCGCUCCUUCAUCUCGCGCUUGGUCUCGAUGGGGCGGCGCGCCGAGGCGAGCUCCACCAGGAGCACGCCGAAGGAGUAGACGUCGCUGCGGUCCGUGAGCUGGCACGUCUUGAGGUACUCCGGGUCCAGGUACCCCGCCGUGCCCUUCACCUGGGUGGUCACGUGCGUCGCCUCCCCGGCGGCGCCGGCGCCCAGGCCGGCGCCGAGGCGCGCGAAGCCGAAAUCGGCCACCUUGGCGCGCAGCGAGUCGGUGAGGAGGAUGUUGGAGGACUUGAUGUCGCGGUGGAUGAUGGGGUGGUCGGAGUACAUGUGCAGGUACGUGACGGCGUGCGCGACGUCGAUGGCGACGUCGAGACGCGUCCCGAAGUCCAGGAACCGCCCGUGGCACCCUGCUUGCAUUGCAUUGUGCUUGCGAGGUGAGCUUGGAGAGCAGAGCAGAGCAGCAAUGGCAGGUGGUAGGAGCUAGCUAGCUUACUGUCGAGGUGCUCCCGGAGGGUGCCGUUGGGGACGUACUCGACGACGACGAUGCGCUCCUCGCCGCACUCCAUGUAGCCGUAGAAGCGCACAAGGCUCUGGUGCUCGAUGCGCGCCAUGAUCUUGAUCUCGCUCCGGAACUCCACGUCCACGUGAGGGUUCUGCAUCCGCUGCCAUCAUUCAUCCCCGGAAUAGAAUUUAAUUAAAUCUAUCGUUUUUCAUCCGUCGAUUGAAGAAGUCAGCAGGAAGCUUCGGUGGAUUGACUGACCAGCUUGGCGCGCUUGACGGCGACGACGGUGCCGUCGGGGAGGACGCCCUUGUAGACGGCGCCGAAGCCGCCCUGCCCGAUCUUGAGCGCCGGCGAGAAGUUGUUGGUGGCGCUGAGGAUCUCCUCGAUGGAGAAGACGGAGCUCUGGAACGACGGCCGUUGCUCCCUGCCGCUGCCGUGCCCACCGCCGCUGUACAGCCCGCGCGCAGAGGUCUUCGUCCCGGCGUACCCCGGCACUGCCGCCAUGGAACACGACCAUCAACAUCAUCAUCAUCAGCAGCAGCAGCACGUAAUUGAUUGAAGGGCGAGAGUUGACUUACAAGGCGGCUUCUUAUCACCCGCCGGCACGGCGUCCCUGCUCCUCCGCUUUAUGGACGACGACGCCGACGCGGUGGAGAGCGAGCUGAACCACACCCCGAUGGAGCGGAACAGGGACCUCAAGGAGGAGGAGGAGGAGGAGGAGGAGCCGCUUCUGCGGCCACGGCCUUCGCCGCUGUCGGACAGCGGGCGCGACCACGCCGGGCUCCGCGGCCACCGCUCGUGCUCCGGCUUCCGCCUCCCCGACCCCGACCCCGACGACGACGACGACGGGGCCAAGGUCCCGCGUCGGUCGCGCCCGGCCAUGCUCCGCGGCCCGCAGUGGUUGGUCGGCAGACGCGGUCGCGUGUCGCGCCGAGCUCUGCCGCCCCCACCGCAGUCCGCAGCUAAUAUAAUCGGCGACAAAACCUUGGUCGUGGCGCGCGACCGUGUCCAAGGUCAAGGCCGGAGCUGCGGCGGGGCGGGGCGGGGCGGGGGCCGCGUGGCAGCGGCGGGACGAGCGGCCGGACCUGGCAAACGAAACGAGCUGUCCCAGUAGGCGAGAGCGAGACCGCGAGGGAGGGAGCUCUGCGGUGGCGACCCCUUCUUCCUCGCGGACUCUGCUCUGCAAUUUAUUCCGAAAAGAAGCGCAAGCGACCUGCCACUGCAAUUUGCGUGGCGUCAUGGCGUGUCCAUGGCUUUGGUCUGCUCUGCUCAACCUCACCCUACCAACCAUGGCGAAGUCGUUUUCUUGGAACAAUUCCAUCUCGCUUUGGAAGCAAAGCACACAGACACACACACCGCGUCUGGCGUCUGCGUCAUGUUAUUAGCAUCCAUGUAAUGCGUACAAUAAUAGGCAGUCGUGGCUGUUCUUGGUAGCCCGACCUGUUCUAUCUGCCAUCUGGAUCUGGUCUGGUCAACCAAAGCGACACCGGCUUAAGGCCUUUUGGAAGAUCAAACACAUCCUCCAGCGGACCAAACUAUGCCAAGCCAUAUAUUUUAUGCUAUUACAUAAAUUUUAUAUACUGCCACAACCUACAGGAAGGAAGUAGAAUAAGAUGAACAGAAACCACUUGCAUGCUUUUCUCAUAUCUCUUUCUUAGGCCUUGUUUAGUUCAUCCGAAAUCCAAAAAGUUUUCAAGAUUUCCCAUCACAUCGAAUCUUACGGUACAUGCAUGAAGUAUUAAAUAUAAACGAAAAUAAAAACUAAUUACACAGUUUGUUUGUAAAUCCCGAGACAAAUCUUUUGAUCAUAGUUAGUUCACGAUUGGACAAUAUUUGUCAAAUAAAAACGAAAGUGCUACAGUAGCGAAAUCCGAAAUUUUUCGGAACUAAACAAGGCCUUAUAUGGUCCUACUAGUAUAUAUAGUAGUGCUCCUACAGAUUCGUUCGAAAUAAUGGUAAUAAUAAUUUUAAAAAAAAAACAUGUAGUGCCUUUCAAGCAUAACAUCCCAGGCCCGGACAGGAAUGGAGCUGUAUCUGUCAUGCGUCGCUUUACAAGCAAAGGACAAGCCAAGAAAUUCCAUUUAAACGAAUGGAGGAUGCAUCAUGCAUGUACCAUACAAGAAGCUCGAGCAGCUUGGAUUGCUCAAAGGAACCAUACAUAUGCUACAAGCCUAGAACCUGCUUUGUACCUGUCACCAUUUCGGACUAACUGUACUGUACAGAUGAACCUUCCUUAUGCUAGAAUCAGCAUCUCCCUGUCACUUACCCAGCGCAUGAUCGAUAAUCCACAGUUCCACACACACUGACUCUGAGAAACCGGAUCCAAAAACGAACAACACACGCACAACGCAAAUUCAGAACAAACCAAGCAAGAGGAAACCAGGGAGCAAAUCUCGGGGUUUGAACCUUUACCACAGACGACUCUAGCACAUUUUCAUGUCAUUUUUUUUCUUCUAUAAAUUAUUUUUUACCAAAACUCAACCUACUUACUAGCAUCUCCACCAGAUCAGACAGAAUUGAACAAAAUCAAAGAGCAGAGUAGUUCCUGCUUGUACUUCCCACCACCAAAAGAAUACUAGCGUCAAGCCAACUCGACGGGCACUGCCGCUGCAGGGCCACCAAGAAUGGAUCCACCACGGUCAACAAUGUUAUGCGUACAUCUCAUCUAUCAGAGUUACCUGCAAGAGACAGUUACAUAUCCAGCUUUUAGAAGGAAAGGAAAAAAAAAAGCAAAUAACCCCCACUGUGCUGUGGCAGCAUGUUUCAACUGAAACCCUAUCAUCCAUGUACUGCCGUAGCAGUGUAUUUUGACUGAAUUAAAUUGUUGUGCUAACCUGGUCACAAACUGGGCAUGUCUCGCUCCUCUCCAUCCAUUCAAGUAUGCAGCAGAGAUGGAAAUGAUGCUCGCAUCUGGUCACCGAACGGGGAUUUUCUUCAUCAUAUUCUGGUGGAAGGGCAGACAGAGCUUAUAAACGAAAUCUUCUGGUUUGGAAAGUUCAGAUUGGCUUCAUUGGCUGAUGCAUCAGCCCAAAUCACCAUUCACAACAGGCAACAAAAUGCAGAAAGAAUUUCAACAGGUACCAAACCAUUUGCAUUGGGUUUCAAUAUAUAUGCAUCUACCAACUACUGAACUGCUAGAGCAUAUCAUACAUGCAGAGAAUGCAAAUACAUUAAGAAAUGAUGGAAAUACAUAUUACAUCUAUCAAAGACAAUUCACACAAUUCACAGUAGCAGCAGUUAUUUAACUACCUAGUUCAGAAAUAAAAUUCACUUCAUGUCUCAUCGAACUGAAUGCAUAUGCACAGGUGAGGAAGAAUAGUAAUUUACUUAUAUAGUUAUAUUUCAACUGAAAGGACCACUAGCAUUCCAAAAAUCUUAAGCCUAGUAACAAGAAGAAUGCAAGACUAUAGUAAAAGUAAUGAGUACAUGUGAAUCAAGCUUCACAAGUUAAAAAGUGACCGGGUAAAGACACUAUUCAGCCAUACGGUAUUUCAGCUCUAAUCCUGGCAUGUCAACAUAAAAAAGUUGCUGUUCCGAUGAUCAUAAGAAACAACCUUCAAGACAGAUUGGACAAACAUCCUCCUCAUCAGCCUUAUCCUCAGGGGCAACUUUUUCGCAUGACUCAAAUUCAUCCACUUUUGGGGGCUGCUGCCCGUCAGUUUUCAUUUUAAUGUCUGACUUCUCCAAAUCUGCACAUGAAUCUGAAAUCAGUAAUCAUUAGAGGUUAAUUAUCAUCAAUCAUGCUCACAGCUAGUCAAAUAUUUUCUUUACCAGGAUUUUGUGCAACUGCGAAGCAAACAUCAUAAGGCAAAGGUGCAGGUGGUGCUCGGUAAGUGUCAAGAGAGGAUGUAUCAAGAUUUGUGUCAACUGCAACUACAGCAGGAGUUGGAGAUGGUCCACUAACAGCUGAAGACAAGGGUUCAUAUUCCUCAGGAUUUUGUCGAUGCUGAGUAAUGCAAAAGGAAAGUUAAUUUUGCAGUACAAAAGAUUAGAUGCAAACACAAAGCUAGUGCUGAGUCAGCUUCAGUCAUGUUCUUUUCUUUCUCCCUUUUUUGCAUAUGGAUGUGACCAUCACAUAAGGUAUAUUAAAGCAACUGUGAUAUUAUUGGCAUGGUUUGUAUUUCUGAUUACCAAGGACUGAUAAGAACAACAGGGAGAUUCACAUUACAAGUAAAAUAAUUCCUUCUGUUGCAUCAAAACUUCUAUACAGAUACAGCUGCUCAACUUCUAGCAUUGUGACUUGUGAGACAUGGUAGAAAUCAGGUUAUCGUUGCAGUUAAGGGUAAGGGUGACAAAAAUACUUGCUGAAAAUUGAGGGAAUCUUUUGACAUGAAAAGUAAGAAAAAGCAGGUUAUUAUACAUACAUAGAUAUGCACUGGUGCUCUAUCUGACUCAGACGCCCUUGAUGAACAGCAGCAGCAUGCACCCAUUGUGUCCUGAAUGAAAUGCUUACCCCAAACUAUCCUCUAGCUUCGUUAAAACCCAAAGUUGUGUUGUUCAUAUCCCUGCAAAGAGAAACCUUUUGCUGAUGCAAGAAGGAUUGGAACUCAUGUGAUAAAUAUAAAAUGGUGCAGAGAGAGCUUAACAUGCAACAAUAUCUAAGUAGUGCUGUCAUGGAAAUGAUUCUUAAUAUCACGGAUUAAACUGUGGCCUAGUCGACUUCUAUCCAGUCCAGUGAUAGUAUCUGUUUAUACGAGUAGAAUAAUCAGUGGGGACACUAUUAGGCCCCGUGAUGUGAUACAAUACAAGGCAGGAACUUUUCACCGAACCCAUGGGCAUUGAACUACAUCCAGUGAAAAUUCAGCAAAUUUCUAGCGAACAAACAUCCAAGUCGCUGUAGACAACCCAGAUUUGUUGGGUUACACUACAUAGAACAGCGCAAUGGCUCCUAGAUACUGUAUAUACGAUGGCACAAUUGGCAUCAUUACUGUCAUGAGAUUUUUAGCCCGUUCAGACUUGAGAGUUCAAUGAUUGGAGACAUCCUACUACAAGAAUAAAAAUCAAGCGUCCUAGCAGAUUUAACACGAGAAACUUUCUUUUUCGUAAGGUCAGUAAUCAGGCGGCCAGCCCCUAAUGACUUUCCUCACCACCAGCGCCAGAAGCACCUCGUAAUUGGACACAGAAAUAUCUGCGCCUAGUCGCCAACGCAAAAUAUAUAUCUAUCUACGCAGGCAGAACCCAGAAGAGAAACCAGAUGCAAUCGCGUCGGAGACAAUCGCGCCGGUGCAAGGCGAAGGCUUUACGCAGCGCGGCAGGGAGCGAAGCGAAGCGAAGCAAGAGAGUGCUCGAACUAGCAGCCGGAACAGUCCACCACGAGAUUAAAGCGCUGAGCAAGCAGCCCGCAGCAGCACGGGAUCGAAGCGGGAGCGGGAGAUUAGUCAGUACCGGGGACGAAUUGCGGCUGGGGGACUCCGACGAUCGCCUCGGGACUCGCGAGGCCUCCUGGGCUCCCUGCCCCCUGUCGCGUCGCGCUCUGCUGCUUGGUGCUUGCUCUGCUCUUCCGCCUCUCUCUCUCUCUCUCUCUCUCUCUCUCUCUCUCUCGGUUCCUCCUCCUGCUCCCUCUGGAGAGAGAGAGAGAGGACUCCUGCUCCGUGAUUCCAGCGAUCCGGAGGGGGUUUUCUGCAAGAAUGGACCCCGUCUCCGCCUCAGUGGAGGGAGAUGGACGAUGGCUGAAGAAGAUGCCUUUUUUCCCACCCGAACUGCAGCUACCUCCUCCUCGCGAGGCUGUGGGCCUAACUGCUAGCGGACCCCACAUGUCAGUGGUGUUCUUCCGGUGGAGGGAAUGGGAUUCCUCUGUGUACUUGAACUUUGGCCCUCCCUUUUUUUUCCUUUUUCGGGGAAAAAAGGAAUAGGUACUACUAGUAUUUUAUAUUUUUCUCUCACUAUCUCCAACAAUUGUUACUCAAAAUACAAUACUCAUUUGUCCUUUGGGUAGCGCUACAGGUAAAAAGUUCCAUACCUAUUUUUAGUCUUCUCCAACAACAAGACCUAAAAGAUAACACUCUCUGCGCAAAUAGGUCUCAAGGAGAGAGGAUACCUAAAUUUGGGUUAUGCCUUUUCUGGGUCUUCUGUAUGGGUAUUCUGUUGGAGGCUAUAGGUAUUGUGUUGGAGACUCAUUUUAGGGUUUGGGUUCCCAAAUACGUCUCCUAUUGGAGACAGCAUGAGAACGGAAAGGGAAGGAUUGAGAUGCCACGGGGGCAGGACACGUGGAGGGAGUCCGUUCGCUGACAGUGGGCCCAGCUGAUUGGACGGAGGAGUCUGACGCGGCUGUCAACCUCGGGUCCUCGAAAACUUUUUGUGCUCCCCCUUCACAAGUUGGUUGGGAUCGUUGGCCGGUGUGACGCUGACGUGGAUGUGGCAUUGACUUCACAGGUUGCCAAAUCAUUGUAGGGCUGCAUAGAGGGGAGGUAGACAAACCGUGCUGCCUGCCUACCUGGCUGCAAAAAAAAGGAAAAAGAUGGUAGACAAUGGGGAUUAAAGUGGAAAUACGAAUUAGUGCUAUUUAUAUAUUUAUUAGGGUUGUUUUUGAGAUUUUAUCGCGAAUUGCGGAAACGGUACCGGAUUUUAGAACUUUUCAUGACUGUUUCUUCAAGAUCACGUUUUGAACGAAAAAUAUAUAUUGGUGUAAUAUUAUUUUCUUCCUUAUUAUACAUCCACUCUAAAGUUAGUCCAUCAGUCAUCCCACACUCCCACAUCUACUAGCUAGAGGCAUGCUAGUGAUAUUCUCGUGCUAGUGGUCCCAUACUCGUUUAGGACAAUAUCAUUUUAGAUUUUGUUUUAUAAGAAAAAUAUAAAAAAAGCAAAAUUAAUUUAAGCCUCUUCCAGUUACUUGUGAUUGUUUCUCUCUCGAUUAAUCCUCCUCUAAGAACUUCAAAAGUAUUUCUGCAUAUGCAUAACCGGUUGAAGGUUAAUAAGAACUUAAGAAGUGACCCAACAAGGGUUUAUACCCGGCAUCACAAUAUAAGUGGCACGCCUUUGUAAGUUGUAGCAACUCCUGAAAUCAGAAGAAGAAUGGUAUUUGAUGUUGUGUGCAUAUAUAUUUCCUCUCUCUCCUCUUCCCUUAGUGUAAUCUCACCCUGACGUUAAUUAUAACUAUCUUGUCUAUGAGACUAUGACAACCUUAUUAUUGCCAUUGGCUUUCACUCUCCACUUGUUGCUCAUUGUCGAUUAAAAAGCACUCAAAAUUUCAGAGCGUUAACUUCUCCGUAUGAAAACAAUAUCUAAUUUUCAUAAUAUUGUGAUUUGAUGAAUAUAAUUUAUAGACAUGUGACAGUAAUAAGAAACGAACAAACUGUAUAAGAAAAUGACAUAGAAGACAUUUGGGGAUAGAUAUGUUGGAGCAGUGGACUGAUCCAAACACGUACACCCAGCCCUUGUUUAGUUCCGAAAAGAUUUUGGAUUUCGGUACUGUAGCACUUUCGUUUGUUUGUGACAAAUAUUAUCCAAUUAUGAACUAACUAGGAUCAAAAGAUUUAUCUCACAAUUUUCAGCUAAACUGUGUAAUAGUUUUUGCUUUCGUCUAUAUUUAAUGCUUCAUGCAUGUGUCGCAAGAUUCGAUGUAACAGAGAAUUUUAAAAACUUUUUGCUUUUUGGGUGAACUAAACAAGGCCCAGUCGUUGUCGGAGUCCGUCUGUUCGUUUUUUCUUUGGACGGUGGCAAUUAGGUUAACCUGGUUUAAUUUGAAGGUGGGGGCCGGGAUGCGUGCGUGGACCAUCCAUCUUGUCAUGGACUUGGAUGUACUUCUCUAUCCUUUUUAACUGUUGUUGUUUGGUGUGUGCGCCACAAAUUUGAUUCGAUUGUAGAAAAUACAUGUAACAUUUGUAUCUCUAAAAAAUUUGUUAAAAAAUUAGAUUCAAAGAUCUUUCUAACGAUACUAAUUAUGUAUUAUAAUAUUAAUAUUUUUUAAUAUAUAAUUGCCGGUAGUUGUUUUUUGAGAAGCGAAAGCGACAAUUAAAAAGAGACAGAGGGAGCAGUAGCUAGUAGAACUGGACGCAACUAGGCAACUAGCUAGAGGAUGCGUAACGGUGACGGAGGUCCAAUGAAAAUUAUAUUCUGUAUAAUAAUAUAUAGAAAGCACACCUUAACACGAGCAACUAUCUUUUACAUUCUUCAUAUUUUUGGACAAGACUCGGCACCAGUAACUUGUUGAUCUUAUAUAGGAAUAUAUAGCAGUAGUAUAGUCAUUUGAGUGUGUUAUAUAGCGACUUGGCAUAUACACUGGGAUAUAUAUAUAUAUAUAUAUAUAUAUAUAUAUAUAUAUAUAUAUAUAUAAAAACACAAGCGCGCUUAAUUACACACUUUAUAUAUAUAUAUACUCCCAUCUCAUCUAGUACUAGCGGCCUCUAGAUCCGAUGAGGCUGAACGGGUUAUUGGAUAGGGAGGAAUCCAUUAAGGAUUUAAAUUAUGGAUUGUUUUAGUUACGAAUUAUUUAAUAUAUAUUAAACGGCAACGGUGCCUUGAUUCUCGGUUAGCCAUACCAGUGUUGUUCGCAAGUUUGAACGUGCCAAUUCCUAAAACUUCGCAUGUUCUUGAAUAUAUGUAUGUGCCAGUACAAGUUCCGAGUAUUAUUGAACUAUAGUGACAGAGUGUACGUAGACAAGGAAGUAUAUACAUACCAUUCUGAGUUCAAUUUGAGUAGAGUAUGUGUAUAUACUAUUUUAAGAAGGCAUAUAUGUAUACAAUUUAUUUUUUACGAACAAGUAUGUCUACACACUAUUUUGAUAUUUCGAGUAGAGAGUAGGUGUGCAUAUAUACUAUUUUAAAAAUGAGUACGUGGAUAUACUUUAUUUUUACAAAAGAGUAUGUUUACAUACUUUUUUAUAUUUAAAUAAGUGGAGAGUAGGUGUACAUACUAAUUUAAAAAGGAGUACAUGUAUAUACUUUAUUUUUACAAAGGAGUACUAUAUAUAUUUACAUACUUUUUUGAUUUUUUGUGUAGAGAGUAUGUGUUCAUACUAUUUCGGAAAGGAGUACGUGUACAUACUAAUUUUCGGACCUUGAUGUAUGUAGAUGUAUGUAUGUACGCUGAAAGAAAUUACACGUGGCAGAGAAGUAUAUAAAUACUUAUCAAGUGAACCAUGCAUGACUUUCAUCUUGUAGGAGCUGAUUCAAGCAGUAACACGAUUGAAAGAUACAUCCGUCAGAAAAUUAUUUUCACAUGUAACAUUUCAUUAGUAUGUACAUAAGGUGAUACUCUAAUCUAAAAAAAAAAAAAAGAGUAUUUGGUGAUACACUAAAAUGACACUCAUCUAUCUAAAAUAAAAGAAAGAAUUAGUAGCUUAACCAACUGCUGCAGAUCUUCUCCUUGACGAUCGACGUACUGUUCUUUUGAUUAGAAAAAUAUAAGGUGAGCACCUCACGAACCAGAAUUUGUUCCUGGCCAUACGAAAGGAAAUAACUAAAAUUUAUUUGAGUAAUUAAUGUAUAUAUACUCUGUCAAUUUUGAUGUGUAUCAAAUCGCAUUUUUUUUUACCUGUCGGGUGCAUAUGGCGAAGUGGUGAUGAACCGAAAGUGGGUUGCCCUCCCCUGAUUUACUUCACCGAGAUGGCGAGAUCACGAAUUGACGUCGUCAGCUCCCCAGGAUCAACAAUCUUACUAAUAACGACUAAUCUAGAUUAUGUAUUCUUAGAAAACUCUCUUACCAGCACGUUUCUUGCCAUUUAUCCGCCUGCUCCCGCCGUUCAUCUAGACUCGCAAGGAUGAGUCUCAGAUCCGGGGUCGCCACACCAUCGCCAGGGUCUCCACGCGCGGGGGAAGGGGCAGAGCAGACGGGGGCGCCACGCCGCGGGUGGACUAGGGGCUCCACGCGCGGGGCUUGUCGUGCCAUGGCCAUGGGCUCCAAAGCGAGUCGAGGGGCGCUGCCGCCUCUGGAGAGGAGAGUGCUCGCCGGCACGGGGAGCCGCCGCCGACGGGAUGGCAAGACGAGUGGCAGAACCUCCAUCCGUGCGUUUUUGUUGAUGGGUGCGGUGGCGGCCAUCUCGACAUGCAAAUAGCGUUGAUUUAGUUUUUGCCCAUGCAGUUAACGGGUCCGUUGAGGUAACCCGCUAUACCCAUGUGGACGAGAGAAUACACACCUACAUAUAUACAGCCGGGAGUAAACUACUCCUAGGGAGUAGGAAAAAUUUACCCUAUAUAUACCCUCAAGCCCCCCAAUAAUGCAACGGAACAAACUCAGACAGUCAACGAUGGUGGUAGCUAAAUCCCUGAGCACGAGGGUUACAUACAGGGACAGGGAUUAUUUAACUAACUACAACAAUAAUUUAAGCACUAGAGUGUAGAGUAUAGCUUCUUCUUCUUCUUUGACAAUAAAGUUAUUAAGUUAGGGUACAGCUUCACAUUCAGGAGUCUAGGCACUCUGCCAAACUUGCAAGCCUACAAAAUUGCUCUCUCAAUACAAAGAUAUCUGUUGAUCAAAGGGGAUACACUCCCUCUCCCUCUGUCCAGAAAAGAUUAUAAUUCUCAUUUUUUUGAGAAGUCAAACAAUUCAUACUUUGACCAAAAUUAUAUAAAACGUAUUAAUAUUGACAAUACAAAAUUAAUAUCAUUAAAUUAGUGAUAGAAUAUAUUUUCUCAUAGUAAAUUUAUUUGGAGACAUAAAUACUAAUAAUAUUUACUAAAAAUUUGGUCAAACUUAACCGGCAUGGGUUCCGUAAUUUAUAUUCUUUUGUGGAUAGAAGGAGUACAAUGCACAUGCUAUAGGAAAGGUGUCUGCCAUAUGGAUGGAUGGAAAUGAUCCCCAACAUAGAUUUUUGUCACGAGCUUAUAUAUGAUCACGAGGACUAUCCAUAUUAUGGCCCCGUUUCUCAGUAAUUCAUAUGGCAGGCACCUUUCCUAUAGCUUUCUCAGUGAAGCCUAGCUGUUUUGAGAAGGCAAAAUAAAUUCACUAAGGGCCUUGUUUACUUCCAAAUUUUUUUGUAAAAUAUGAAUAGUGAUACUUUCGUUUGUAUUUGAUAAAUAUUAUCCAAUCAUAAACUAACUAGGGUCAAAAGAUUCGUCUCGUCAAUUUCGACCAAACUAUGCAAUUAGUUUUUAUUUUUGUUUAUAUUUAAUACUCCAUGCAUGCGUCUAAAGAUUCGAUGUGAUGGAGAAUCUGAAAAAUUUUGUAAAAUUUUUUGGGAACUAAACAAGGCCCUGGCUGAAAGAGGGAAAUGCGGGUGAGAACUGUGAAAUGUUACUCUUUUUUUAGCUUCAUCUCUCUCUAUUCCUAUGUGAGAGCAUAAAAAAAAGAACUUCACCCCCAAAGCAUGUAGUUUACAACACAGCUCGUGAAGUUGUCGAUGAAGCUGUGCCUAACAGACCCUAUACUAGGGCUUAUCACGGUUGCUAUGACCCCUUGUCGUCUUAUCAUUUCUUUUAUCCCUAAUAUCGUGAAACUGGUUGGGAGGAUAAAAUGUUAGUGUACCAAGAUCCACCUCUGUGUCGAUCUAAGCCUAAAAGAGAAAAUAUACCAGCAGAGAAAACAACAGAAGAGAAGAGAUGAAGAUUAUUAAUCUACAAAAGCAUGCCCAUGUUUUCCUGCAUGCUGUCUCAGGGAAUUAAGUUGAACUCGAUUUUCUGUUCUAAAUAUGUAAAUGGAUCCAUCCAUAUCCGUACAAAAGCACGCCCAUGCACAUCAGGGGAGUAGUAGUAUAUAUAUAACCAUAUCAUACUUACUAUAUACUUAUGUCCUUAGCUUGUUACUUUCCAAUUAUUAGCGCUGCGGCAUGAUCCCCAUAAACCUCGAUCAUUCUGAUUUUUAUCAUCAGCACAAAAUAAAAACUCACGGAUCGUCCUUGAACCUCGCUCUUGAUUCAUCUUGAUUUGCUCAGCCUCAUCUCGUCGUCAUGUACGGUUCCGACUGCCAUGUGAUGGACAUGGAAGACCCCCCGCCGCCGCCGCCGCCAAAUGGUUCCAAGGUGGUGACCCUCCUGUUCCGCCUGUCCACGCUGGCGCUGGCGCUCACCUCGUCGGUCGUCAUGGCCGCCGCCAGCGAGUGCACCAUCUACGGCGGCCUCCACGACGACGGCGCCGCCACCGUCGUCACCUUCAAGGACUACCAGCCCUUCGUGUAAGAUAUAUAUAUAUACCCAUUCCAUUUCCAUGCAUUAUUAUAUAUAUAUAUAUAUAUAUAUAUAUAUAUAUAUAUAUAUAUAUAUAUAUAUAUAUAUUCAUUGAUCGAGUAAUAUAAAUUUUUGUUUGUUCAUUUUUUUUCGCUCUGCACCCACUGGCCACUGCAUUGCAUGCAGAUACCUUGUAGGGUCCAACAUCGCAGCGACGAUCCUGGAGGUGGCCGCGAUCUACCUACAGGUCGCCGCCGGCGACAAGCAGGGCAGCGACGCAGACGACGACGAGGAGGAUGCGCCGACGCCGGCCAUGAUUAAUCCCCGGGUCGUCCUGGUUGCCGCCGACGUCGCUGUGCAGGUGCUGCUCUACUCGGCCACCGGCGAGGUGUUCGCGGCGGCGAUGGCCUACGGCCCGCAGAUCAGCGCCUGCGCCGGCGCCGGACACUUGUGCGAGCAGGUGCACAGGUCCAAGAUCAUCUCCUUGGCCGCCAGCCUCGCCGCCGGCCUCGCCUCCAUCGCCAAGGACGUCCCGCUGCCCUUCUCCGUCUGGCCACAUAUGUAGGAGGAGCAUAUAUGUCGUCGCUACCAGUAAUCUCAGCUCGUUGCCGAUCGAUGUAACUUAUUAUUUUAGAUCGAUUUUAGUUUCAUCUUGCUCUUUUCGUUGACAUGCAUGUUACUACAAUCAUCGUCCACGAUUCUUUAGUGUGAUCAACCUUUGCGAAAAAAAAUUACAAUAAUCUGACCGUUGCAAUCGGAAAUAGAAAAAUAUUUUCUUUCUUUUUGGUGAUAUGAUCUUUUUUGCUAUAUAUAUAUUGCAUUCAUGAAUUUGUUUUUGCUAUGUGAAUCACAUGCAUGUAUCAGCUAACGUGCUGAUCGAACAGUUACAAACUGUUUGGGGGCCUAACCUUGCACAAGACACAGAUCCAUGGACUGAGCACUGCUAGCUAGAAUGCUAGAUCCAAACCCGAUUGUCAAAUCCCAAAACGCACAGUACAGUAGAGUAGAAAGACGUGUGCAGAUGUGCCAUAGCCGGCCAUGCCUGUGCCGACGUUUCCUCGUGUGUGGUGUGGAGGUCACACACGAAGCAUGCAGAGAGAGGAGCAGGCCGUGCCAGUGCCAGCACGUACGUACGGGACGCCCAAUAAUGCAAGUCCCUCCCUGCUCUCUCUGCUCGUACAUGUGGCAUGGCAUGCAUGUCACACUCGCAAAUUAGCCUUGAGGUCGCUGUCGCUGCCGGUAUCCCCCUGCUGCUGCUUGACGACAUCGACAUGGCGGCAUUCCCCACUCCACGCGCUGAUCCGUUCCUUGGCCAGCGCAGCCUGCAUGCAUGUUCAUCAGUUGAGGAGUUGAGCUCAGUAGUAAGCUGGUGAUCGUGAGUGAAUUGAAGAAGCCUCGAUCGGCGGCUUGGUCACCUCGGCUUCCCAGUCGGUCCUCCAGAUGAGGAGCAGCAGGAUAGCCGUCUGCAGCGCAGUCCCGCAGAGCAUGCCGGCCCAGAUCCCCGGAGCGCCCAACCGGAGGAGGUAGCCCAGGCAGAAGCCGAGCGGCAAACCCAGGGCGUAGUAGCAGCCGAGGUUGAUGUAGGCCACCAGCGCCUGCCAGCCGCCGCCGAUGGCCACCCCGGAGAUCACCGGCUGCACGCUGUUGAGCACCAUGGUGGCCGCCAGCAGGUGCGCCACUUUCCCCACGGCCGCCUGCAUGUCCCGGUCGCCCGUGAAGAGCACCGCGAAGCUGUUGCGGUACGCCAGCACCAGCGCCAUGGCCACCAGCCCCAUGGCCAGCGACUGCGCCACCACCGCCGCCACCGCGUGCUUGGCGGCGCGAGCCCGGCCGGACCCCAGCUCGUUGGACACGCGCACGCUGAUCGCCGCGUUCAGACCGAUGAAGAGCAUCGCCUCCCAGCCGUUGACGUUCAAGCUGCAGUGCAGGAAUCCAGAAUGCAUGGAAUGGAUCCAUCAGAGAACGACGAUCGAAUUGAUGCGAUAAAGAGCACCGCCACCGCAUUAUUCCGUACCAUAUGGACACGGAUCCCACGGCGAUCUCGGCGUCGUCGAGUCGGCCGGUGAGGACGACGAGCACCGUCAUGUACCAGACCUCGAGGCAGAGCAUGACGGCGGAGGCGAGGGAGAGCCUGGCGAACGGCCAGAGCCCCCGGAGCGCGUCCCACGAGAGGCCGUCCCACCCUCUUCCCCUGCAUCGCCGCGUCACGUAGGCCACCUGCGCCAGCGCGACGACCCACGACGUGACGUCGUAGGCGGCGGCGGCCCCGCGGAGUCCCCACCCGAGGACGGGGACGAAGAGCGCCAGCAUGGCGACGUGCGCGGCCAGCGCGGCGGCGCCGAUCCACGCCAGCGCCCCGACCUCGCCCUGCGCCUGCAGGAGCUUCUGCGUCGGGAACGCCAGCGGCAGCGACAGGAGCUGCGGGAGCGUGCGCAGCGUGAAGUCCCCCGCCGCCGCGGCAACCGCCUCGUCCUGCCCCAGCGCGCGCAGGAUGGGCGCCGCCAGGAGGUAGAGCGGCGAGAGGAGGAGCGCGGACGCGGCGAGGAUGACGACGGAGCGCUGCGCGUAGACGCCUAGCAGGUGGAGGUGCCCCGCGCCGUAGGCCUGCCCGCACAGCGUCUCCAGCGCGCUGGCCAUCCCGAGGAGGAAGCCGAAGGAGAAGGUGGAGACGACGGAGAGGCCCACGGCGGCCGCCGACAGCUCCAGGUUGCCCAGGCGGCCCGCGAAGAGCUGCGUGGCGGAGUUGAUGCCGUAGAGGCACAGGAUGUUGAAGGUGAUGGGCGCCGCCAUCACCCACAGCCGCUCCGCCUCGACGAGGAAAACCUCCCAAGCCUCCGCCGCCGCCGCGUAUGUUAUUAAUCUGCUGCAGCUGCAGGUGGCCACCGCCGCGCUGCUGCCGCUCCGCCGCCUCUUCACCAGCAGCGGCGCCGCCGCCUGCUGUUCCAUUAGUAGUAUUGUCAUCUCACCGGCCGUCUAUAUAUUAGAUGAUGGAUCUAGCAGCAUGCAGCUCGCCGCCGGCGGGCAGCUGCUACUGCUAGAUGGAUGGAUGGAUUCUGCUGGUUGAGGUUGAGGCACCCGGCCGGGGUAUAUAUAUAUAUAUAUAUAUAUAUAUAUAUAUAUAUAUAUAUAUAUAUGCUAGCUAGCUGUAGACUGUAGACUGUAGUGGAGUGGAGUAGUCCAAGCAAGGAGGAGUGGGCAGGAGGGCGCGAGUUCCGAUGACCGUUGCAUCGAGCAGAUGCAUGCAACGCAGCGCACAUGGCCGGCGCCCGGCGUGGGGGUGGGGAAUGACGCUGACUGGUGGGUCCAAGGUAUACAUGACCACACGGAACGGAACAAGAAAAAUCAGGAACAGGACCUGCCGCCGGCGCCGUAGCGGUGGCGGCACCGGCAGCCAUGACGUUGCAGCACGCAGCAUGGCUCAUGCAUGUACAAAACACAAGUUGGUGGCCUGCCUGAUGGUGUGGAGUGGUACACACAUCGGCGCGCACGCACGAGCGUGCAUGCACAUGCAUACACAAUAUAUUCCACUAGAUCCCUUUCACGUUCCCUGAUUUUUCACAGCGUCCAGGGGACCUUUUGGAUUUAAUGAUAUAAGGCCCUGUUUAGUUCCUACAAAUCAAAAAGUUUUCAAGAUUUUUUAUCACAUCAAUUCUUGUGUCACAUCACAUACAUACAGCAUUAAAUAUAGACGAAAUCAAAAACUAAUUGUACAAUUUAUCUGUAAAUCGCGAGACGAAUUUUUUAAUCCUAGUUAGUCCAUGAUUGGACAAUAUUUGUCAUAAACAAACGAAAAUGCUACAAUAGUGAAAUUUUAAAAAAAAUCACAUUUAAGCAAGGCCUAAACUUUAGCCAUUCAAUAUUAAAUUACAUUAAGGCUUUAAACUUAUGACCUAAAGUUAAUUUAACUAACCUCACAAAAAUUCAUUGUUUCAUUUUUUUAAAAGAACAGGAGGGGCAAGGAGCCCCUAAUAAAUUCAUUAUUUCAUUAAUAGAUCGCACAGUUGGGCUCAACCUUUCAAAGUUUAACCUUUAAUUUGGAGCAACUCCAACAACAGUUUGGGAUAUUUUGUUUCCUAAAUCUUAUAGUUUGGUAACUCCCCAAAUGUUAUAGCAAAGGGAAAAAAAAAGAUCAAUCUCCAAGAGUUUGCUAUAAUUGUCUUGGCAAAAUCUAAAGUUAGGCCCACUACUUUUUUUUUUUUUUUUUGCCACGAGAGCAGGCGGUAGCGUUCCUUUCCGCGCGUGUUCUCACGCCAAAGCGCCGCCGCCGUGACGUACCAAUUCCUCGUCACGCUCGCCACCGUGUCCUCCAAGGCGGUGAUCAGUACAUCAAAGCCAGCCACCGGGAGCAGCAGGUCUCCAGGAGCCGGUCCUUCUCAGAAACUCCAUCGCCAGUUCUGCAGGCAUAGCUUGGUUCCAUUUCAAUGAAUCUACAAAAAUUAACAAGAAUUACUACAAAAGCAAAUAAUCCUUGGGUACAGUAUCAUAUAGUACUUCUUACAGCAAUAGCAAAUUUUUAAAAAUAAAAGAAGGAUUACACAUGAGUUGAACACAUGUAUACACUAUCAUCUACUACUACAGCAGCAGCAAAAAAGGGAUAGCUUCCCGUCGGCCAUCACCUGAAACCUAUCUGCUACGAUCCAGUCGCGGCCAUCACCUGAACUCGUAUACCUUCUAAACGAUCUACUUGGCCAUCACCUGAACCCUAUAUGAUCUACGAUCUACUCGGCCAUCAGCAUGGAACGAACCAAAUCUGAACCACCAUGCCGCAACCCAAACCCUAUAUGUGAACCAUAGCAGUGGAAACGAUAUUGGAUUAAUCCAUACCUUAACCCUACAGCAGCCGGCGGCAUGGUUCCCAGGCCUGGGAUGUUACUGCUGAUGCUCAGGCCUUCGUGUGUGGAACGUUGUCGCCUGAAGAACUUCGCGGUCGAGGGAGAAGACUUCGCGCGCGGGGGAACCCAGUGGCGGCAUGCUUCCGACUCACGAUGCGCGUGGAGUCACGACGCGCAUAUAUGCGCGCUGACCAAGCAAUUUUUCCAAGUUGCUAAAGAUGGGGAGGAGGGAUGGGUAACUAUUGGAGAGUGUUUUUUUGUUAAUUUGCCACAAAAUCAAGAAUGGGAAGGAGGGAUAGCAAACUGUUGGAGGUUGCUCUUAGUUGACUAAGUUUUAGACCAUAGGGAGGUGCGAGGCAAGGGAAGACAUACAUUUAUUAACCGUAUCGAUAUAAAAUAUAUUAAUUAACAUAUCCGGAUAUGCAAUUGUUGAUUUUAUUUAAAAACUUGAUCGAAAUUAAGACAUCUUGACUCGUUCCAAAUCUCGGAGGGAUAGCGCCUAAUAAACGUGUCCUCCUAUUGAAGUUCUCACCUUGACAUUAGUGCUUACAUUUUCUAAGAUAGGUUCUAGGAAUUUAUUUAACUGUGCUACUAUUUUAGUGGUAGACAUGCCCUUUAUUUGACAACAAGAUGAUUAUUGUGACCUUAUCAAUCUUGAUUUUUUUUUGUCGUUCCAGCUUCAUAUAUCCUCAAAGAGUAUGGUGUGCGUACAUAUAUGCAUUUAUAAGGAUGAGUGUACAAUCAUGUAUGUAAGGACGAGCCAACAGUAGAGUAGUGCAUGCGGGCGAAUUACAAUAUCACCACUAUUGGCAAGACUGGGCGCGUGCUAUCGUCCAUGCUAUUGCCCAUGUGUGCAACAGGGCUCAUGGCCAUGCUUCAGGUUGUAUCAUAGGAUUUUUUGCUCAACAACUAGAUCAACAUUUUACAUGUAUGAAAUCAUAGAGUUAGGGGCUACAUGGAUCUCGCCUCGCCUUACUGUACUUCGGCACGAGCGACAAUGAGCUCGCUGAGCCGGGCAAGCCAAUUUGGCUCUCCUACGGGAGCGCGCAAAAUCUUGCUUGUACGGUCUUCUAAAAAUCCGGGCAAAAGAACCAAAUACCCACUCGCUCGCUCGCUAUCCUCACUCAAUGAGGUGGAAUAGUGCUUAGCUCUACAUCAAGCAGUACUUCCACGCCACCUAUUGUCCUAUGUAUCAUGGGAGAGCAUGCCCUGCACAAAAGGAGCAUUGAAGACUAUAUAUGUCUCUAUCUUUUGUCUCUCACUGUGCAACCUUACUUCUCGAUAAUAAAAGUGGUAGCAGGGACUUCUUUUAGACUACGCAAGAAACGUCGGUCUCUUGGCUUACUCUCUCUCUCUAUCUUGUUUUUUAGAACCUUUCUCUAUAUCUCUUACUCCUGUUUGUAGCCCCUAAUUCGUGCUUAGGGGCGUGAUCAAGCGCCACCGAAGUAAACAUAGGGCACGUUGCCCGAAGCACUAUAAUCCUAAGUCUUUGAGCCAUAUUGAGUCCUAAAGCAUGAUUAUAAGUUUUACUAGUGGCAACGCGCGCCCUUGCGCGCGAUCAGAAGGGAUGCUCAUCAUCAUUGUUUGGAGAAGAUGUAAAGGGUACGAUUAUGGAUAUGUGUAUUUGCACUAUAUAUUUGGUGAUACAUGUGUAUUUUGUUCAUGGCUGGAUCUAAAAUCAGGCUUGUAUACAGCGAGCAUCAUAGACAUCAAAGUAGCUAUAUAGAGCAGUCCACGUGACAGUCAUACAUAUUAGGCUAUUACAUAUGUAGUUCUAGUGGUAAUAUGAAAGCACCGCAGAGUGCUAGGCAGCGAUAUUACACAACAUUAGUAGAAUGCAGAGAGAGGCUAGUUACUGUGAGAUGUGGUGCACAAAAGUAUCUGAUAGUGGUAGGCUUAAACUUUACAUAAGGCAUGGAGGUUGUGGACUAUAGAUUUUGUUAAGCUGAGGUAGAGACGGUAGGAUCAGCCAAGGUUCAUGCUGCAAUCAGACUCCCAUCCAUGUUCACACGAAAGACUUUGAAGAUAGAAAAAACAUGUUGGUAAUAAUAGGAGCUCAAAGAGGUAGAUAUAUAUAUCUAGAACAUGUAUAUUACAUUUUACGCGUUUUUAUACCGGUAGUUGUGUGUCUAUAAAAGGUUCAAUAAAUAAGGAAAAGUUGACAUAAAAAAUAAUGAAAAAAAUAAUCAGAUCUUCAAAUAUCUUCUUCGUAGAACCGGUGUCUAUCAACUUAAUUUAUGGUAAUGACCGGACUGCAAUAGAAGAUCGAGAGAAUAUGACUGUUACACAUACGUAAUAUAUGUUUAGUUCAUAGACUGGAAAUUAGAUAAAAGUUGUAGCCAAGUAUAUAGAGCCAAAAGUUUGGUUCCUGGUGUGGAGUUAAGAACUGUUCAAAUAGAGAGGCACAUAGUUAAUCACAUGACACAAAACAAUAGUAGUAGUUUCUAAGUGUACUGGAGAUAACAACAUAAUAUACAUUGUUUUUGAAAUAUUUAAACAGGUCACCCUUUUUUGUCGGGAGUUAGUUAUAUUAGAGGCUUCAGAUAGCCAGGCGAAUAUAACUUUUUUAUCACCCUAUGCAAGGGAACAAGAUGCUCUGCAGAACAAAAGGUUAAUUUUGGCACUCAUGUAUAGUUAAUGUUGGCACUCAUGUAUAAAUCUAGUGAUUAACACAGAAAGUAACAAGGUCUUUGCUACCAAGAAAAAAUAAUUCAGACCGGCAAUCUUAAGGAACACAGUACACUGAAAUCAACGUUCUUAGCCAAAGAAUUAGAACAAACACUCGCAGGCAAUACACAACCUUAAAUUGACCAGCUCUUUUUUCUUGGUACACAACCUUAAAUUGACCAGCUCAUUUUUUUGGAAGGCAAGCUAAGAAAUAGUGCUCAUGCUGAAACAUUGGUAAGAUUUGUAAUUUUAGCUUGUACCUGUAUUAAUUAUUCAGUUUGAAAAAAAAAGAACUGAAUCGUAUCUGGAUGUAACCAUUAGGAGUUGGAAAACUGGAAAUGAACAGGUUUUUUAUAUUUUCAAUGAACUAAUAAGUGUAAGUAGAUAGUAUCAUAUAUAAGUGAAUGAUACACACACUGAUCAAUCAACUAAUCAACUUCAUAACUUAUUAGUAAUAAAGCAUUAAAUUUUACCAUUGUUUUCUAAAAGAAGCAAGCUUCACUGCAACAUUAUUAUAUAUAAAAGAAGUGUUAGGAGGAAUGAAGGCAUGGAGCACAAUUAUCCUGAAUUAGAUUCGUACCUUUCAUGGAGCAGGACUCCAAGAGAUAUUAGAUUGAGUAGAAGAACCUCUGGGCAUGGAAAAAGGAAGGAGUAAAUAUGAUUCAUCUUGUGUCACGAUAUAAGAGAACAUAUAAUCAAGUAAAGGAUAAAAGAAAUCAUCCAAUUGGUCUCCAAGUUGAUGGCAUAGGAAAAAUAUAAAAAAUACUGCAGAAACAAACAGAGAAGUCACCCAAAAAAAACAGAACAGACUAUCCCAGACCCUCUCCUUUCUCCAAUAAGCCAAGGACUGAAGGGAUAGUAGUAAUGUGAAAUUAAAGAUUGUAUUGCCUUUGUGGCAAUGGAAGGAUAAGCAGCAGCAACAAAAUGGACGCUACACUAACGCUGCAACAGGGCAUGAUGAGCAACUGUGAUAGAGCGGCCAUAGAAAUUGAACUGUGAAUGCAGUAAUGCACCUAUACGUUGCAGUCAAGGGAGUAUGAUGAGCAACUGUGGUAGAGCAGCCAUGGAAAUUGAACUAUAAAUGCACAUGUGUGUUGCAGUCAGGGAGUAGACGACACAACUGAUCAUCAUCGUGUCUACAACCAGCUUGCCCUGAGGAUUUCUUCGUAUGCACACUGCCACAGCCCAUAGAAAUCCAUUAUCUUAAUAAUUAUAGAACCGCAGUCAUGUAACUAUCCAUACAAAAUGAUGACAUUGUUAGUGGCAGUGUUUUUUCCUUGCAUAAUUUAUCGGGCAAUGUGUAUUACAAUUUAAAGCAAAUAACAUGUAGCUAAAUUUAAAUGAUAGCUGAUUUAAUUCUCAUAGGAAGAAAAGUCUCAAGCAGAUGUUAUACUAAUUUAUUAGAAGACUCAAAAUAUAGUGAUCAUAAUAAAAAGACAAAUUAUACUAAUUUAUUAGAUGAAACAACCAUCUUUAACAUGGAGCUUAUAUUAUAAUUUAUAAUUCAAGCAUGACCAAUUAAGUAAUACAAGGACAGACCACUAAACAACAUCAAUGGUUAGUUAUCAUAUAUAGAUUAAUAAGAUGUAUGUAUGGCCAAUAAAAAUGAGAAUAGCGUGUAUCGACAGUAAUAUAAUGGUCACAUCCAUAAUCAAGUUUUUUCUCUAGUGCUGAAUAGCCCAGAUCUCAGUGAAGACUAACACAAGCAUAAAGAAAUCAAUCAAUCAUCAUAAGGAAAGAACAACAGACCUAAAAUUUUAUACCCACACUAAUCAAUUGAAUUGCAGUACAAAGGAACAUAGUUAGGUUCACUCAUGGAUGAUUCAUAUGUUUAAGUUGUCGAUGAUUUACAUAAGGUACAAUGAUCACUGGAAAUAUACAGUUUGGAUAAGUCUAGGCACUUGGUACAAAUCUUACUAUUUAACCAAGGACCAUAGGAGGUUGUAACUUCCCUCACGCUAGCCUGUUCGCUAGUUUGAAAAGUUAAGACUCAAAUUACUGUUGACUGAUUUAUUAUGAGAGAAAAACACUGUAUAUUUAAGGGCAUCAUGUGAAGCUGUCUUUUUUUUAUUUUUAUUUCAUCGCAAAGCCUACGCGUGGUCAAGAACAUACCUUUAAACAUGUGUCAUCAGGAAGCAUGGCCUAUGAUCCUUCGUGUAUAUGGCCUCCUUCAACAUGGGCAGCAGGCCUGGAACACACAAUUAGUUGUGAGAGGCAGUUGUUAACCUGUUAGUAUAUAGUUAGACAACGCAGGUUUGGUUGAAGGAGAGGAUAACGAUAUAAAGAAAAAACAUUCAUAGGAUGCUGCAUCUGUACAUAUAGGCAACCAUAUAUAGUGUAACACAUAUAUAGAAGGUAGCUCUGCAACAAGCCAAAACAAAUCAUGCAAUUCUCCAGCGCAGUAUGCUAAAGUGUAUGGUUAUUCACAGGACAGGAAAAGGUCAAUAAUACAUAUUGAAUUUCCAAGUGGCCUUAGUGCAGAGGUGGCUUGUACUGUUGAAUUUGCCUUGUGUCAUCUGAGGGAGUUGCUAUAGCAAAUCUGUUUGGCGGAGUAAAAUUCUAUGCGGGCCUUUCAAUACUUAAUAAAGGAUUCAGAACAGAGGCUUGUUGGUCAAAUCUAGAAAAAGAUAAUAGUUAAGGCAAUAUGUGUGUGCAUUUCUGCAUGGGGCAUGACUGGACAGGCGAAGGGGAAGGAGCAAAGUAGAAAGGGCACGUGGUAAUAAGGAAGCAACAUGAAGAUCGCUAAUAAGGAAGCUAAUUCUGACAUGUGGAGAUUAUUGCUGGCAAUACAUAGAACAAAAAUAUAGAGAAGAGAGAAAGGAUAGUGCAAUCACUGAAAUAGGAACAUGAUAAGAAUUUCAAACCAAUCGCUAAACCAUUUUCUGAUGGUGCAUGAUAACUAAAACACAGAUGCAACAUAACACAGGUCACUGAGAGAUUAACCUUGAUAAAGAUUAUAACAAAGUAUCAUAAAGUUUGUGAUGAAUCUAAAUAACUUGUCCAUGGCGACGUUGUAGUCUUCUCAUAGCAAUAUCCAAAAAAAGGAAAUGUAGAGGGCAAGCCAAGGAUAAUGUACUUACCAAAAUAAGAUGAUUCCACAAUUUUCAUUUGUCAUUAGAUCAAUGAAAAACAAAAAAAUUCGAUGGUAGCUACAAUCAUUUUAUGGUUUGGGAAAAUUUUAUGGGCUUUCAUAUUUAACGUAAUGCUGCCAAACAAACAAAACAACAAAGAAAUGACAGAGUUCAAUAGUAAUGAAUGGAGCCAUCAAUGUACUUUAGCCAUUCAAUGUAACUAUGUAAGUCAAGAGUUACUAAACCAAACACUAAUCUAUAACGAAGAUUCGUAUCGCCAUGUUUCAAAGUAUAUUUUGUAUAGCUACGAUUCCUAAAUUUCUUCUGUAAGAGUGUAAUCUACACUUUCAGCCAAUAUGAUGUAAUUACCUAUAAACUUACCACCCAUGUGGAGGGCCAUAAUCGCAGCCCUCUAUUUCGGUGCUCAAAUUUUAAAGCAACUCGUGGUCAGUAAGCCAUGUAUUAGUAUAACUUUUAUAGAACAGGAUAUCUUUUUAAAGUAAUUUCCAGGAUAAACUAUAUAGAAACCUCAUAAGCAUCAGGUCCAGUGUGCUAUGUUCCCCCUGUAAUCCUUCUGGCAGCGUAUACUUGCCCAAAACCACCUUCCCAACUUGCGCUCAAUCUUGUAUUGCGGAGAACGGCCUACUUGAACCUGCAAAAUAUAUCUAUCAUUUAAAGGAGACCAAAUUUUCAAAUUCAGUUAUAGACUUGCAGUUCUAACUUUUGUCACCAUUGUCCAGAGUUAUGUCCUUUGCCCAGACUAAUACAGAGCAUGAAUACAAAUGAAUGUAUAGGAAAUGUUGGCUAGCUAACAAUGGACACACAUAUCAGAAAUAUCUUGGUAGAUUUUUUUUUCAUAUAUCCAUACAAGAAUCAUCUAACUUAGAUAUAUAUACACCAUAUAUUGAGAAGGCAAAUAAAUUGAUGCAUUUAGAUAUAUGUAAAAUAUAUCCAAUUCUGUUCAUAUCUAUCAGACAUCAUUGAGCAGAGAAAAAGGAUUUGCCGCAUGAGCAGGUUCCUGAAAUCCAAAAAAGAUAUGCAUGGCUAAAAACUGAAAAAAAAAACCACAAUACAAAAUCUCAGUUCUUUGAUCGAAACUUCAAAAGAGAAUCUACCUAUACUAAUAAUUUGACAACUGUUUUAUUAACAGACCCAUGCAAAGGAGGAAAAAAAAGAUGCAGUACCCCAUCUAUCCAUGAAAUGGGCUCUCGUUGGCAUCCUCCCUUCUCUGUGCAGCAUGUUUGUUUCUCCUUCAGUCCAGGAGGCUGUGAACGAUCAAAUUAUUUGGCAGAAACAACAUACUCCAUGAAGAAUGGCAUGCAAUAACUCUUUACCUUCAAUGAUAAUUCAUAAAAGAAAAAAGUUCAUUGAUGUAUGGCAAUAUGGCAUGAAAAUGUAUAUACUGCAAUCAAAUUUUUCAUUAAUAUAGUAUUCUACUAAAGGUACCAUUUGACCUGAUGUGGAAAAGUUAUAAAAUCAGUCAAACACCAUCAGAACACCGGUAAUUUUAAAAAAGUUUAAACCAUUACUUUCGCUGAUAAAUAAUUUAAACUGAGACAUGGGAGUAGGACAGUAUUCCUUUUUCCUCUUAAUAAAAUGCUGAACAUAACCUGCAAUUUUUUUUUUCAAUACGCAGAUACAGAACAUUACAGGUAUUGUUAUCCACACCUCCAAGGAUUCUGGCAUAGGAAAUAAGUAUGGUUAACACUGAAAGUGUAAUAGCAAAAUUACAGAGCACGAGAAAUUGAGGACCUAUCUAGAGAUAUAUUCGGUAUUUUUGUAGAUCUAGUGCUAGUUAAAAAAGAAUUUGUGUCCCCCAUUGAUUGUAUUAGGCUUAGCUCAUAUAGUAGCUGUCAUGACUUAAAAAAAUAAAUCAAAUGCGGACAGCAAAUAAGUGAAAUUUGAGAUGGAGGAGUGACGAACCCUCAGCAUCAGGACAAUGGCAAACCCUAUGGUGAACGAAGAAGAUCAUGACAACCUCUAGUCAGCGCUUCUGCUCUGUGCCGGUCGUGCUACCACCGGAACUCAUGAUUUGCGGCCACACUGGGCCUAUUAUCUCCUGGUGGCGGCUGCUUGCACUGACGACGCGCUGCCUCGCUGUCGCGCCACCUUGGGGGCCUGCCGGUGCCGCGCCACAUCAGGAGAGGGAGAGAGGCGGCGCACGGAGAGGCCAUGGGCCCUCGGCGGCGCCGCCCUGUCUGUCUCUGGAGAGGUCGGGAGGAAGAGAGAGGGAGGGAAAGGGAAGAGACGGGGAGGAAGAGGAGAGCUGCUCUGUUCGCUUCUGGAGAGGUCGGGAGGGGAGGGGAGGGGAAGAGUCGGGGAGAAAGAGGGGAGGGAGAUUUUUUUUACUCGGCACUGUAGAUAGCUAGAGAGCGAUUGUGGAGCGUUGAUCACGAAAUCGAACGGUCCAAGAGAUUUAGGGCGGGCGACGUGGCCCAGCUGGUUGUUCCGCCCGGCGUUCCCAAUUAAAGAGGUGAACUAGUUUUCACACGGGUACCUCUAUUAUGAAACGUACGUCUACUUGAGGGCACGGUUUGUAGUUGGUACUCAAAGGGUGACUAUUUGGUGGGCCCCAUGCCAAUGGUGAUCACGGAGUUAGCAAGGAGUCUGGCAUUGAACAAGUUGGUUUGCGGAAGCACGUUGCCGAAGUGCCAAUGCUUAGUUCUGGCUUUACAUUUUGUUAUCAUGAUCUUGUAAUGAAGUGCUACUUGGUAGCCUUUUGGGGGUUUAGAGGUUUUUUGUGAGUAGGUCGAGCUAUUGUUUUUCUUUUUCAGGUAUGCGCGGUACUUGUACACUGGUAACCCCAUUUUAGAUCUGGGUGUUCGUUACGCUUUCUAAUAAUGCUGGGUAAAUACCUUUGAUCUAAAAAAAAGUGACUUGCGUGUUUAUGGUGACGGAUGGUUCUAGGUGACUAUUCUGGUAUAAGGUGGCCUUGUAAUGGAUAUUGGAGGAUGCAAGUGAUACACUCGAUGAGACGGCUAGGUUGCCAAGAGAGCUAUGAUGCGUGCAGACCGAUUUUGUCGUGGACUGAGUUGAUUCUUCUCUUUCAAAUCUCCUACCUGAUUCUUUUUGGAAAAAAAAAUGUUUUGAUAAAGGGUUUGUUUGGCAAGACUCCUCUUCGGCUGUGGCUCCUCUAAAUGAGCUCUACCAAACGUUUCUGUAUAGAAACUGUUUUUGAGUAAAAAAUAGAGAAGCUGAAGCCGUUUUUGGUGAAGCCACAAAUUAUCAAUUCUCCAAAAUAGUUUUGCCUCCUCUAGAGGUGCCCUUUAUGUGGAGGCGUACCAAACGUGCCCUUUACGAGGAGCCGUACCAAACACCUCCAAAAGAAGGUGUUGAUGAUACAUCAUGGCACGCGAAUAUCAUCCAUGCUCAUCCUGUUCAGACUAAAAAAAGUCGGCGUUUACGAAUGCAUGCAAAUUCGGUUCAAAAUGUAUGUAACACGUCUUGUGUUUUUCAAAGUGUAUAUAGUACGCAUGCAGCAUAACAGCGAAGGCAAAAAAAAAAUCAGGCAACGAACCAUGCAUCUCUUGGAUCUGUGAUUGAAAAAAGAAAUGAUUAAAAAAUCCCUCUUUUGCUGCGAUUACGCGGUUGCCAAGACGACGACGGGCGCUGUAACUGUAAUCGAACGAACUGAGAGAUGGAUGGAUCGAUCGAUGAAGACAACAAUCCAAUCCAAUCUAAUCUAAACCAUACUUCUACAUACGUAUAUAUAUUCAUUCAGAUUGACGCACGCAUACGCAUGCAUUAGCUAGCUAGUGUGUAUCUAAGAAAAGCAAAGACGCCAAGAAAGGCAAACGGGAGCGAGCGGGCGUGGCAGCAGCACCACCGCCCACCGGCGCGGCGCCCCUGGCUCCACACCAGCAGCAGCCCGUGGCAUUGCCCCCAGCACCACAGACCCGGCCGCCGCCGACAUGGUGGUAGCGGCGUGCGAGGACGAGGCCGGCGGCGCCACCAACGCACGGGACGCGCCGGCGGCCGUGGUGGCGCGCUCGGGAGUCGCCCACACCAGGAGCCCCCACGCCAGGCGCAGCCCGCGCCAUCCUGGCGGCAUUUCCCCCGCCGACAUGGUGGUAGCGGUGUGCGACGACGACGACGACGACGACGACGAGGAGGAGGCCGGCGCGCUGGUCGCCGCCAUCGGCUCGACACGCGACGCGCCGGCGGUGCAUUCGCCGCGCGCCGCGUGGGCGGUGUUCGUGAAGGAGUCGCGGCGGCUGUGGUCGAUCGCGGCGCCCAUCGCCUUCAACAUCAUGUGCAUGUACGGCACCAACUCGACGACGCAGAUCUUCGCGGGCCACAUCGGCAACCGCGAGCUGUCGGCGGUGGCCAUCGGCCUGUCCGUCGUCUCCAACUUCUCCUUCGGCUUCCUCCUCGGGAUGGGCAGCGCGCUGGAGACCCUGUGCGGGCAGGCCUACGGCGCGGGGCAGGUGGCGAUGCUGGGCGUGUACAUGCAGCGGUCGUGGAUCGUGCUCGCCGCCUCGGCUGCGCUGCUGACGCCGCUGUACGUGUACGCGGCGCCGGUGCUGCGGCUGCUGGGGCAGGACGAAGGCAUCGCCGGCGCGGCGGGGACGUUCACGCGCGGCAUCAUCCCGCAGAUGUUCGCGCUCGCCGUCAACUUCCCGGCGCAGAAGUUCCUGCAGGCGCAGAGCAAGGUGGGCGUGAUGGCGUGGAUCGGGCUCGCCGCGCUGCUCGCCCACGUCGCGCUCCUCGCGCUGUUGGUGUCCGUGCUCGGGUGGGGCGUCGCCGGGGCGGCGCUCGCCUACGACACCUCGUCGUGGCUCACCUCUCUCGCGCAGGUGGCCUACGUCGUGGGAUGGUGCCCGGACGGGUGGACGGGGCUGUCCAGGGCCGCCUUCACCGACCUCUGGGCCUUCGUCAAGCUCUCGCUUGCAUCCGCCGUCAUGCUCUGCCUCGAGAUGUGGUACAUGAUGUUGCUCGUCGUGCUCACAGGACACCUCGACGACGCCGAGAUCGCCGUCGACUCCAUAGCCAUCUGGUUGGUGCGGUGCGGUGGUCGCACAUCCACCUUGUGUUAAUUUAAUCGAUCCGAUCGAUCCCUAGCUUAGCUUAUAAUUUCCAUCUCAUGCAUGGAGUCGAGCAGCAUGAACAUCAACGGGUGGGAAGGGAUGCUGUUCAUCGGGCUCAGCGCGGCCAUCAGGUACACAGUUAAAUUCCAUUCAAUUCCAUUCUAUUUCAGAAAGAAAGAAAGAAAGAACGAAAGAACGAACGAACGAACGAACGAAACUGAGUUGACACAAGAUAUGAUGGUGCAGCGUGCGCGUGUCCAACGAGCUCGGGUCCGGGCGUCCCCGUGCGAGCAUGUACGCGGUGAUGGUGGUGCUGGCGCAGUCGCUGGCCUUGGGGCUGCUGGCCAUGGUGCUCGUGCUGGCGACGCGGGAGCAGUUCCCUGCCAUCUUCACCGGCGACAGGCACCUGCAGAAGGCCGUGUCCAGCAUCGGCUACCUGCUGGCCGUCACCAUGGUGCUCAACAGCGUCCAGCCCGUCAUCUCGGGCGUCGCCGUGGGCGGCGGAUGGCAGGCCGUCGUCGCCUACAUCAACCUCGGCUGCUACUACGCCUUCGGCCUCCCGCUCGGCUUCAUCUUGGGCUACCUCUUCAGAUUCGGGGUCAAGGUACUAGUACUAGUACUGAGCCAUGCAUGGCCAUGCAAUUCUGCCUGCAUGCAUCUUCAGAUUUGUAUUUGUAUCUGUAUUGUUGCAGGGCAUCUGGGCGGGCAUGCUUUGCGGGACAGCGUUGCAGACAGCCAUCCUCAGCUACAUAGUCUGGACGACCGACUGGAAAGCAGAGGUAUAGUACUAGCUGACAACCAAUCUGACUAGUGUUUCUGAAUCAAGGAGAAGGAUAUAUGCUUAUUUGUGUUUCAGGCGUCGCUGGCGUUGGAGAGAGUCAGAAUAUGGGGGGGCGCCCACCAUGAAAAGCUUGGUAGCUCUCAAGACGACGACGCGGUUAUCUGACGAAUUGAAGAUCGAUCCGGCAAAUGACAUCGCGGCUGCUUGCAUUCCAUUGCAUUGCAUUGUAAAUUCCUCCCCGUCCCCCAUCGUAUCGGUUAGGAUUGCUAGACUGGAGUAGUGGUUUGCAGGGCCGCUGCUCUCGAGUAAGGGAAACAAUUCAGAAUGAAACGGACGACUGGAUUGCUUCUCUUGCUUGCUAGCAGGGGAAUUUCAGGCAAUAGGAUUACCGUAGCGUAGCUAUACUCGUCACUAGAGAACUUAUUAGCGUCAAAGUCAGUUAUGAAAUACACACACUUUUUUAUUUAUCUAUUUAUCUUAUACAACACCUAAUUGAUUAUUGUCAGCUACAGCAUUACUUUAAAGACUACCUAGAGACCUUGAUAGUAAAGCGGGAAAUUUUGACAUUCAUCCGUUUUUGUCUUUUUUGCAAAACUAGUGAACCUUAUUCAUUCAAGUUCUCGUGGGAAAUGCACUAUCUUCUCGUGGGAAAUGCACGUCCUCCACUUCGUUGCUCUGUCUGGGUGAUUAGCCUGACUGACAAUGACACUGAUGGAUAAAAAACAAUAGCUAUUAGGGACAUGAGAAAGAAAACCCACGAAUCAAAUCGAGAAGAAUGGGUAGCAGCAACAUGUAAGGCGACGUUGCAUUUUUUUUAAAUCAUGAACGGGGGGAGGGGUUCCCCACCUUUAUAUUUCAAAAAGAAAACCGCACACACCGGUCACCCAGACGACGUUGCAUUGGUCUGAUGCUAUCUUUUGCAUGACGAACAAAAAGAAAUGAUCUAUGCAGCGGUACUUUCUUGACAUUGAUACAGAAACUGGUGACACAUGGCACUAAAAAAAGGGUUUGACAGUGAUAAAUAAUAGUGGAAUAGCAACCAGAGCUACCAACAAGCUAAAAAAAACAAAGUUAUGGACAGUGGGACUAACUAAAAUCGUUACGAGUGAGUCCGUGUGAUUGUUCUUGAUUUUAUUUGCUAGAUUUUUUCCACGACGAUUUAAAUGGAAAUGUAAGGCCUUUUUCACUAUAAUAUAACUAUAUAAGACUUUGACAAGCUUCGUAGUGAGAACACAAGCGUCGUCGUCGUGCAGGAACAAAGAAUUGGCAAAGGUCAACAUCAGACGUGCCUUAUAGUAAUGUGCAAUGAGUUCAUGACAUUCUUUUAGAGAGUGUUUGGUUGAGGUUGUUAAAGUUUAACAGAUAUUGUAGCAUUUUUUGUUUUAUUUAGCAAUUAGUAUCUAAUCAUGGACUAAUUAGGCUCAAAAGAUUCAUCUCGCAAAUUACUCUCUAGCUGUGUUUUUAGUUUCAUAAAUAGUCUAUAUUUAGUACUCUAUGCAUACGUCCAAACAUUCGAUACGAAAGUUAAAGUUUAACAACUUGAACCAAGGCCCUUAUUUUCUUUUGUCGAGUGAUGACCUGACUCACAAGAAGAACCAGAGAAGAGGAGCAGCACACUGGUAAUCAAAUAGAUAAAAAAUGUACUGUGAGAGAGGUAGAAUAGGGGAGGGGGGGGGGGAGAGGAGAAAGUUCUUCUCAAAUAUGUUUAAAAAUCAUGUAAGAGAAGUAGAAACAUCUAAUGAAGAAAAAAUCAUUUAAGAGAGGUCGGAAAGGGGUGAAAAAAAGAUCAUGUGAGAGACAUAGGAAAGGGGAGAAAAAAGAGUAUUAAGUAAGAGAAGUAGAAAAGGGGGAAAAGAGAACUAGGGAGGAAGAGAAGAGAGGAAUGAAAAAGGGAAAAAAGAGAAAGGGGUUAAAAAAAGUACAUUAAGGAUGUGUUUAGUUCUCCAUGCAAUAAAAAAUACAAAAUACCAACUACUUUAGAAUAAUGAAAUGCAAAAUACCAAAAAAUUUAGAGUUAUAUUUAGUUACAUCCAAAAUAUAGAAUGUAUUAGUGUCAUUAGGGUGUCUUGAGGCUCUUUGAGUUUUUUUUGCUUCAUGAGGCCAAAAUUCAGCAUGAAAGAUUUAUUAUGCAAAAUGAUGGACUAAACUAAACACCCCCUAAGUAAGAGAAGUAGGAAAGAGAAAAAAUAGUAGGAGUAGGAGAAAAAAAAGAGAGAAAUAAUAGGAAAGGGGAGAAAAAAGAGUAUUAAGUAAGAGAAGUAGAAAAGGGGGAAAAGAGAACUAGGGAGGAAGAGAAGAGAGGAAUGAAAAAGGGAAAAAAGAGAAAGGGGUUAAAAAAAAGUACAUUAAGGAUGUGUUUAGUUCUCCAUGCAAUAAAAAAUACAAAAUACCAACUACUUUAGAAUAAUGAAAUGCAAAAUACCAAAAAAUUUAGAGUUAUAUUUAGUUACAUCCAAAAUAUAGAAUGUAUUAGUGUUAUUAGGGUGUCUUGAGGCUCUUUGAGUUUUUUUUUUGCUUCAUGAGGCCAAAAUUCAGCAUGAAAGAUUUAUUAUGCAAAAUGAUGGACUAAACUAAACACCCCCUAAGUAAGAGAAGUAGGAAAGAGAAAAAAUAGUAGGAGUAGGAGAAAAAAAAGAGAGAAAUAAUAGGAAAGGGGAGAAAAAAGAGUAUUAAGUAAGAGGAGUAGAAAAGGGGGAUAGGAGAAUUAGGGAGAAAAAGAAGAGAGAAAUUAAAAAGGGAAAAAGAGAGAGAAAUUUAAAAGGGUUUAAAAAGAGUAUACUAAGUAAGAGAAGUAGGAAAGAAAAAAAAACAGGAGAAGU
rnacentral:lncRNA from 1 species